UACAGCUGAGCCUGAUAGCUGGAGGAGUCUAGACGUAUAUCAGAAGAAAGGAAAAAUUAAUAGGAAACGACUAGAUUUUACACCCGAUCGUUUGGAACAUUCCAAAACCAAGAGAAGCCUUUCUUGUCACACGUGAUUGCAUGAUAAUUAGGGCCAGCUGUGUCUGGGCAAUUCAGGUCAAGCCAGAUGCCAAACCCAACUCGAACACUUACAGGAAGAUCCUCAUCGUCAAGAACCUCCAAACAUCCUGUAGAAAAUCGAAAGAAGGUAAGUUAUGUUAUCUUUUCCCUUUCUGCCUAAAUGUUGUUCUCCUGAGUACUGACAACCUCUAUGGUUUUCACUUGUGCUUUAUAUCUAAAGGUAAUGUGGCUGCUGAUACAUGGUGCAUACAUGGAAGAAUCCUUAAAGGGGGAGGGGCAUCAUUAGCAACUUUUCCAUUCUGCUGGGAUUAGUUCUUGGAUUGUCGCCCUUACCCAUAAGCCAGACUAACUCACCCAUAAGUCACGUAUUUGUGAGCCAGUAAAGAUGAGCUGUCCCAGCGUCUCUCUGAACCAGGGAUGGUUUGGAAGGAGGGAGACUUUCACUAUAUGCUCUGCUGUAACUUUCGACUUUAAAUAAAAAUGUGUAUGAGAAUGUCCUAUUCAAAGAAGUAAAUGUGAUUAAAGAAAAAAAAAUUUUUUUUCCGGUGGAAGGAUAUAUCCAUUUGCUAACUGGCUCACCUUAGCUGUAAAAGUUCUAGCUGACACAAACCCUACUUUAGAACCUGGAAACUUCUUUUCCUCCAGGUCAUUUUAGUUGUAUUCUUUCUGUUGAAUUGUGGAUUUCUGAAAGCAUUUUAAAUUGCAGGUCCUUUUAUCUCAUGUUUCUUUUACUUCUACUUAAGGACUAUAUAUAUAUAUAUGUGUGUGUGUGUGUGUGUGUGUGUGUGUGUGUGUGUGUGUGUGUAUAGCUGAGAUUCCCAAUAAAGCCAUAUAGUACUUCACUUCACUAGAACUAAAGUAGGCCAGGCCUGAAAGCAGUGUCGUGGUUUACUUGGUCCCAGGGCUCCCUGUUUAACUCGAGUUCACCUGCUCCUUCUCUUAGGUCCCUGUUUCCACUGGUCACUUUGUUGCAGCUGGAAAGGAGGUGGAACAAAAGCCAUGGCUGUACUGCUAUUUGCCAUGGUGACUGACUUGGGGCUGAAUGGAGAAUUCACUGCAUUCCUGAUGUUGACUCACUUCCACCCAAAACCCUUGGGUUGAAGUUGAAACUCAGCUCAGGCUUUCCAAGGGGCUGUUCCUAUGAGCUGGCCUGGGAUGAUCGUAUCUGGACCAGCCCAGGGGUGUUCUUCAUCUUGGGGACUUCGGUCAGCUUGUUCUGUAGCAAGUAGAUUUUUAAAAAUGUCUUAGGGGUGCCUGGGUGGCUCAGUUGGUUAAACAUCCGACUCUUGACCUCAGCUCAAGUCUUAUUCUCAGGGUCAUGAGUUCAAAGCCCUGCAUUGGGCUUCACGCUGGCAGAAGCCUACUUAAAAAAAAAAGAAAUGGCUUAGCUAUCUAGAGGUGAGAAAGAAUUCUGAGAAGAAUAUUCAGAAUGGAUCUAGGCUUAUCUUUGUUCUAUGACCAGUAGAAGCUCCAACAAAGUAGCUGCCUCCUCCAGCUGUCCUAGAUCUGAGCACAUGUCAAAAGUAUGCCAGGAAACAGGCUGUCUCCAGAAGUGCAGAGAGCUCAUACUUAAUUGGAUCCCCUGCUUCCGUUACUGGCAGCCACACUCCUAGAAUCUUUCAAAUCCUGCAGCAAGACUAGUAUAGAGAUGCAAUAAUAUUGUUCUUGAAGGCAUUUUAAACUUUUCAUUGAAUAAUUCAACAAUAUGUAAUAGAAGUCAUACUAUUGACCCCAGGUUUCCCCAUUUGGGUGAAACAUAUACCCACUCUAUAGAUCAGCACUCCCUAAAAUGAACUAUUUGUACCUAGUGGACAUGCAAGACAAUCUUCCGGGGAAAAUAAGAAACUAUUUGAACCUAGACUUGUUUUUAUCUAAAACAAAACAGAAAUUAAACUUUACCAAUAUUUAAUAAGUGGGCUGACACAGGUUCCCCUAUCUUAGCCCACAUGCCAGAAGGUCAAGUGUUCUAGAUUAUAGAGGGGAAAACUUGAAGGAAUCUUAUAAUGUGGAGAGAUUAAUAGCAUCACCAUAUAUUUUUUUUGGUUUUAAUGUACUGGGACACAGUGUAGUUUUCGUGUGAAAGGCUGCAGGGAAUCACAGGUCUUAUCAUCUAGUUUUGAUAAAACUAAACCUUAAAAAAAUAAGCUAAUGGCAUGAAAGCGUGUCUCUAAUGUAAUCAGAGAAUAAAGCUAAUAUCAAAAUACAAACAAAUAAACAAAAAGAAUAUGGUAGGGCAGACACCUCCCUUAUUUGUGAAGUAAAAAUAUGGUAAAAUUAAGGACAAUCUAGUUCAUCACAUGGCCCCAACUAAAAAUACUAGGGAGAGCAGUAAUAUGAUGAUUUUAUCUUUAUCUCAUCCCUUUCAAAUUUCUAUUUUUGUAACUUUUUAAACAUACAUAAUAUGUUAAUGGAAUUCUACAUGUCUAUAAUUUUAUAAGUAGAUAAACGUUUCAUGAACGAGUAUGCUCAAACCUUUUCUUACUUAUGGGAUAAGCAAUCAAAGCAGUUUGGAGACCACUGUUAAAGAGCAGCAAACUCAAGGAAAAUAAUAUUCAAUUAUUUCUUGUGUUCAGAAAGCAAGUGAGGGAGAGCCAGAAAACAGAAAAGUUCUGUCCUUCUCAAGUCCAAUAGGAGCAGGCUCCCACCUCUCUGGGUCUCUGUGAUUCUCUAAAAUGCCAGUUUCUUAAAAUAUUAUUUCUGAUAUUGCACAUGGAUUAAAUCCACGAGGCAGUAAGACAAUGCUGUGGAAAGAAUGAGAGUUCUGGAGUCAGGCAGCUCUGGGAUGUAGCCCAGGCCCUGUAAUUCACUUGCUCUGUAACCUGCACAACCUCAGUUCCCUCAUCUGUCACAUGGGGGUAAAUGACCUCACAGAGAUGCCUGUGAUCACACAAAUUAAUAAAUGACACAAUUUACACAAAUUAAUAAAUACCAAGUGUUUGGCACAUGGUAGCCUUCCCUCCCCCUGCAUUAUAACUAUAAUUCAUAAUUAUAAUUAUGUAAUUAUAAUUAUAACUGCACUUAAACUAUAAUCAUGCAAUUGAACUCUAGACAGUGAGGUUGAUCCGAAUACUUCCAGAAAUCAGAAAUCCCAUGGAAAUAAAUUAUUCUCCUUAUCUCCAACGUGCUCAUGCAAAUUCCACUCUACAUGAUCUGAGACACCUGCACUGAAAUCCUCCAACACUACACUGAGCGCUUCUGGCACCUUCGUGAUGCCAAAGAGCACAUUUCAUUUCCAUAACUCUCUUGGUGAUACUGAAGGACCAUGUCAUUAGGAGACAGAGUACUGAAACCAUAUCCUCUAGGGAGUCAUAUCAGAAUCUUAGGAGUGGUGAUUGACAAAGCAGAUCAAAUGAAAGUACACUUUUGUAUCUGUAGAUAAAAAAUGCUUGCAUUUUUUCACACAUACCGUGAAAAGUAAAAUUCAACAAGUCACGUUGGCAGGUGGAGGUAGCCAGAGGAGUCUGUGAUUAUAUGGUAGGGAAGGGUAGAGUGAGGGAAGCCCCCAUAAGUGGGCAUUUCAGAAACAGGAGAGGGUGUGAGAGUUUUAUGUCCAUAAAAGGGGGACAUGUUUUUUUUUUAAAACAAGCAGAAGGAUAGGCAAAAUGGACACUUCACCAAAGAAGACAUUCAGGUGGCAAGUAAGCACACGGGAAGAUGGUCAACAUCAUUAGUCAUCAGAGGCAUCCAAACCGAAAUCACAAUACUAUCACUGCACGCUUUCAGAACGGCAUAAAAAAGAAAAAGAAAAGAGCUGGGAACCCCAAGGGCUGAUAAGGAUGAACUCCUAUACUUUACUGGCAGGAAUUCACAGUGGUACCGCCACUUUGGAAAACAGUUUGCUAGUCUCUUAUAAAGUUAAAUAUAGGCUUAACCAUACAGCCCAGCAAUUCACUGCUAGAUAGGUACCUAAGCGACCUGAAAAUUUAGGCUCCCGCAUGACCUCUACCUGGAUGUUUACAGCAGCCUUACUCAUAUGUUGGAAACAGCUGAGAUGUCCUUCAGCUGAUGAAUACAUAAACAAACUCUGAUAUACCCACACCGUGGAAUACUACUCGGUAAUAAGAAGGAACAAGCUAUUGGUCCAUACAACAACAUGGAUAAAUCUUAAACAUCUUUUGUGUGGUGAAAGGAGUCAGAACCAAAGGCUGCAUAUUGUUUGAUUCCAUUUACAGGACAUUCUCAAGAAGUCAAAACUAUAAGGACGGUUGCUAGGGGUUGGGAUGGGAGAAGGGCUGAUUACAAAGGAAUUCUGAAGUUGAUGGAACUGUCCCGGGUGUUCCUGCGGUGGAGGAUACAUGACUCUGCAUUUGCCAAAAUCCAUAGAAGUGUAUCGUCCAAAGAAUGAAUUUUAUUGUAUGCAAGUAAAAGGAAAAAUCUACCCGACUGUCCAAGGCCCAGGAUGGAUGCAGACUGUGGCAAAUGAACAUAACGAUAUGACAAGUGAAAGAUAUAUCCAUGCUUGGGGGGGGGGAGGGGAAGAAAGGAGACAACUAACAUAACUUUGGAAAUAGUGUUGUGACUGGCUAGUACAAGGCUAAAGACAAAAUGACUUGUACGCAAAAUUAGAAUAUACUCUAGUGAGUAAAACUGUCUCCUACAGGGUAUGGGUUAGCAAUUUUGAAAGCACUUUACCUGCAUACCAGAGUUGACCAAACAAAUAAAUAUAGCAUCGAUAGUGACAGCCAGAUUGGAGGAAGAAGCAAUAAGCAAAGGGCCAACCCUGCGGUGCCGGAUUGGGUCAGAGGCAUCAGUAUGAACUCAUGUAUGGUGUACUUUUAAUAUAUAUUUAGACAGAUAAGGGCUUUUCAGCCUUGGCACUAUUGACAUUUUGGGCUGGAUAAUUCUUUGUUGUUUGUGCCUGUGCAUUGUGGGAUAUUUGGCAGUGUCCCCAACCUUUGCCCAUUAGAUCCCAGUAGCAUGUCCCCUUGAGUUGUGAUACCCCAAAAUAUCUGCAGACUUUAACAAAUAUCCCCUGGGAUCCAGGUGUGGGACAAAAUUGACCCCAGUGGAGAGCCACUGAAUUAGAUGUAUUCAGAAGCAAAUAUAGAUUUAUGUGCAUGCCUUCGUUAGUAUAAAUACAUUAUUUCCUAGUUCUGUUCACUGAGGGCCUAGAAACAAUGACACUCCAAUAAAAAUGAGCUCACCCACCCAGAUCUUGGUUUCUAAACACCAUUCUCCAAAAGGAAGAAUGAGGGCUCCUUAGAGAACUGGUUGGUUCCAGGGCUGGGGCAGGGAAAAUACAAAAUGAGCCUGAAGCAUCUUGUGGUGCUACAAAAUAGGAACGUGCUCCAAAAAGCAGAUGGGGGGCUUGCUGAAACCUGAGCGAGCUUUCAAUAGCCAAAGCUGGAAUGAUUUAAGGAAAAAAAAAAAAAAAAACAACAAUAUGGGAUUAUAACACAAAGAACAAAAUAAAUAGCCAUGAGUCUGUAGUGCCAUCAAUGAAUGGGUAGAAGAGAAAUGACAACUCUUCUUCCCAGAAGAAUUCAAAUCAGUAAAUGUAGAACAAAUGAAGGAAACCAGAGACUCAUUUGAAUACCACAGGAAUAACUGUGACAGGAAAGAACGACAUAAUGAAUGCUAAAAUUAGUAGGUGAAAGUUUAAGGAGAAACCUGGCAGACAUUGUUGUGACCAAAUGAUCAGUGUCAACAUACCUGGAAAUGAAUCCGCGCCAAUAUCAUCUACUCCCUAAAGGACGCAACAACAAGGGCACCUCACCUCUCAAAUUUAUAACCUUUAAAUUACCAGAAGACAACAGACGAAUCCAAAUUGAGGGGCAUUUUACAACAUACCUAAUAGUCUUCAAAACUGUCAAGACCACAAAAGACAAGACCAGGAAACCAUAACAGAUUAGAAGAGAUUAAGGAGGCAUGACAACUAAAAGCGCCAUGACAUUCUGGAAUAAAAAAAAAAAUGACAUUGAAUAGAAAAACUUGGGAAAUCUGAUUAAAGUUUGUAACUUGGUUAACUGUUUUGUAUCAAUGUUAAUUUCUUAAUUUUGCCAUUUGCGUCGUGAUUAGGUAAGGUGCUGACGCUAGACGAAGCUGAGCGAAGACAAUAUGAGAACUCUCUGGAUUGACUAUUUUUGCAAAUUUCCUAAGUCUAAAAUUAUGCAAAAAUAAAGAAGUUUUUUAAAAUAUGAGAAUCUGAAACAAUAAAAAAAAAAUAAAAGAGAAAAAGGGGGUCACCUGGGUGGCUCAGUUGGUUGAGUGUCCGAUUUUGGCUCAGGUCGUGAUCUCACGGUUCAUGAGCUCGAGACCCGCAUCAGGCUCUUUGCUGUCAGCACAGAGCCUGCUGUGGAUCCUCUGUCCCUCUCUCUCUGCUCUGCCCCUGCUUGUUCUCUCUGUCUCUCUCAAAAAUAAAUAAACAUUAAAAAUAAUAAUAAAAUAAAAGAUGAGAAUCAUGGAGGCAUUCCUCUGCAUGACAUACUCAGUUCAAUCAUAACACAUAAGUUAUAUUCCAAAUGCUAUUCAUUAGCCCUAAAAAUGAGUAUAUUUUUGAGUAAAUUCUACCAAAAGUUACAUGGAGGUAAUUAAGUAACUGAGUAAUUCUGAGAGCUCUAAGAACCCACCAUAUAUUCUUUGGCAUCAAUUACUUCUAAGAAUUGCAUGUUCAGUCCUAUGUUUUAGAGAUCUAUAAAACAUGUUAUGUUUUUCCUAUACCUUGUGAGUUUGCUAUAACCUAAAAGAGAGCAUAUGGCUCUAAAGUGGUGGUUCGAAUCGUUCUGAAUGAAAACGAAAAGAGAUGGACAACUUCACUUCUUUUCUUGGUGAAGCCACUUCUCCCUUCCUCCUCUAAGUAUUUUUCACAAGGUUUUCCAUCUGAUCGACCUGAAACGUGCAAUAUUAGGGGAAGCUGCUUGGAGUGGAGACCCGGACCCACCAGGGGAGCAGGGUAGAGAGCCAGACCCUGUGUCGGAGACGGAAGUGCCGAAGACAGUCGAGAAGAACGUCUCCCUUCUCACUUCUGCCGAGCGCCCAGCCUGUGCCAGAGACUCCGUCCUCACAACCCCCCGGGAGGUGCUGGAGUAUCGUCCAGUUUAGUAGAUGAGAAAACUGGAGCUGCGAAUGGCUGAGUCAGUUGCCCAAGGCCACGUGGCUACAAGUGGCGGAGCGGGAGGUCUUGGGACCAAACAUUCUAAUGCCACAGCCAACACCACUGCCACUUUUCCUCCAGUCCUGAGAGUGCUUGCGGGGGUUAAGCAGCCUAAGGCUGAGAACCAGGAAGUCAUUCCGGUCAGAAGCAAGACAAGGGUCUGGCAGUCAGACCAGCUGGUGUGGGUCAAGGCAGGCAGAGGGGCUGGAGCUCGAUGGUCAAGCGAGUAACUGCAAGGGGCAGGGAAUGUUAGCUCCACAGACUUCGGUUUUCCUGCCUGGAGUAGGAACUGAAGGUGGGUGUGAGCUGAGCCGACCUGCGGUUGUGUGAGGAAGGAGGCAGCGAGUGGGACGGGCAAGAGAACAGGAUGAGACUCACACUGACAGGACGUGAGCCUGCCUGCUGAGUGACAUUGGGCAAGGAACUUACCUCUCUGAGCCUCAGUUUCCUCAUCUGUAAAACAGAAAUCAUAAUUGUGAGCCAGAUCAUGUCACUUCUCUACUCAGAUCCUCCAGUGGCAUCUGAUCGCCCUCAGAACAAAACCCCCCAAACCUGCAAGGCCCCGUGUGACGCGGCCCCUGGAUCCUCGCCGACCUCUCAUCCCGCUUCUCGCUCACAUCGCUGCAGCCGCCCCAACCUCCUCACUUUUCUUCCUACACCUGCUCACUCACCUCAGUAGACAGUUUGGAGCCUAGUGUCCAGGUCGUCUUUCAAUCUUUCAACAGGUGUUACUUUUCCUGGAAUGCUCUUCCCCCAGAUCUGUGCAAGGUUCAUUCCUCUAUUAAUCCAGGCCCCUCUUCCCUGCUGCUCCUCCGCUACCCCCCCUCACCUUCUCUAUCCCCUUCAUCCCCUUCCUCUGCUUCAUUCUUCCACCUCGUUUUCACCACCACUUGGCGUGACGUUACAGAGCCCGAUAUUAGAGGGUAAGAGAACAGGGAACACAGACACAGUUUGAUGCUUGCUGAAUAUUGGGUAAGAGAGCUAGGAAUAUAGGGCGGUUCUUACCUGUUGGCAAGGUAACUAAAACAUAGACACCAACGUAAAAGUUCAUUGUUAUGAAGUUCCAGAGAACUUCUACCAUGUCAUUGUUAUGAAGUUCCAGAGACUUCUACCGUGUCACAUAGAGAGGGAAGGGGACCGUGACUGCAAGGAUGGGGCAUUUGAUGAUAUGAGGAAGGCCCCACGUUUCUUUUUUUUUUCCAGUUCUCAUACCUUCUAUAACCAAACGCUCUCCAGAUAGUGCCACAUUUUCAUUUUUAUUGGUGGCAGCACAAGAUAUUCUUCAUGCGUUGGUACACAUGGCCGAUCUAAUUGUUAUGAGCUGGUAUUUGAAAUACAACUCUGCCACGGAUGGACAAAUCUGUAGAGGACCUGGGCUGGAAAGAGGAUCCUUUCCCCCCGACUACCGCAAAAAAUCUCCCAACCAUUUGCCUUCAGUCUCUUGCUUCUCUUCACGAUCCAUCUCAGAUUAUUUUCCCACAGCAGGGGAUGGAGCACAUCUCUGAACCCACUGUGGAACACCGUUGCCUACUGAAUAGCACAGAAACUCCUUACUGUCCCAUUCACAGCCUUCCACAGUUCGACUCCAAGUGCCUUUCCAGCCUCACACUGGAUCCCUCCGCAGUCUCUGGUUCCCAGGCAGAGGGCAUCACUACUCUUCACUGCUCCUUACAUGGUUAUCUGCAUUCGCACCUGUGUCCUUAUUCCCGAACCUGAAACUUCUCCCUUCCACCCACCACCCACACUGCCGUCAAAAUUCUGCUCAAGGCCUAGUUCAAGCCCACAUUCCUGUGACUUCUCUUUUGAAUGCAGAGCUUUCCUGUGUCCUACGCAUGCCCUUUACUUGUUCUUCCAUCAUACACUUAAUUCAUUUUGCGUGUUCUAGUUGGUGUUUUGUGUCUAUCUUUUCUACUACAGCCAAGGUUGGGGAGGGAGACUGUGUCAUAUUCUUUUUUGGUUAAGCCUUCAGGGCUUUGUACAAAGUGGGUGAUCCAUGGAGGUCUGAUGAAUGCAUGUUCCCUGGGUAGUUCAGCUUAGCCUCUGUGGUUGGUUUAAUAUUUAUAGAGAGUCCACGGUGAGGGAGACGUGAGACAGAGCUCAGCAGUGUCGGCUCGGCCACUCACGUGGCCGAUGAGAUGUGUAACAAAACUAAUUACAUGAACUUGGUUUGAAUUUUUUAGGUUAAUUUUUUUUUUAUGAAAAUACAGGUAAAAUGUAGCAGCUGUCUGAGGGGAGAAAAUAGGCCAAAACACCAGACAAGACCACAUAUAACAAACGGUGCUAUUAAUCCCUUAAUAUCUUUUGAUUUUUUAUGACAUUCUAAUGCUCAUAUUCAUCCCCUCAUUUGGCACAGCAGUUACUUAACUAGCACAGAAUUGAAGUGUCAUAGUUUCUAACAGGAUUGAGAUAUGGUGGUGCACUUAUAUAACUGAGCUUUAAGCAGUGGGGUGGGAGAGAAUAAUUAGGAAAGUUACCUAAUGUUAAUUGGAGGUUAUUUUAAUUUUUUUUUUUUUUUUUUAGUGUUUUACUUUUUGUUUUUGGGAGACAGAAAAAAACGUGAGUGGUAGAGGGGCAGAGAGAGAGAGAGAGAGGGAGACAACAGAAUCUGAAGCAGGCUCCAGGCUCUGAGCUGUCAGCACAGAGGGCGACACAGGGCUCAAACUCACGAACUGUGAGAUCAUGACCUGAGCUGAAGUUGAAUGCUUAACCGACUGAGCCACCCAGGCACCCUUGGAGGUUAUUUUUAUAGAACAAAGAAUUGGAAACUACCUAAAUGUUCAUCAGUUGGGCACUCAUUAAAGCAACUGGAGUAUGAACACAUUUUUUUUUUUUAAUGUUUUAUUUGUUUUUGAGACAGAGAGAGACAGAGCAUGAGCAGGGGAGGGGCAGAUAGAGAGAGGGAAACACAGAAUCCGAAGCAGGCUCCAGGCUCCGAGCUGUCAGCACAGAGCCCGACGCGGGGCUUGAGCUCACAAACCACGAGAUCAUGACCUGAGCCGAAGUCAGAUGCCCAAUCGACUGAGCCACCCAGGUGCCCCAGAGUAUGCACACAUCUUGUAGCGCAUUGUACCAGCAUGGGAAAAUAUGCGUAAUAUGUAGUUAAGGGAAAAGGGCAAGUGCAAAAUAAUACAUGUGGUUUGAUGCACUUUAUGUUGGGGAAAACUUUAUAUAAGUGCAUGUAAAUGUAAGUAAAAAACAUAAAUUAUAUAUAUACACACAUCCACACAUCCACAUACAUAUAUACACACACGUACACUUGUAUAUAAUAUAUUUUUGUCUGGAAGAAUAUGUACACUAAACUGUUAGCAGCAGUUACCUGUAAGAAAAGGAACUGGAGAGGAAGCACCAAGUGGGGGAAAGGGAGGGAUAAUAUUCAGUUCUAAUUCUUUAUAUUGCUGUGUUAUUUGAAUUUGUUAUGAGUGCAUGUUAGGUUUGCAAUUAUCAGCAGCAGCAGCAGCAGCAGCAGCGAAUCCUUUCAAGAAAGAGGACACUCGCUGGGCAGAAGCAUGUUGGAAUGUGAGUAAACACACAGAGGGCCUCAGAAACCUAGAGAGCAGCAGCGGUCAGGGGGGGCCGCACACAAGCCGAAGCCACCAUCCUCUGUGAGGAUCGGUCCCCGCUGCUGCAGAAUGUGCACCGAUCACUGCCAACCCCACGGUAACACACCCCCAGGAAGUCACCAUGGCUCCUUAAUCAGGGUCACAUGGUUCUCUCUCUUGUGGGAAACCCCUUCAGGAGAGGAUUCGAGCUUGGGAGCGCAGGCUGGAAUCCACUUACUGUUCUUUCUCAUGCCUAAGCCAGGCCACUCUGGCCAUAUUUCAGUGUGUUCAAUUCAGAUCACAUUUGAGCCUCCAGAAGGGACACCUAAUCAACACCGCUGUUUUUAUAAGCACUCGUAAACAAUUUUGAGGGAUAUACUUAAGUUACUCAUUGGUUCUGAUUUUUAGAUAAAGCUGUCUCAGUUCAUCUCUCCUCCUAAUACGUGUCUCAAAUAGUUCCUGCUUAAAGCCAGAUUUAGUUGGUUGUUUCUGUGCAAAGUUGGUAUAGGAGACAGAGCCCUGGAGGGCAGGCUUUGCCCUGAACCUUCCGUAGAACCUCGAACAGAGCUUAUUUUCUUAUCUGUGCUUCAGUGUCCUCGUCUAUUAAAUGAAAGAGUUGUACCCAGUAAUGUCCAGGGUCGUUAUAAGCACUAACAUUUGUAAUCUGGUCUAUGAACCUUUGGAUGAACAUGUAUCCAGGGCUUUGUGGGGGCCAAGGUGAGGCCCACAGACUUACAGUAUAAAUGACUUAUUCAAAUCCUUCCCCUUAAAAAAAUUUUUUUUUCAUGUUUUUAUUUAUUUUUGAGACAGACAGAGCAUGAGCAGGGGAGGGGCAGAGAGAGGGGGAAACACAGAAUCCGAAGCGGUCUCCAGGCUCUGAGCUGUCAGCACAGAGCCCAACGCAGGGCUCGAACUCACGGAGUGUGAGAUCAUGACCUGAGCUGAAGUCAAAUGCUUAACCGACUGAGCCACCCAGGUGCCCCUAAAAAAUUUUUUUUUAUGUUUUUUUAUUUUUGAGAGAGAGAGAGAGAGAGAGGGAGAGACAGAGUGGGUGGGAGAGAGGCAGAGAGAGAGAGAGGGAGACACAGAAUCUGAAGCAGGCUCAGGCUCUGAGCUGUCAGCACGGGGGACUCAUGCAAGGCUCGAACUCACAAACCUUGAGAUCGUGCCCUGAGCCGAAGUCGGAUGCCGAACCUACUGAGCCACCCAGGUGCCCCUCAAAUCCUUUCUCAUUUGACUGCUCCUCUGUCCUUUUAGAGCAAAAUCUGACACCUCAUGGCGCUAUAAUCUGAUGUGGAAUCUGACGAAAUGACAAACACAGAAAGCAGCAAAAAGCUACAUUUGGACAGACACCCAUUCUGUCACGAUCAAAGACGAAGGCCCCAUUGGUCCAGCACCACAUCUAGCACCGAGAAGGUGCUCAACAAGUUCUUUAAACAAAUAAAUUAGUGAGUAAAUGAUGUCACCAGCUGACAGAAAAGCCCAUCUGAUCCAAUCUGAUUAGAGGAAGGCCGGAACUUCCUGAAGUGGACCUUGCGGUCCGGCUUGAAGGUUCUCCUGGAGCCAACCACACCCUGACAGGCUUCAAUUGCCUUCACUUCCCAGGGAGGUCUCCAGGACUGACGGACAGUUCCCUGAGGUGUAGCAAGGGGGGAAGACAACACUCGCUCGUCACCCUGAGACUGGCAGUCGCCUCCCCACAGAAUGUUCUUCAAGAAAGGAUUUUGCUCCCUCACCAGAUAGGGCCCUUUAUUCCUCAUUUACAGUUGGGAAGUGAAUUGGCGUGACUGAAGAGACGUAGAAGAAAGUUUUUCUGGGUCUGCCUGAGCAGUAGAUGCGGCUCAAUCAAAGGCAGCACAGUGCAGGAAAAAAUUAAAGCUCAAACAAUGCUUCAAAGUUAUUUUAUUAUCUCAAGUAGGUUAAAAUAAUUUGUCGAUACUUCUGUUUAUCCCUUAAUUGGUUUAAUAAGUUCCUUCUUCAAAGACAGCACAGAGAUAAAUUUCAGCCAGCUUGAAUUAUCACAGAUGCCUAAAAUCAGUCAUUCAAAUUAACUUACUGGGAAAAUUGUUAACUUUCACAACCACCUCUUCCAGAGGCUUCUACCUACGUACUUGUGGUGUCCGUCUGUCUUGUCAACUCAUAUUUUACUGUAAUCUCUCUGAUUUCUGACUCUUUUCUUUUUCUGCUUUUCCUUUGUUCCUGCUAGAUUUUCUAGUUUUCACUCCUCGUAACAUCUCGUUGCCAAAUAGUACCAAGCGUCACUGCUCCUGGUAUUUCUGAAAUGUUGAGUUUUCUCCCCAAAUGUGUGUGCUCCCAGCAAAUCAACACACAUGAAGAAGCAUCGAAAUGUGGUUUAGUCUCUUCUUAAUGUGCCUUUGAGUCCUGGUCAAAGUGAGAGAAUCCAGCAAUGAGACAGUGUGACCUAGGAUGUGAAAAAAGCUUGACUCAUACGGUCAGUAGACGAGGCCUGUGAUUUAAGGGACAUUGGUUCGCCUUUCUGGGCCUCGGUUUCCCAUUGCAAAAAGAAGCUACUGAAGCUGACUGGCCUCUGUGUUUUCAGUUUUGACUUUCCACCACGUUGUGAGAGGCAGCAUUUGGAAGUAGUUGGUAUGAUUUAGAAGCCAUUUUAGGUCAACCAGAAAAGGGAUAAUGUAAAUCUUGAGAAAUACAACCACCAGGGUGCCCAUGAGACUCAUGUAAUCACCUCUCUUCCUGGAGAGAUUAGGAAAUUGUGGUUUAAAAACCAAAAGCCCUAAGUUGCAGCCCUGUACUCAUUGAUUUAAAAAAAAAAAAAAAAAAGAAAAAAAAAGCUAAGUCAGUAUUUUCCUUAAAAAAAAAAAAAAAAAGAACUAUAAACAGUAUGUUUUGAGGUGAGAGAAAAGUAAACAAGAAUGAAAAACUGUUUAUUAAAAUUUUAAAACUUUCAGUCACAUGACUGUUCUGGAACACAAAAGCCUUCCCUGUUUUUGUUACUAAGUGGCCUGUGAUUUAAAGCUCCUGACAACAGCCGCUCACAAUGACACUGUCCCCCUUUCUUCCCUGCACGGUCCUAGCAGACGCUCAUUUGUAUGUAUGGUUUCAGCCUGUCUGCCGUGUCUGGCCAAAGGGACAGAUACUAAUGGCAUAUGUUAAUUACUAUCCAACAACUUCCUUUCAUUAGAGUGUUUAUUAACAUUCUCACUUCUGCCCAUUGAACCAGCUGGCACGAGGGCACACUGGCAGCUUUGAGUUCACGUGCUGUUUUUCACUCCGGGCUCACACGAUAGAAUAGAUUUUUCUUUUUUGGAUAAUGAAACCUUUUCUGUUUCGAUCUCGGCCGAGAGCUUUCUGAGAUGCCCGGAAGAUGACACCAAAACGGUAACUUGGAAACAAAUGUCUUGCUGUGGUGGCCCACCUUCAGAGCUGUUCUAGAUGUAUUUUGGUUCCACAACAUGGGAGGUAUUCAUCGGUCUGUUUGGACAUCUCUUCGAUAUCAUUAGUGGGCGCCCAAUAACCCUUCUUUUAAUUAUAUGCACCCAGGAGCUAUGAAAUAAUUUGUGUAUUAGUGAAACUAUCUUCUCUAAAUACAACUCUAGACUGGAUUUCUCAAUAGCAAGACAAGACACAGUUCACUACGAUUUCAGGGCAUGGGCACUGGGGGUGGGGGGGGGUGGGGUGGGGAGAGUAAGGCAGCCAGGGAAAAGUCCGAAAGACCCAAAGUUUGUAUGGCAUGAUGAACUGCAAAUGGACAUAUUUUCACAUUUAACAGUAACAGCGCAAUUAACCAUAAAGAGCUCUUAGAUCUUUCCACUUGAUUGGUUGCACAUGUCCCUUUAAGGUGCCCUGAGGAGGGAAAUGGACGAGUUGCCAGCAGAAUGACAAAGCAGGAAUGACACGGUAAACAAGUGUUUUCCAGCGUUCUCACCCAGUGACAUCCCUCCGUGGUCACUCCUCACAGAAUAUCAAAUGUAGGAGAGAGAGCAGAAUGCUAAGAAGGCAGUUCUUAGACAGUCGCCUUGUUGGGAAAUCACAGUAGAUUCCACUCUCAAGGGGAUCAGAAGUUUCGUUCUCAUCUGAUCAGGCUGCCUUGCUACAAAUAUUAGACGAAUGGGUUUUUUGCUUUCAUAUUAGAUAGCGCACAGCUUUCGAAUACCAUGCAAAGAGCAGUGAUUUUGCCAAAGGAGUUUCACAGUUGCAAAGGCCUUGGGGCUUUUGUAACCGUUUUUUUGUUUUUUUUGUUUUUUUUUGUUUUUUUUUUAAUUAAAGCUAAAGCAAGUCUGUGCUUUGUAUUAUUAAUCCUGUGAGGAGGCCACACUCCUUUCUCUUCUCACCCCUCGUGUCCCAGCCACCAGACCCAACCAGCUCCCAAGGUUAUGUGAUCUAAAGCCAAAGCCAUGCUUAGUCACACUCUGCAUGGGUCUGGUGUCACAGAGCUCUGGGAAGGAAAGUCUUUGGCGUUGCUGGGAGUGGGCAGAUAAUGGAGUACCACCAGCCACAGGGAGAAUGCUUUAGUGAGAGGCAUUCAUUUAAUCAACAAAUAUUUGUUACCUACAAACAACGCUGAUAUUUAGUUGUUAUGCACCAGUAUGGCUGGAUCUACUGGUUAAAAAAAAUUUUUUUUAAUGUUUAUUCAUUUUUUGAGAGACAGAGCAUGAGUGGGGGAGGAGCAGAGAGAGAGAGAGAGAGAGAGAGAGAGAAUCCUUAGCAGGCUCCAGGCUCUGAGCUGUCAGCACAGACAAACCACAAACGGGGCUCAAACCACAAACUGUGAGAUCAUGACCUGAGCUGAACUCGGACACUUAACCCACUGAGCCACCCAGGUGCCCCUGGAUAUACUGGUUUUUAAAAUAUCAAAAUAUUUCCAUACUUAUGGGUAAAAUGUCACUACCCUGAGUCUUUCCAGUGUCCCUAUCUGCCCCAGACCUAUCAAUCACCUUGCACCUCCUGAAUUCUCUAAGACCAAGUACCUACAAGAUUCAUGCUUGGCCCCACAGGGGCCUCCAGAACUCUGCUCCAGCGCUAGAGCUCACGUCGUGUGAAAGGGGCAAUGACCACCGACAUGGGUGUAAAUAGCUAGACUAUCACCAUUGCCUCCAAUGUCCCUGCACUAAGCUGGGUAUUGGUGAUACACAGAAAAAGAAAACAUUGACCCCUGUCUUCCAGGAUCUCCCAACCUGGUGGAGACUAUCAUGAAAAAAAGCUCUGCGCUAAAUCCCAGGAAUUUUGAGCUGAUGCCACUCUGAUUUGCAGACUUAGAAACCGGACUUUGUCCACAUGCUAGAGUGGAUCAAGUUCUCAGGGACAGAUUCACAUCAGUCAAGCUCUCAAGAGACUGCUGUAUAAACCAAGUCGCAAUUUAUUAAUUUGCGACGAGAAAUAAGAACUUCUAGGCAGAGUGGACAUCUGUGGUCACCUUGACUAACAGUCUCUCCCAGUGGGAAACUAAAUAGGAAGACAAAUGGUAAUGAGAACACAGCUUGAGUACACAACCUGAGCAGGGGAUAUUAGAGGGAUGGUUUUAACGUCAAAGGGUGUCACAUUUUCUUAAGCUCAUGUCUUCACUUCCUCUUGGGAGAUGGACCUGCCCAAAUAGAGAGCACUGGAUGUUCCUGUCAGUUCCCCCAGGCACUCUCCCUUUGGCGAGCUGUCCCCCCUCACUCCCACUUCUCUUUCCAUGCCGACCUCCUCCCUUGGUUCACUCAUUCUAUCUUUAGAUUUGUUAAUACCUCCAACCAGGCUCCAGCCAAACACUGUUGGUUUCCUGUCCCUGCCUUGGAAGCAUUCUCUCUUUCAGGUGACCCCGCACAGAUCCUGGUGUUCUAGUUGGGUUUGGUCAUUUAACUCAUUGCUUCUCCGAUGAGGCUAAACUUUGGAAGCACCUAAGAAACCUUUAAAAAUACUGAUGUGUGGUUCCCAGAACCCCCCNCCCCCCCCCCCCCCCCCCCCGCCCAAGGAAUUCUGAUUUAACUGAUUCAGGGUGAACUUUGGGCAUUGAGCUUUUUUAAACAACCUCCCCAAAAUAGGGAACAAGAAUGCAGGGCUCCUGAAGAGUUCAAAUUCAAAGAGAAGAGAUUUGAAUUUGAAUAACGUUUGAGAAUCACUGCUAUAACUCUCAUGGGUGGAGGAUGUCUUGACCUGCACCAGCUUUUAACACGUACCGGUGCUCUGGUUCCAGCCUGAGCUGCUGAUUUAUUUGGUACCCAGUGGGAGCCAGGCAUGGGCAUUUUUACAAGACUCCCCAAAUGAUUCCAACGUGCAGCCAGGGUUGAGAUUCAAUGGUCUAAACAUUCAUUUUACUGAGUUUUUGGUGUCGAUUCCCCCUUGGCCAUAGCAUUGCAAAGAGGGGAAAAUAGAAGAUAGAUUGUGGGAAAGGUCUGUAGAGGUGAGUUUUUCCAGAGGAACAGCAGGGGCCUAUAUGUGUAAGCCCCGUGGCAUGAGCAGGAAGACCAUGUGGGCAGGAGGUAGCCAAGAAGCUCAAAGUCGGUUUCUUUGUAUCUGAACCAAACUUAUGAUUUCACUGCCACGGACAUGGAUUGGGAUGUAUACUCUUAGGGCCAUUUUGUGCCAUAUCAUUGAAUAACUUCAGUAGAAGUCACGGAAGUAAAUGGGUGUACUUAAGGAAAGUCUGGUUUACUGAAUAUUUUUCUAUAGGAACCUGAUUUGCUUAUGUUCUUUUGGUUGUUCCUCUGUGCCCUCCACCUGAAGCCCCUACUUUCUGAAGAUCGCCAUCUUGAAAGAGGUGCAGCCACAUUUUGGUCCAUAUUCUCCUUAGCAAUAGCUAUGUUUAGCACAGAAGCAAGAGAAUCCCAGCCUGUGGCAUCUUCCUAAAUAGGUUAAGGAUUUUCCAUUUUCCUCACCAUUCCCGAAUUUCCCGUUGUCAUUUUUAACCUUUCCAAUGUGCAUGAGAAUUCACUUGGGCUUUCUGGAUGUUUGUAGCCUUGUCUGAUUGCAGGGCAUCUGGGAAAGCCAUCAACUCCACUUUGUCAGCAACUUAAAAAAAAAAAAAAAUGCAUUCCUAGGAGAGGAAAAGGCAGUGGGCUGGGCAGAGGCCUACCCGGUGCCUCCACCCUUCCUUCUCUUGGGACUGCCAGUCGUGGGCCUUGAAACGAAAUGAUUUUGAGAAGGAACAAGGGGGACAGAGCAUGGCCACUGUGCAGAUGACACAGCACAAUUCUGAGGGAGCCACUGACACAACAUUCUACAAUCACGGUGCCUAUAGCCACCUUCCCCCACUGCCCUGCUCAGCAGUCCUGGCAGGAACACUGUUCUUUGAAUUUCACCUCCUCUGGGGCCCCAGAUUCCGGGUUGCAUUCAUGCUUCUGACACACACAGCACCCGAGAAAUCUCGUUUUCUUUGGGCUUCACUUGUUCAUCUAGAAAUCGAUAGGUGUUUUCCAGGUCUCAGCCUUAUUCCAAAAGUCCCUUUCUCUAGGCCUGUGGGAGCCCAGCUAUUUGCAUGACUGAAACAAUUUGCAUGUAAUCUCUCAGAUAGAAUAAAGAGAACAUUAGUUGGAAGACUUCGAUAGCCAGAUCUGAGGCUGGAUUCUUUUGUCUGGCCCUCUGUUUUACACAUUUCAGAUUAGGAUCCCUUGAAGCUAUUUCCCAGUUCAUUCAAAUGAGAGCCCAGGAUCUCUCAGAAAGCCACUGUGGAAGAAACCCCCACCGACAGUCAUCUCUCUGUGUCAUUCAAAGAGCAGCCAUGCUCAGCUCUUUAUAAUCUUAUAAAUAUCCAUAAUUCAAUAUGGUCAGAUAAAACAGCCCUCUCUCUCAACAUAACCGAUAAGCUACAAAUCAGGAUUGUCGGUCUUCGGAAACCAGCAGGUUAGGCGCACUGAGGUUUGUUUUACUGCAAUUGCACAGUCACGUAUGUAUCACUGCCUCAUAGAUCUCAUCUCUCACUGGUCACAGUGAGACGCUUCUCCAAACUUUCAGACCCUGUAAUGAGGGGUAAGUCCAGAUGAAAGAGAAUUGGAUCCUUAUGAUGUUGAUAGAUAUCCAAUGUGACCCGUGUGUGUGUGUGUGUGUGGACCUGUGAGAGAUAGUUCGGCCUCCUCAUUCAGUGACAUUUAUUUGCUCAUUAUUCAAAGUAACAAAAACUUCCAGGAGGCAACUGUGCUGGGUGCACUUUGUUCUCGCCUUGUUUCAUGCCCUCUUCUCUAAAAAGAAUCUCUUGUAAUUGCUUGAUGUUACCCUGGAAGACCCAUAAAGAUUUUCAGUUCAAAUUGUAGAAUUUUAGAGCUAAUAGACACCUUAUAGAUCAUCUGUCUGAUGCUGGCACCACGUUUCUACACAGGAGGAAGCAGAGGUGUAAAGGCACACAGCAAGUUUGUGACAGGUAACACCCAGGUCCCUUUAACUACGUUACCCCUGAGAACCUCAACCCCGCCCCUGUUCCCACUCUAUCAUUGCAAACAUAAGCCGGUUUUCCCCACGCCUCACCUUCCUGAAGCUGGACUACAAUUGUUAGUAAUGAACCAGAUUUCACUAGUUCAUGCCCACCAGCUCAGCCAAGAUAUCCUCAGUCCUCUGCAACAUGUCUCCCUCGUUUUCUGGACGUCUCCGUAAACUCACGGACAAAUUUACUCCGUUGGGUCCACCGGGCCACUCUUUUCCUGCCAGGCAGCUGUGGCCACUGCUGUCUCAUGCCACGGCACUAGGAAGCAGUGGGAUUCCCAAAAUGCUAGAGUUGCCCUGACUCUCGUCCCACCUCCUCUUCGAAAAGGUUUCCUUCACCUUAUGGUUAUGCAGAGGCCUUAGUGAAGCUGCUUCCUUGGGGGCUCCAAUGUUUUCUGUAAAGGACUCACGCAUGAGUCUUGUGUAAGUGGUGAGUGAAGAAGUGUGGAUGUGUGUCCAUGAAACAAAAGCGGGUAACACACACUCUACUGAGAAUUUUAAUGACAAAGUCUUACCACUGGUCAAGCUGCCCAAGCGAGGUCCCUGCUCCUCUUAGAAUGAGUUCUUUCCCAGAAGGCUCCUCUGUUCUUCAUGCAAAUAAAUGACUUCUAGGCCUCCCCCAGCGAUUUAGGAUUGGGCCCGUAGUUGAACUCCAGCUUACAUGCAAGGGGGAGCCCUAUUAUACUAGUAGUUUUCUUCUUUAAACUAUGUAGUGAUAUUAUUAAAGGAUCCAGUUGGCUUGCGGGGAGGGGGUGUGAUCUGACCUUUGCUGUGAAUAUGGUCUAAAAUAAGACUCUCACUUUCUGUUCCUCAAUUCUUCCAUCUACAGUAGCUUUCCCCCAUCUGUUCUGCCGGUACACAGGGAAGGAUCCAGGCUUUGUGGGGCCUGAAGCUGGCAUUUUUUGGCACCUUCCUUAAUUAAAAAAAAAUACAAAAUACCAAAUACAAAGUCAGAACAAGAAUGAAUCUUGGUUUAGAAUGAGUAAAGAAAUACAACAAAUUUUACAGUUUAAAAAGCUGACCAGUAACAGGGACACCUGGGUGGCUCAAGUUGGUUAAGACUCUUGAUCUCAGCUCAGGUCUUAAUCUCAGGGUUGUGAGUUCAAGCCCAGCAUUGGUCUCUGCAUUGGGCGUGAAACCUACUUAAAAAAAAAAAGCAAAAAAAAGCUGACCAGUAACAAAACCUAGAAAAAUAUAAUAUUUUUUGUCAUUUAACUGCCUAGUAUACCUCUUUAAUUCUUUGUCACUACUUUUUUUGUUUUUUUGCUGCAUACUUAUUAAUUGCUUCUUUAUUUUACCAUGAUUUUCUAGUACCAUUUUUUAUAGUGAUAAUACAUGAAAUAGUCUUUCCCUUAGCAUGGUAGAUGGCAAAUUAUAUUUUAUUAGGAACAGAAAAGUUCCUUUUGGCUUUACAACAUGUUGUUGGUCGUGUCGUGUAAACUUUUAGGAUUGGGAGAACCUCUAUCAAAUUUCUUUCCUGUAUGAGCUUUCAGGGCAGGUCAAGUGGGCACAGUAACUCCUUUUCAACACUCUGGAUUGGUGACACUCAUUGACUGGAAUCACGAGGGUUCCAUGCAAGUGAAGCAUCCUGAAGCUUAAGCCUCCUUUGCCUCCUACCCUGACUUCUCUGGAAAAUGAGGAGAAAAAUGCCCACCAAAUCCACUGCUCCUCCCCAUGCCCUCCCCACCGCUAUGCUGGGGCCAGCCCUGAGACUAAUGCUCAGAUAGCACUAGAGUCUGGAACGUGUGUGUAUAUGACAGCUGUGGCAGAGAGAAAGAAACUGGUCUUGAGGUGCCUGGGUGGCUCAGUGGGUGGAGCGUCUGAGUCUUGAUUUUGGCUCAGGUCAUGAUCUCAGGGUUCACGGGAUUGAGCCCUGAGCGCAGAGCCCGCUUGGGAUUUUCUCUCUCCCUCUCUCUCUCUCUCUCUCUCUGCCCUUCCCUCCACUCAAGCACCCCCCCCCCCCCCGCUUCUCUCUCAAAAUAAAUAAACUUAAAAAAAAAAGAAAGAAACUGGUUUCAAGCUCACUUUUUUUUCCUGAUGCUUGAAGCACUUCCAGCUAACAAGUGGAUACAUUUAUGUUGGAUUAAGUCACUAAGGAAAUGUUAGGAAUGAAUUAAAGUUCUUGGGGUGUCACAGGGGGCUGUCACACUCACUAUCUUUUUUCUUGAAUCCAGCAGUCUUCAAAUAGUGCUACACAGACCCCUAGGUUUCCAGAGGUUCCUCAGGGGCUGCCUAGAGUGAGGAUGGGGGAAGGGGGUGGGGUGCUCAGGGAAAGGGGGUGCUGGGUGGGCAGGGCCCUGGGUUCCCCCUCCACCGCCCGCCGCCCCCAUCAACCAGAUUCAAUUAUUCUAUAUACCAAAAGAGUUCCACUACAUCAAAGUGUUUUGCUUAAAAGAAAAGUUUGAUAAUGUUUACCCAUCAGUUCAUUUUCAUCAAGAACAAGCAUUGUGCGCCCAACAUGUGUACUCUUUGCCAUUUAGAAAUACUAGCCAUUCAUUUGCCAAUGAUUACUAGCUAAAACACUUGCAAUUAAAUGAUUUUCCCUGUUCUGUGUUUCGCUCCUGCAUGUUCAUCUAAUAUGUAGGUCAGUUUGUUUCAGGAUUGCAUUAUUUUUGCUUUCCUUUCCUUUCAAUUUUCGGUUCAAAAUGCAGUUGAUUGAAUAAAAACCACUUUGCUUCAAUUACUUAACACAGAUACUCUGGGAACACCAACAAAGUCUUGGUACAGCAGGGACACAUCCACUGUUGGCAUUUAAUAAGGUGUUUUUUUUUUUUUUUUUAAACUUUCCUUUUUAGCUCUCAGAGUUAUUCUUGUAUUCACUUGAGGUUUGCCCUAGUAUUUUUCUCUGGAUUUCUUUAUCAAGCUCUACAUUUUGCCAACUCUUCCAUUUAGGUGUUUGCUUUUGUAAGAUAAUUUGCGAAUGAGAAAUGAUUAGCAUUUUUCAGUUGUUGUUUGUUACAUUUGUGCUAUAUCUUAUUCUAUCUCUUUAUAAAGGUCAUAGGACAUGUAUUACCUUUCCCUCUUUCUUCUUCCUUAUCUUCAAGAACUGGUCAGGAAUUACAUACCUUAGGCAAUUAGUAAGUCAAUUUAUCCUUGAACAAGUAGAUACUUGAACAACCCGAUAUUUCUGAUUCCAAGUUUUCCUGCCUGGAAUUUUUUUCCCCCCUCUUCCAUGGGUUCCUUAGGAGCAGAUUUUGGUUCCUUCUCAUAUUCCACAUGUUCUGCCUGGGAAAUCCCACCCACAAGCACUGCUGUAGCAUCACAUGUGCAGGAACAGUGUCUGUUUAUCUCUCAAGCUGUGUCUACUUCCCUGAGUUCAAGGCCCAUAUCUUGUUUGUUUCCAAGAAACUCACUUUAGUUUUUAAAAUUUUUAUUAUGGAAGCAUAGUUGACAUGCAAUGUUGUAUUACUUUCAGGUGCAGAAUUUGACAAUUGUAUACAUUACACACUGCUCAACAUGUUAGUGUGGACACCAUCUGUCACCCAGCAAUGUUAUUACAAUAUUAUUGACUAUACUCCCUGUGCUGUACUUUUUAUUUCCAUGACUUACUUAUUUUAUAACUGGAAGUUUGUACCUCUUAAUCCCCUUUAUUUCACUCAUUCUCCGCCCCUCCACCUCCCCUCUGGCCACCACCAGUUUGUUCUCUGUAUUUAAGGGUCUGUUUUUGUUUUUUGUUUGUUCACUUGUUUUGUCUUCUAGAUUCCACAUGUAAGUGAAAUAAUUUAGUAUUUGUCUUUCACUGACUUGUUUCUGUUAGCGUAACAUCCCCUAGAUCCAUCCAUGUUGCUGCAAAUGGCAAGACCUCGUUUUUUUAAAAUGGCUGAGUAAUAUCAAGGCCCAUAUUUUUAAUGGCUAAUGAGUUAUUCCAGGAAGUCCCCUAAAGCUUCAAUAUUAAACUUCUCCUUGCAAUAAAGAAUUAAGUGGCCUCCACAUAAUGUGAUAAAUUGUUAUGUUUGCUCUAUAAUGUUAUUUUCUUUUGAGUGAAGUAUAAUGCCAAUUCAAUGAAAUUUCCUUUUCAGGGUCAGCCCAAUUCAAAAUGGAAAGAGCAAGUUUAAAAGAAAAUAGCUAUUAUUAGGAGUGAUCUGUUAUACUUUAAUUGAAGUAGUCGAACCAAGCUAUUGUCCAUUGUGAUAAAAAUUUGCCAGCUUCUGGUGGUUUAACAGCCAAUCCUCUGGGAGAGAACCAGGCACAUGCCCAAGCUGUGUCAUGAGCCGUGUUUAUACGACUGUAAAACACGGAUUAUAGUUCCUCUAUUGGAAAUCCCAUUUUUGGAAGAAAUGUGAAAAACUGUCCCUUUUGAUUGGAAUUUGGAACCAAGCAUCUCUUCCUUUCGUGUGUCCGAAAGUCCAGAUCAUGUUCCUUCCUUUACAGUCAUCCACUCAGCUCACAGAUAUCUGCUACAUACUUUCUUUUGGUAGGCACAUUCUAGAUGCCAGGAGACCUUGGAGACCCAAGACAGGAAAUGGAGCUUUACCUUAGGAAGCCGGUAAACAGAUAAACUAACACAUAAACAACAUGACUUUGAAGGUGUUAAGUAAGGUUGGGAAAUGAGACAGAACAAGAAGGAGUGUGAUGGGGAAAUUAAGUGUUUCAGGUAGAGGGGUGAGGGUAGGACUCUCUGAGAAAGCAGCCUUUGGACAGACACUUGAACGAGGCGAGAGGGAGCUCUGCACAGAUCUGGGGGAAGAGCAUUCCAGGUGAGGGAAUAGCAGGUACACAGGUCCAGAGGUGGGAGUGAGCUUGGUGAGUUAAGGAAGGGUUUUUAACUUGGUGUCCGUGGAUAGAAGCAGCGGCUCCUGGAGUUGAAUGGGAAAGAAAAUUACAUCUCUAUUUUCACUAACUUCUACCUGAAACUUAGCAUUUCCUCCACUAAUGAAUAUGGGCAAACAAACCGCAGUGUCUUAGCGGCAGCUUCGACUCUGUCAUCGAAAGAAAUCACCGAACUUUCAUAUUGCGUUAUAGUUGCCGCAGAUAUCCGCAAAUGUCACUCGUGCUCAUCACGACUUCAAAAUUAUGAUAGCUGUUAGAGCUGCUGGAUCCUGUGACUUAACACGGUGAUGAAGACGCACAUCUAUUACUGUGUCACAAAUUUGAUUUUUAAUAUUCUGGUAAUCAUAUUUCCAUGCAGUUGUAUCCUUUGCAAUCUCGAGUAUUUUACUUACUGCAUUUAAAAACUUGCUUCUAAAAGGCGAUCCGUAGGCUUUAUCAGACUGCCGAAGGGAUCCAUGGCACAGAAAAGGUUGAGAACUCACAUGUUAGAAGAAGAACAAGGAAGAAAGUGACUGGAGUAAAGUAGCAAUUUAGUAGUUGAGUUUGACAGGGGAGGCAGGGGCCAGAUUAUCAGGGUUGGAUAGGCCACAGCCAAGAGUUGAGGUUUUAUGUUAAAGGCAAUGGGAAGCUAGUAGUGGCCUUUAAUGACUUUUUUUUUUUUUUUUUUUUAAAGUAAGCUCUGUGCCCAGCACGGGGCUUGAACUCACCACCCUGAGGCCAAGAGUCACAUGCUGUACCAACUGAGCCAACCAGGUGCCAGUAGAAGCUUUUGAGUAGGGAGGCAACAUGAUGUGAUUUAAGCAUUAGGUCACUCUGGCUGCUGUACGGGGAAAAGACUUGAAGUGAAGACCAGGGGACCAUGAAAGAGCCAGCCGGAAUGCCAGUUGGAAGAUGAGGGUAGAGAUGGAGGUGGUGGAAGAGAUGACAAUUUGCAAAGUGUUUGGAAGGUAGAACGGACAAUUUGGUGCCAGACUGGAUGUGGAUGUGUGAGGAGAAAGGAGACUUUCAGGUUCAUGGCGAGUGGGUGAAAAGUGGUGGCACGUGUCAGUAUAGCAGGGGCUGGGGAGGGGCAGGCUUGGGAGCACGGAGGGAGGUGGCUAUGGAACCAAGAGUCCUCUUUUAAGCAGGUUACUUGAACUGCCUACCAGCCAUCCACGUGGAGCUACCUGGGUAGGAGCUGGGUAUGAGUGAGGAGCCUGGAAAGGGGGUAAGGGCUGGAGAACAAAGUUGGGGUGCUGGAUAUCCAGGCGAUAUGUGAAGCCGUGGGACAGAAUGAGAUCAUCAAGGGAGAGAAUACAUCCAACAUUGAGAGGUCUGGAAGAGAAGGAAGGAGCUAGCAAAGCUGAGCGAAGAGAGCAGCAAGUGAGACGGGAAGGUGGUGUGGAUGUUUACGGAAAUACUGGGGAAGAAAGCCAUUUGAAUCACAAAACAUGCCUUAGUAUAGAUGCCACACAGUACUUUCAAAAUGGGAAUUUUGUAACACAAACAACAAUGGGGGAACAGAGUACGUUACGAUUUUCAGAACUCCACUGGGUACUGUGGAUUAGCCAUGAACAGGUCCUACAUUCGAGGACUUGCGAUUUGUGAUGUGUAGACUGUGGUUGGCCUGUGGGUAUGUUACGUUCUUGGGCAAGCUGUUUGACCACUUUGUUCUUUUUUCCUCUUUUCUGUUUAUAAAUUGAGAUCCAUCUAUAUGGCCCAACAAUUUCACAGGAAGCUUGUGAAAAAUCUCACAUAUCCACAAGAGAAAAUGGAUCACAAUUUGCUUUAUAAUCUCAAGGUGUGAAACAUCAGGGUGGGACCUUACCCAGUUGUGUGUUCAGUGUGGCUCUAAUUCAGAUCCUGAGUUCACCAGUUUGCAUCUUUACUAUACGACUCUACUAGGCCCUGUUCUAGACAAAAAUGUGAAAGAAAAAUUGGUCUUUAGCUGUGCCAUGUCUUUCUUUAGGUACUUCUAGCCUUACUUUGUCAGGCCCCCAAAGGGUGUCCUGAGUCUGACUCCUUCACGGGUCUCCCUGGUGACCACCUUUCCCAAAUCUCUUCCCGCAAUGUGCAGUAAGGCUUCCCAGGCCUUCAGGGCUGUGCCCUAGACAUGCGUGCUUCCAACUCCCUGGCCCAACGUCCCUCACCGAUAGGCACAGGGCAUGUGGGAGUUGUGGGAACAAUCCAGUCCUUAGUAGGUACAAGUGGGGGCUCCGACUUCCUCACCUGCUCUUCCCAUUGUCUGUAACGCUGCCGUGUCCCUGUGCUGCCCCUUCCCUGGUGUGUGGCUCAUACCACAACCCAGUCUCUUCCCCCUGUGCCCAACUUUCCCAGGUCACAAGAUACAGGUAUAGAAAGGACUUUGGACCAGGGGUGAAAGGCCUGGGUUCUGAUUCUAUGUCACUACAAGCCUUGAGUGGAUCACCUCAAUGCCAAGUCUCACUUUCCACUUCUAAAAAACACAUGGUCUGGAUGAGCUCCAGAGUCCUUCUCACUCAGCCACACCACAGCCUGAUAUGGGGGAGCCGGACUCUGGUAAAUGUUCAUGGACAGCAACUGGGCUGACAUGUUUCCUUUUUCUGGUGACGUAUUUGAACUUUACCUUGGGUGCCCUGAGGAAUUUUGCCCUCCCUUCGUCCUAAAGGUUUAUUUCAGUAUUGAUAGCAUAUAAAUAUCGGGGAAGGCCUCUAAGAGUACAUUAUUUCAGAUAAUUGAGCCUUUUAGUAGACCUCAAAAACACCUUCUCCACUUAUGUAUGUAUGGAGAGUCCUGGUUAUGAGGACCAGUUAUUUAAAUGAAAGGGAUAAGGAGAUGGGUCCGUGGAGAACAAUCUGAUAAAAAAUUGUUAGGUUUCAGGCGUAUAGAGUAUAUCUCAUUCCAGAGGAGACGGAUUGAUGGAAAAACAAAAAACUGCAGAUAACUGCUUGUGACCCCAUCCUCCUUCUCCACUGGCCUAGGAAUGACCAGACGAGGGUCCUUCCCCAUGGACAAGAGUGGAGAAUCAAGAUAAUGGGAAAGUCAUCACCAGACCUCAUAGUCUAGCUCCCAGAGGGCAGAAAGAAUCCUUGGGUCUCUGUUAAAUCCAGAGGAAUAUUCUAGCUUUUCGGUCUGCCUAUCCUGGUGUUGUGACUGUAAGAGUAGACACAUUAAAAGCAAGGAUUUGAAAUGCUACCUCACCCUCUCUGCAUCUCCAAAAUCAUCCAGGCUCCAAUUGGGCCCCCGUUGACUCCUGUGACCUUUUCAAGGCUGGAUUCCGGGGCCAUUCCCAAGUGUGCCAAAAAAAAGGUCUAGAGGGAAGCCCCACUGAGGAGGAGAGGGAGGAAAAUGCCCCUCCACCCCAGCUCCUCAAGACCUGGAAAAGGAAUAGCAAGUCGAAUUGUAGAAUACUGCACAGUCUCCCUGGGGAGAAAAAGACAUCCACUAUCUGGCUGGCUUUGGACUUUGUGGGGAGAGUCCAAGAUCAGACAAAGGGUGCCUGAGAAAUAAGAUCUAUCCCUUAAAUAUUCAGCUCUCCAAAAUGUCUACAAUUUAAUUAAACAACAGGGUUGAUCUUCUAGCUCUUGAGGAGCUCUUUUUAAUUAAACUUUGCAUUUCUUCUCUCUGCUCUGCAGAGGCAUUCCAGGGUAACAUUUGGCUUUGAAUGAGCAGUCAUUUUGGCCACCCACGAUGGUUUGGAAAAGCCUCGCUGCUGAGUUAACAAAAUUCUUAAACGUGAAUAUCAUUGGCUUUUCAUUUGCACCGAUAUCCAGAAACUUCUGUUGAUGUUAAUAAAACUUGUGUGUUAUUUUAUUUCUUUUGUGGCUGUCUGCAAAAUAUCUCUGUACAGAACUCAGAUGCCGCCUAUGUUUCAGGCCAAAUUUCAGUUCUUCCAUCUGUAAAAUGGUGUCACAAUUCUGACCCUUAAUACAAAAUUAUUUUACACUUUUGAGUGAGGAAUAAAAAGCUCAUGACAGUGUGUGUGGUGUGACAUCUAAAACACAGUAGCCUUGGGGCACCUGGGUGGCUUGGUCGGUUAAGCGUCCGACUUCGGCUCAGGUCAUGAUCUCGCGGUCCGUGAGUUCGAGCCCCGUGUCGGGCUCUGUGCUGACAGCUCAGAGCCUGGAGCCUGCUUCAGAUUCUGUGUCUCCCUCUCUCUCUGACCCUCCCCCGUUCAUGCUCUGUCUCUCCCUGUCUCAAAAAUAAAUAAACGUUAAAAUAAAUAAAAAUAAAUAAAAUAAAACACAGUAGUCAGAAUUCAUGAGUAGCCUGGAUACCAGUCACCCUUCAUUAAAGUGAGGAAGCGGCCACUGUAGAAAUUGCUUAAAUCUAAAGUAUCAAGUUUAUUUAUUUUAUUUAUUAAAAAAAUAAUUUUUUUUUGAGAGAGAGAGAGAGCUAGUUGGGGGGAGAUGGAGGGGUACAGGGGGAGAGAGAGAAAGAGGGAGAAUCCCAAGCAGGCUCAUGCCCAGCACAGAGCCCAACAUGGGGCUCGAUCCCACGACCCUGGGAUCAUGACCUGAGCCAAAAUCAAGAGUCAGAAGCUCAAUUGACUAAGCCACCCAGGUGUCCCUAAAGUAUUGACUCUAAAAGCUCAGGGUGGAGAGAAUCCACAAGGGUAAAAAGGACAUUAAAUUAUGACAUAAACUUUAUUCUCAUAAACUAUUCAAGUAGGACCUGAGACAGGGCUCUGUAUACAUUGAAGAAAACUGAUUAACAGGUAGGACAGAGCAAACUGAUGGACAGGUAAGAAAGAGAAGGGUGAAGAGAUGAGAAAAGAUGGGUGAAUGAAGGUGAACAAAGUGUUCAUUGCCUUCCCAUAAUGCUGACUGUAAAAAUUUGAAAUCGUGUGGCCAUUUCCUGCUCCGUAGAAACAUACUUCACAGGGAACCUGGGUGGCUCAGUUGGUAAAGCAUCUGACUCUUGGUUUCAGUUCAGGUCAUAAUAUCGCAUUUUGUGAGUUGGAGUCCCAUGUUGGGCUCUGUGCUGACAGUGCAGAGCUUGCUUGGGAUUCUCUCUCCGACUCUCUCUGCCCCUCCCCUGCUCAUGCUCUCUCUCUCUCUUUCUCUCUCUGUCAAAAUAAAUAAAUAAACUAAAAAAAAAAAAAGAAACAUACUUGACAAAAUACUAUGUUUCAGUCCAAUUCUAUGCCACAGAUAUUCAUAAUCUGAGUGUCUCCAUCUAAAUUCUUGUAAAAAAAUGAGUCAGAACAGCAUUGAUUUCGGCCUGGAAACAAAGUACACCAAAGUAAUUCAGAUUUCUAAAAUCCAGGGUCAACCUUGAUGGAUUGGUGUUAAAAAUAUUACUGUAACCUUCCCAAAAUUUUUUCUUACAGAAUGUUAUUUUAGAGCAUGGCAAAACCACUCCUAAAACUGAUCAUUGGAAUUUUUUUUUUUUUUUAACAAUUUGUGAUCUGGGAAACCUGGCAAAACUCUUUGUUGCUCUACUGUAACCAUUAAUAUAUUGUGCUUUAAGAUAGUUAUUUUACAACAAAUGCUAAUUAAUCCAGAAGUAAUUACAUUAUAAUGUGUAUAUAAGAAACAAGAAAUAUUUUUAAAAAAUUUUUUAAAUGUUUAAUUUUGAGAGAGAGAGAGACAGAGCGUGAACAGGGGAGGGACAGAAAGAGAGGGAGACACAGAAUCUGAAGCAGGCUCCAGGCUCUGAGCUGUCAGCACAGAGCCCGACGUGAGGUUUGAACCCAUGAACCGUGAGAUCAUGACCUGAACCAAAGUCCGAUGCUUAACUGACGGAGCCACCCAGGCACCCCAAAACAAGAAAUGUUAAGUUGGAAAGGAACCAAGAAAUUUUUCCAAGUUUGACUUUCUUCUUUUUGAAUACAACCAUCUGAUACAUUCCUCUUUUUGCUUCUCUGCAUGAAAGCAGAGUAAUUCUGGUUGCUCUGUUUUGCUGUCUUUGAGUGUUUCUAAUAACUAGUUGUAAGCAAUUUGAACAUUUUUUUUUUUUUAUUCUGAAGGGAAAGCGCUGGCCUCUGUAACAUAUGCUUUGCUUCAAAAGUGACUAAUGUUAAGAUUAUCUACAUCAUUGAUGAACACAAGUGGCUUGAAAUAUUAUACAGGGCAAUCUGUUCUUCUUAAGGGCAGGACCAGGAACAUAGCAACGGGGAAAAGAAAUCAAUUCAUAAUAACAAAUGGACAGCCAUGGAAGAAAAGAGCUGAGAUCUCUUUCUAGCACAAGACAAGAAACUAAACUAUUGAAUAAAAAGAACUAUUGGUCAUCUUAGAACCCAAAAUGUAAACUGGAUCUUGAGCCUCACCAUCACUGUAAUUUUCCAAACCUUUGGAAAAUUGACUUUCUAAGCUGGGCAAGCUGAAUGCACAAAUAUAAUGGACUUUACUAAGUAGGUGCAAUUAAUGUUAUGAUUACUGGGGCGCCUGGGUGGCUCAGUCGGUUAAGCGGCCGACUUCGGCUCAGGUCGUGAUCUUACGGUCAGUGAGUUUGAGCCCUGCAUCGGGCUCUGUGCUGACAGCUCAGAGCCUGGAGCCUGUUUCAGAUUCUGUGUCUCCCUCUCUCUGACCCUCCCCCGUUCAUGCUUUGUCUCUCUCUGUCUCAAAAAUAAAUAAAUGUUAAAAAAAAAAAUUAAAAAAAAUUGUUAUGAUUACUUAUCCACAUCUUUAGCUAGCGGAGGUUUUGGGUAGCAUUUUAUAUAGGUCAAAGGUCAUUAAAAAUAAACUCCAAGAUCUCAUAACAAAGUACAUGUGAAAAGCUUUUCGAAUGUUUAAAAUGCAGGGCCAAUGUAAGGAAGUAUUGUUUUAUGUGAUUAUAGGUAGAACAUAUGGCAAGGGGCUUGGGACUCAUUUUUAGAUGGAAAUUGCAGUGAUAGUUAUUCUAAAUGAAAAUAACCAGUACAUGUAUCCUUUGCCAUUGAAUUUGAAGAAGGAGAAAGAGGAGGAGAAAAGAAAUAGAAAUUUGUAUUAGUUAGGAUUCUAUUUUCAUACAACAGGAACCCAACACCAACUAAAUAAAGGAAAUAUAUUGGCUCAUGUAAAACUUAAAGUCCAGAUAGGGAACUGGACCCAGAGACUUGAGUAUCAUUUGGCCUCUGUCUCUCUGUUGGCCUCAUCUUUUCCACAACUAUUGUUCUUUCCUCAAGACAUAAGAAAGAUGGUGUAUUAGUCAGGGUUCUCUAGAGAAAAAAACAAAACAAAACAAUAGGAUUUGUAUAUUUAUACUGGUAGAUAUAGAAAGGGAUUUUUUAAAUUUUAUUUUAAGUAGUUGAUUGGCUCAUACAAUUGGCUCAUACUAUACAGAAUGUGCAGGACCCUUCAGUCCAGAUUCUAGUCCAAAUGCUAAUAUGUCCAAACUCUGCAGGGUGGGCCAACUGACUGUAGAGCCAGGGAAGAGCAAAGUUACAGUUCAAGUCCAAAGGUCAUCAGGCUGGAGAAUUUCCUCUUUCUAGGUGUACAUCAGUCUUUUGACUAUUUAGGCCCUCAACUAACUGGGUGAGUUCCACCCACAUCAUGAAGGUCAAUCUGCUUUACUCAAGUCCAGCUAGUUAAAUGUUGAUAUCAUCCAAAUCUUUCUCACAGAAACUUCCAGAAUAAUAUUUGACCAUAUAUCUGGCAUCAUGGUUCGGCCAAGUUGGCACAUAAAAUUAACCAUUACAGAUGUCUUCCAACAAUCCUAGGCCUCAACAUUCCAAAUUAGCAAUUCAAGCAAAAAAAGUAAGCUUUUUUUCUCCCAGUAUCCAUAUACUGAGCCCAAACAAAGACCUUUAUUAGACAUACUUCUAUCCCAUGACAAUCCCUGAGCCUAGAAAUGCCAUUGCUAUGGUUGACAGACCCAUCAGAACCUCAUGGAAUGGCAAAGGGGCAUGGUAUGUAAGCCCUUUGUAACUGUUCUGCUGUAUUACUUACUGAACACAUGACCAUCUGGGACAUACUAAGCCAUCUUAUAAAUGGGUUGGUGCUAUGUAAAUUCUCAUCCUGUAGAGAGUACACAUUUUGGGGAAAGGUAUAUACAGUUAUAUGCUGUGGGAUAAGAGAUAGGUGGGAGGGUAGACAGAGAAGAGCCCAUCUUUAAGUAUGGGGCAAGGAAGUGUGUUUCAACCAUAUAAUCUAUGACCUGUUCAUUGAUUACUACUUAAAUUCAUCCCAAUAGGAGUACACUUGACAACAAUGAAUGCCCUGCCCAAAUUAGAUUACGUUGUUUGGAAUGUUCUUUAGGUAAUCAUAGGGCUCCCGAGGUUUUAGCAUGUGGAUAUAAGUUGGAAUUUGGUUAUAAUGAUUUGUUCUUAUUCCACUAGCCAUAUAUAUAUGUAUAUGUAUAUAUAAUCUAUAUAAUCUAUCUAUAUAAUAUAGAUAUAUAUAUAUAUAAUCUACAUAUAUACAAUCUAUAUCUAUGUCUAUAUAUCUCUAUAUAUAGAUAUUGAUCUCUGUUUAAUGGUGAUAUAGAUAUUGAUAGUUUUAUUUCUAGUUAUUUGUAUUUGAUCUCUAAAGUAUGUUUAUGCCCAAGUCAACUGCACAGGAAAAUAUACACAUAUAGAUACCCAUGCGAAAAAUUUUCCCUCUCAAUUUCAGAUAUACUUAGGCAUCUGUUGAACAAUUGAUUUACUUCUGUCUUUAUAACUUAUUGUUUCCCUCCUUCCUGUUUUGAUCCACACUUUCCACUCAUUGAUUCAAUAGCUACAAUGUUCUAGGCUCUGUGAAAGAUUCUAAGGGUAUGUGGAUAAAGGAGGCGGGGUUCACGUAUAUCCUAUGAAGAAAGGCACAUUGAAACAAGCCAUUCUCUGUGUGACAUUGGGGCUUCAGGGCAUGCAUUUAAGUACUAACCUCACUCAGGCUCUCUCUGACUCUCAUACACUUAUCUUCCUUUGCUCUACUCCUGUUGUCCAGUUUAUUUUUCUUUUAUCUUGUAAUGUUUUAUUUAUAUUUGAAAACUACUUAAAUUCUGCAGAAUAUAAAUGAACUAACAGUUCUUAUUUUGCUGUGCAAGUUCAACUAUUUUGGCCAAUGGAUUUUGUUACCUUCAUAAAAUGCCCCAUUAAAGAACCCUCUCAAAGCAUGGUAACAGAUGUUGUAGAUACAUGCACUAUACAGAAUGUGCAGGACCCUUCAGUCCAGAUUCCAGUCCCCAGUGCAAGCAAAAUCAGAUACACAGCCCUCUUAUAGGGAUGGUUCUCAAAUUUAAAUAAUGAUAACUUCUCUAUUAAAAGAAAAGAAUUAUCAUAAACUUCCAUUAUUGACUUAUUUUUAUUAUGUUACUUAAAUAUGUAAAGUCAUAAAAUAAGAUAUAAGCUUCUUAUGUACAUGGUUGUUAUACGCUGACAAAGGCAAAACAAAUUUGCUUAUUAAAUACAAGUAAGGCUACAAAACUAAAAUAUGCAGAUCAAUAAUUUUAAUGUGAUAAAAAAUGUUGUUUUGCUGCAAUGAGAUUUCAAGCACAGCCUCAUCACUGAUUUUAUAUGUUUUUUGGUUUCUUUUUUGUGACUUUUAUAAUACUAAUGUGAAUUCAACAAUACUACUACUAAUACCUAGUCACCUAAGUAUCAUCAUCAAGAUAGUGUUAACAUUUUCAAGAUGUUGUUCUUUUAGUUCAAUAAAAUCUUACACAUAAGCAAAACUGUCAGUGAGAAAUCCAGGAAUUUAACUCCAAAUUUAAAAGCAGCUCUGUAACGCUGUCUUGUUCUUUUGAAGACAAAGUUAACAUCACAGUGUAAUUGGAAUAUACAUUAAAUGAAUAACAAAUCCAAUUACUGCUUGAAUAAGGAACAGAAAUAUGCUUCACUGUAUAUUUGCUAUUAUGCUUGCUGCUAAUGAAUUUUUGCAAGUUGGUACGUAUAACGAUGGGAUCUGCUUACAAGAGGAAUACAUACUGACUGCAGUAGAGCAGAUUCUUUUGAAUGUAAAACUUUGACCAUUGGAUUAGUGAAUCAACUCUCUCAGCACUUUCCUCUUUUCAAACUCCUGCAAAAUUUUUGUCCGCAUAGCAUCCUCAUUGGAAGUACAAGUAUCGCGUGGAUAUACUCAGAGUUCCAUGUGAUUCUGACAAUCCUAAUUCUUUUUUAAGAUCACCAUUGAAAUGAAAACUUAGUGUUAAAAAAGAAAAAGAUCCCAGACCCUAAGAAAACAUGUGCAACCCAUAGCUUAUGAAAUGUUACCUCGCAGAAUGCUUUUAUAGCAGGCUGAUCCCUAUGAGACAGAAUAAUAGCCUCAUGGAGGUGGGACAGAGAGGUCAUCCCAAGCCCCAAGUCCAGGCUUCUUUCUCUUCUUUUCCUCCUUACCACUUGUCAUCAUUUGCCUCCAUCUGUGGAUGGACCAAUCCGUGGCCCAUCAGCUCCUGCCCUAGAUGCAGAGGGUUCAUUAUUUGCCUUUACCAGGUGGUCUGACAAAAAGAGGGCUGAGGAGCUGUCGGACUGUGCUUCUCACACUUUAAUGUGCACACACAACCCUGUAGAUCUUGCUCAAAUGCAGAUUCUGACUUAAUGGGUCUGAAGUGGGGCCUGAAAUUGCAUUUCUAACAGGCUUCCAGGAUCCAUGCAAUGCCCUUGGCUUGUGGCCCACACUGAAGAAGCCUGAAUCUAAGGCCUUUUGGCUCUCUUCAAGGAUGCACCUUUGAGGAGGCAAAGUUUCCAUCUUUUGCCUUAAGUUACUGGAAAUUUGCCUUAAUCCUGUGUUUUGUUUGGGACUAUGGUAGUUUGGCUUCUACAAAAUGGAGCAAUGACUUAUUAAAUAGAUUAAAUGGAUUAUAAGAGUCUUAUUUUAGGGGCGCCUGGGUGGCGCAGUCGGUUAAGCGUCCGACUUCAGCCAGGUCACGAUCUCGCGGUCCGUGAGUUCGAGCCCCGCAUCAGGCUCUGGGCUGAUGGCUCGGAGCCUGGAGCCUGUUUCCGAUUCUGUGUCUCCCUCUCUCUCUGCCCCUCCCCCGUUCAUGCUCUGUCUCUCUCUGUCCCAAAAAUAAAAUAAAAAAACAAAAAAACAAAAAAAAAAAGAGUCUUAUUUUAAUCAGAGAGAAAGCAAAGUUUCAUCAGACCCAAAGGAUCUUUAUAUUAGAGGAAUUUUUCAUAUCAUGAGUUGGUAUGAAGUUUCUAUAAGAUUAAUAGCCAAAGAAUCAAUAUAUCAAACUCUAGAAACCCUGAAUUACUUCUAAUUCUUAGUGGUAAAUCAAUAAAUCGAAUAAUUUAAAAGUGAAUUGAGUGAUUUUAUUUUCAUUUUGGGUUGGAUUUCACUGACUGUCAGAUGGCUUUAAUGUGCCAUUAUAUAAGCCUAUUCCCAGAUUGAUAUUCAUGGUUAGGAAGUAUUUUGAUUUUUAAUUAAAUGCUAUGUAUUAUUGGAAGAAACUCAGGACAAAACUAUCUUCCUUCUGUGAAACCUACGAAAAUCAUCCUGUAUCAGUUAUAAAUGCAGAUGGCUGUAUUUAUACAGAGAAUCCAACUCACUGUGGUUUUAGCAGAUGGUGGGUUACUUUUCCUCACAUAGCAAGACUCCUGGAGGUAGGUGGCUUAGCUGGUUCAGCAGCUCUGUGAUGUCAGGGUCAGUAUCUUGGCCAUUCUCCUGGUCUUUUCCUCCUCAUUACAAGAUGGCAGCCUCUGUUUUAGGUGUCAGACCUGCAUUUAAGGUAGGAAGAAGGGGGAUAAGGCCGGCAUCCUCCUUAUCCAUCAAUUUAACCAGUACAGCCAAACAUUUCUCAGAAACCCCCAGAGGACUCCUGCUGACGUCAUCGGCCAAAACCAUGUCAUGUGACCAAUCCCUCUCCAACCCCCAGUAAUGAAGGCAAGGGAGAAAUUUGGGAAUAAAUAAAGAAACAGCCAUCCAAUUUCUUUCUUUCUUUCUUUCUUUCUUUCUUUCUUUCUUUCUUUCUUUUUUUAAUCUCCAAACUUCCCUUUAACCGAAAAGCAGAAUAUUAUCUUUUUUUUUUUUUUUUUUUUUUAAGUGCUACCUCUCUGUUGGGAGAAAUUGUGGUGGUUUAAGAAGUAUAAUAGAUACAUGAAAUUCCUGAAAGGGACCUCAGGGCCCAAAGAUUUCUGAUUAGUCCUAAAAGUGGAACAUAAAAGAAUCCCGCUGCUUGAAGCUCAUUCUAAGAACAUGUGAGAUUGUCCUAAGGUAAAAAGGUCACAGGGUCUUCAACAAAGUCAUGGAAGCAUUCUUGUGGUUCUAUCCCCCUGAGUCCACCAAGACCGCAGAACUUAGCAGGAAAAGAUUCUCUUUCCCUCACUGAGAGCAGGUUUGGAGCUUUUAAUAGGACAGCUUCUGGAAACAUGCUAGUGCUCCCUCUCCUUGCUCCUUUGUCCUUCCCUGGUUUUGUCACAGCAGGUUUCUGUUCCCAGGGGGUCCACAUCCCACUGGAGACCUCCUGGCAGCAGCAUUCCCCCCUCCUGCAUGCCCCAGGGGAGACCAUCUCCCAUUAGGCAACUAAGAAAAGAACGUUGCAAAAAUUCCAGCACUUGCUCAGUCUUGGAUUUCUCAACCUCUUCUUUAUUUUGAUACUUUGAUAUGAUCCAAUAAUUCUUAGCAUUAAACUUUGCGUAUUUGAUAUAUUUGUUCUGAACUGGUCACGGAUUCUUUAUCCUUAAUUUCAAAUUCCGCUUAUAGGCAUGAAGGUCCUUAGUGACUGUUUCUAAGGAGGAGUUCACUUGUUCCUAUGCAUUUAUCUGUGUGGAGAGUCUUUUGUUUUCCAGUUUUACUAAGAGUUCCCUGUUUCUUACCUUUUUGCAAAACUAAGAUGGCUGCUGUUAUGAUGUUAAACUAAUCUGUAAAUGGAUUUCUUCGUUUGUUUGUACUUUAAGUGCUGUGGUACAGGAUGCCGGUAUUCUAGAUCAUAAUUCUUGGCCUGGUACCCCCACCACCCCCAGAUGUCAGCCUCAAACAGGAUAGAAAAUAUUUAACCAUAUUUUGAGUCUUCUUUCCAUUGUGCCUAGGAGUUAUGUUACUGACGUACCAGAAUAUAAUCACACAAAAUUGUAAUUUCAAUAGAAGGAAAAAGUGUAUGCAUACAUAUUUAAAUAUACAAUAACAUCUUUUUGAGACCUAUUUUAAUGAGUUAUUCUUCCAGAAGUUUCUGUGUUUUAAAGAUGGUGGGGGGGAUAAAGAAGAUGGGGAAAGAAUUCAGAGGUAGAACUCUGAAUUCAAAGGAUUCAGAUCUUGGGGCACCUGGAUAAAAGAGAGUUUUAACCAAGGGGUCUUAUGUGGACCCCUUAAACCUUAUGGUGUAGAUGGGGCGGAGUCUGCAUACAUUACUGGUCUUUACAAGGGUGGCCCCACCCCCACCGCAUGAUUAAUGAGAUGUUUCCAUGGAGGACCCUAGUCCAGAAUGGUUUGAAAUACCACAAGUGUCUGGAGUGGCAGCUGAAUUGCAAGGGGAUGGGACUGAACAAGGGAGUAAGAAACUAAAGAGAAACUGAAUCUGCCCAUCAGGUCUUUUUUGAAGGCAGCCCCGGUAGUGUAUUUUGCUAAAUACUUUCAGAGGGUAAAAACUAUAAUUUCUGUGGAAAGAAAGAAAAAGUAUGAAUUAAAUAUCGGAUUUCAUCCCAACGUUCUGACAUAAUAAACUAAGAAAAGACCAGAUUUGGUGGGAUGGGGGGGAGGGGGGGAAGGAACUCAACCUUUCUGCUUUACUUGGCCACUACAGAAUGUCCCCAUUUGAUAAAUGUUUAUGAUGGUGAUCCUGGUGAAAAUAUGAGCGCUUCUUUCUGAACAAAAAGCAUUUCAUUAGCAAAUCAUUUGCAAAGAAUAUGAGCCAGGUAUUAAAAGACUGAUAGAAACUUAGAAAGGGUAAUGUCAAGAUAUUUAAAAAUGACCAAAAAAUGGAAGACGGCUUAAGUACAUAGAGUGGCAAAAAUAUACGUUUGCUCUUUGGAGCAGCAAACAAAGAGAUGUCAGUUUAUGGAACGAGGAAAUGAUGGGUCUCUAAACACACUAUUUUGAUGAGUCGCAGCUGAUGACUAUGUUCUGUGUGGGGCAUUUUGGAGAGUUUUUGUAUGUGCGUGUGCUAAAGUACAAAGAGUUGUAUGUAACCACCUCCUAGGGCUUGCAACUGACCUUCCUCCCAGUGGCUACUUUUCCCCAGCUCUGGAUCUCUGGUCACACAACUUUUUUUCACAUUCCCUGAUGCUUUGGUUUGCGUUUUUAUCAUUUUUCCUUAAGUUUUCUACAAUCUCACCACCUACCUCCAGAAAUGAUAUAUCCUCCUUCUUCAGUAAGAAAAUGGCAGUUGUUUGGUCUAUACCUCUUCAGCUUCCAUCCCCUCUCGUCCAAGUCAAUGAUGUCUUUACCCAACCUUCCCUCCUUCCUGUCUCAGGGGAGGUACCGUCCUUGGUUCUUUCCAGGGCUGAUCCAUUUCCCUGUGGUCUUGAUUCUCGAUGUAUCACUCAUCGCCAAUCUCCCCCUCUUUCUCUUCACUGGCAUUUCUCUAAUCCAUAUACACAUUGAAUUUCCACCAUCCCUAAAUUAAACACACCAUCUUGCAAUGGCCAUUCCCAACUCGCUCCCUGCCUGUCAUUGCUGUUGACCAGACCUGGGGCCCCAUGUCCCUGGGAAAUGGUUGCUUCACCUCCUCUCUGUUGUCAAAGUCGUGAAGACUCCUAGGUUCUGACAAGUCCCCCUUCUGCACGCCAUAAUCUCCCUCGGAACACCAACUCUUCCCUGCCCCGGGGCUGGGGCUCCCAUGGCCUCCUUUGUCUCAGACUUGACUUUCUCCCAUAGACCUGGAGCCUCCUCCUCAUUUUUGAAUUGUACCUUGCAAAGCUGUUCUGCAGAUCCAGUGAAAUAAUGGAUGUGAAGCCACAUAAAACCAUUUAAGAAAUGGCAGCUCUUAUCAGGGUUAACUUCCCCGACUGUAGAAAAAUGACUCUAACACCCUACCCCUGGGUCCCCCAAGCCUGCCCUCUAUUCCCUCUGUCCACCAGUCAGCAUCCUGAGCUGAGGCUGCGCACCGAGCUCUCUCCCCACAAAUGACAUGCCGGCCUAUGUGACUGUGUUUAAGGUGCCAGCUGCCCUCCACCCUGCACCCUCCAUCCCACACAACUUGAAUUCCCCAAUAGGGUGUAUUUCCAUAGUUUCUGCUUUGUCAGAGUAAAUGGACCACGGCACUGUCCGCUCCAUGACACGUAGCAUCUCAAACCUUGGCUAUAUAGGUUGUGACUUAUCAAUUUAUUCCUUAGGACCUAAAUUCCUCAAAGGUCAAAGUCCACUCUCCAAGGAGCUGAGUCUGUUUCCUCUCUUUCGUUAGCACGUCCUUCUGCAGACUGACUCUUGGAAUCUCUCCUGUUGUAACUAAUUUCCCUCAAACUCCUUUCUCUCUCUUCCUUUUCCUGCUCCCCUGCUCUGAAUGCCCCUCUCAUGUCAUGUACCUUUCUUGCCUGAGCAGGCUCAUGUAUUCCUACAACUUUAGCUAGUGACGCCAAAACACGUGACACGAGUGUGGGCCCUCCCUAACUCCAGACCCAGAGGGCCUUUAAACUAUUCACUUCCAACAGUCUCUGGUCCCCUUCCUUCCCCCUGUGUCCUCUAACUCUGUGAGUGGAAAACUCACCCACCUCCAGUCAAAGCAGAAAAUUCCGUUACCACCGACCCCACCGUCACCUACAGCUCCAGCUACAAAUUCCAUCCAUCUCCGCGUUUUAUCCCUUUUUGCCUCUUUUGCAUCUUUUCACUAUGUUUAGUUCAAACUCUCACGAUUUUUUCUCUGAUUUCAAUAACCUUCCAACUGGCCUCACUUCUAGCCACCGCUUUCUGGGGCCAGCUAUCUUUAGAGAAUUCACAUCGCCACCCUGUUUAAAUGCCUUUGACAAGACUCCUUUGCCAAAAUCGUUAGUAAAGCAUUCCAUAUCCUUCACAAUCAGGCUCCAGUUUGUUCUUUUAUGCUCACCCCUUGCCAAAAGGCCCCCUGGACCCAGGCUGAGUGGGACCUUGCCUCUGUUUUGUUUGUUAUUUCGUUUCAUCAACUGAUCAACUAAUUUUCACUCGCAGGUUUUCUCCUCUGCCAAACAGCUCAGUUCUGCCUGAAUUGUUUAGCAUAUGCAGAUGAUUCAAUCCCAGAAAAGAUCUUUGCGUGGAUAUUUUCAGUCAUCAAAUGACAUAAACACUUUACACAUUAAUCACAGAGUUUAUAAAAUUUCAAAGGAAACCUAUAGCUAUAUGAUGGCAUCUCAGAAAUGUUUGGAAGAAUCGUGGCGUAAUGAUAUUAGCACAAUGAUUCUCAAAACUUUUUCCCAUUAAUAUCAAACGCUUAUUUACACAAGCUAUGGGAAGGAAAUAGCACAAAUAACUCACAGCAUUAAGUAUAGAAAUAGAUGUAUUUUGUUGUGUGAUACAUUAUACAUUUUUUUCUGCCCUGCAGAGUGACUUUUCUAAGGAGGCUCUUGUUAGAUUGAGAAAAAUUAAUUUCUAAUCCCAGACAUCACGCAGCUCAUGCUAAACUGGGGAGUGACUCAGAAACAUGGGGAUUUCAGGCAUCAGGCUGACUGGGAGACAAUAUCUGUUAAUAAUAUGAAUUUUAACAUGAAUUUAUAACUCUAAUUUGGACUUCAAAUGUGUUUUUCUGGCCCCGCUUGGCUGUUGAUUUGCUUUCAUUUUAUGCGGUCGUGUCUUAUGUCUUAGCUAAAGACUGUCAUUAACGCUACACCAGGAACCUGCUUCCUGAGGCGUACUUUAUACUGCCAGGAAUGUAGAAAGUUGGUGAGUUUUUGUUUCUUGGUCAUUGUGUACGGGUCAGACGUAAAGCACAUUCACACAGUGGAGUCUACAAAAUAUAGUCAUUGUUGAAAUGAGAGGUCAUUCUAUUUUUACUCACUUUCACUUUAAUUGCAAAUUGUUAGUGCAGGAAUUUCCACAAAAGGGUUAUGCAAGCAUGCCCAAAUUGCUUGAAAUAUUUUCCACUUCUCUGACUCCCCAUGGGAAAAGCCACUAGGUUGCAUUUGUGGCAUCUCAGUUGGUUCAAGCAGCCUAAUUGGGAUUUAGAAGCUCUAAACUGCGCAGGUUUACAGAGGGACAUCCAGGAUUGGAACUCCUGUCUCCAUUUCCUCCUUCGAAUCUGGAAAAGUGUAAAUUACCCAUGUAACCUACAACCCGAAUGAUGGCAGCUGACAUCCAACUUUUUUUGUUCACUGUCCCAUUUUUACAUUUCUUUAAAAUGAUUUAAAAAACAAAAAAAGAUUUGAACUCUUUGCCAGGAAUUUCAUCAAGAAGCAAAAUACACUAUUGUCCUCUUUAAAAAAAGGGGGUUCGCAUCUCAUAUGGGAGAAAUACACUCCUGGGCACAGGUAACUUUCCUGUCUCUUGGGCAGAAGCACCUAAUCACUGCCCCAUCUGUCAGAGCCACCUAAUUGCAAACAGGGGCCCUUUCACAAUGUAGUGAACGAAGGCAAAACAAUUAAUUAAAGCUCAGAGGAAAAGAGUUGUUUAAAAGUACAUACUCCCCUCAAGAAGUAGAACUCUUACUGUGAUCUUGCAUUGAUUCUCUCUUGUGCUUGCUUUCUUACCCUCAUCCAUGUAUCCAUGCAAAUUUCAUUUGUCCUACUUUUCAAUUUCUGCUGUCUAACAUUCAAUGUGAUUUAAACAAGUCAGAGAAAAGGCCAAAGUCAGCAGUUCUUUGUUUGCCUCGCAAGCUUUGCUGUGCGUAUAAAUCUCUGGGGGUCUUGUUAAGAGAGCAGAUUCUGAUUCAGUGGGUCUGAGGGGGGGCCCAGGAGGCAGCAUUUCUAGUGGGCACCCAGAAGUUCUGCCCUUGCUGCUCCCAGACCACAAUUUUAUUAGGAUUGAUCUAGAUUAUUAGAUACUCUCCCCAAUGUGUACUGAGACUUCAUCUUUUCAGGAUUGCUGUGCAAACCUGUCUCCGUCUUACUUGUCCAUACAAUAGACACAUCCCAGAUUAUCAUACCUACUUCUCCUCUUCUCAAACCCACUUUCCUCCUUGGCCUCAUUGCUAUUUCCUCUGGAAUCCUUAAGGAAGCACAUCGGUAUCUAGGGCUCUGGUAGAUCACACAAGGAAUAUGUUCAAGAUGUAUUCCUUCCUGACAGUUUUAGAAACAAAAUGACACACGUGUGCUCUUCUCGAUUAUAACUGAACUGUGGUGAGGCAGUGCGCUGUUUGGAAAAAGGCACUGGGCGUGAGUGAUGUGUACAAAACUCCCUGAGGGUCUUAAGCUUAUGUGCCUCAGUUUCCUUCUUGGUAAAAAAAACAACAAGGCUGAAUUUGAUGAUCUCUAGAGCCCCCUUCUGCUCUAACUUAACCCUUUAUGACUCUGACAGUUGGUCAUUUAAUCAUCUGGAGGAACUCUUACUGACCUAAACCAAUGGAUGCUCUUUUAGGAGGGUCAGUCUACUACUAUUGAACACUCUUGAACUCAUCAGAUUCUGCUCCCAGGAGGAUAUUACCCCACUCAGAAGAAUAGCAUGAUGCCACUGCAUUCUCUUCAGUUUAUACCCACCCACCGUUAUGGCUGGACUCUGAGUGUCUGGGUCUGAGCUCUUCACUGGCAAUGGAGGCAGUCAUGAGGAUCGUGCCUGGUUGCCAGGACCACAGGGCUUGGCCAGACUAGGCAUGAAUUUACCCAAAGCACAAGAAGUCUGCCUAACCCAAAACAGGACGUAAAAAGCGAAUCUAAGAAGAGAAGCCAGAGAUGAGACCUGGAGUGAGGUGGAACCAUGGUCAAGAAAAUUAGAGGUGAUCAGAAACUAGAAGGCGUGGGAACAGUCCUGGAAGCAGAAUCUGAAAGGACAGGGGGUGAGUGGUUUUUGGGGGGAGAUUGUGACCGAUUGCAGGGGCUAAAACUAAUGUUUGAGUUGCUCCAUUAAAGGAGCUACUCACGGCUAGUCAGAGAACUUUGUGAGGGCAGAACCUCUACUCAUUUUUUGCCAAAUACCUCUAACAGUUACCUGAUCCAAUAAAAGAUGAGCCUGUGGGAAUGAACGAAGGAAGGAAUGAAUGAAUGAAUGAAACAAGUAAAUUUUCAGACCACGUAAUUUAUCCACACUCCUCACAUCUAUUUUCUCCUUUUUCUUUGCCACCAUACAAGUUCAUAUCCUCAUUAUUUCUCAAGCAAACCCGAGGAACUCCCAGUUCUCCAAUGCCUCCCAAUUUAAUUUCAUUCUACAGACUGCAGCAGGAUUGGUUCUCUUGUUUGUGCCUUAGUUAUUUGUAUAUUCUGUUCCAUCAGAGAAAGUAAAUCUCUUGAGGUCAGAGGCAGUGUUCUACCAAGUUUUAUACGUUCACUCCAGCUAAUACUCAAUAACUGUUGAAGUGAAUCACCGUGUUCAUUAUAAGUCAUUAUAAGAUCAAUAUCCUGAACAUUUAAGGCACUAUCUUUCUUACUAUAUUAUUUUUUAAUACUCAGGUAUCCAAGAGUUAUAGUUGACUACAAAGUUCUUAUAAAAUCAACUCAUUUAACCUUUCACGUUAGUUAUUUCUUUAGAGUUAAAUUAGUACUUUUUUAAGUUAAGAAAACCUUUUAUGAAGUAGCGAGUCAUUACUUAUUGUUAAAGUAGCAUAUUCUGAGAGGUUUGGGUACCUCUUCCCCACAAAUGCACCUAUUCACACAUGUACAAUCUUGCAUAUGAUUUCAAGGGGUUCGGGAGUCCCCUAAAGCCCUUGCAAGCCCUUAAAGUUGAUGGAAGUCAAGCCUAGAACUUCUGCUGGAGAAGAAUAAAGGUUUUCUACAGCCAAAAGACUCUACCUUGUUCCCCCCUGUGCACCCCUCCCCCAGGCUUGCCACCUGGCAUUUAGAAAUGCAGAGGACCAAUCCAUCAAUACCCGUUUUGAAACUGAAAACAGAAAAUAGACAGGAGGUAGGGUACAGUACAUUUUGUACUCUUGUCAACAAUGAUCUUUAUCAUGGGAUUAUAGAAAUCAAGGAAGGAUUGGCUGAUGUGACCACUCUUGGAAAAAUAGGCAGGUGCUUUUGAAAUUGCCAGCUGAUGAAAGAGAGCACACAGUAUUACCUCCACCCAGCCCUGCUGGCCCCUGGGAGCUUCUAACUGUCCUUGAGGAAAAGUUGAGAGCAGGGGAUGGUUCUGAGCCUGAGGAUCAACCCCUACCCGUUUUUUUCUUUGAAGAUUCCUUUCCCCAUCCCUUCAGUUUCAAAAUAGUGUGUGGGUCUGACAUAUAGGAAAGGUUGCUAGGAGAAGGGGGAUUAGGGCCUCAAAAAUAAAAAAUGAAGCUAACCUGUCAAAUGUUGACUUUAGUUUAAUUUCCCGACAGCUUCAUCCCAGAAGUAAGGGCUUCCAAGUUUCUGUUUCAAGAGAAGAUAUUUCCAUAUACUUUGCAAUUUUGAAAGAAGAAAUUUCUCUGAUGCAAGUUGUCACAGCAUGAUGGAAGAGAACAGGAAAAUCUAUUGAGAUCUCAGGAUUUGCUCACCUCUCACACAUUUUCUUUUCACUCUUUUUGCCAGCCUUCCGUCUUACAGUGAUAGUUUCAUCAGGAUCUAACCAGCAUUUGAAACAGGAUCCUCAACCUCUUUACAGGCCCGUGAACCUUCCUCGGGCCCCACCAGUUCGGCUCAUGAUUGAUUUUGCAACGUGUUGAGAGACAGAUAAUUUGAUAAGCGGCGUGUUGACGCAUACAAAGCAUAGUCAUUGAUUACCAAUUAUGUAAGAAAUUUGUGAUGUGAUAGACAUCAUCAAUUUUGAUUUAUGUCACCAGAAUAAGUAAAAUGAUGGGGCAGGAAUAGUACGUAUUUCAUCUAAUUAACCUGUGAAGAAACUCAUUGUUCUGUAGCAGGCUUCACAUUCAAUCAUUUCAAAACGAGAAGGAAGCAAGUUGCAAGCAGAAUAACAGGUAUUGAGAGAGGUACGUAAGUUGAAGACCCUACAUUUGGAGGCAUAUGGAUUUAAAAUUAAUCCAAGCCUCAUUUGAUAACAGGGUACAGAGUAUCCAUGAAUACAAAGGAGUGGUGUUCUAGGAGCCUGUUCCUAUAACUUCUGCUCAUUAACUAAUGCUCUUAAUUAUACUCUCUUAUACAAAUCAAUCAGAUGAUUUACACCGUUCUCCAAGAAACUUAAUUUUGUACAAAAAAGGGAGGCAUAGUAUGUUUUCAGGUAUGACCUAGCUCAGUUACCUGUAGAUGUAAGGUUUAGUCCUUUUUCAGAGACAGAGAGACAGAGCAUGGGAGGGGGAGGGGGAGGGGCAGAGAGAGAGGGAGACACAGAAUCUGAGGCAGGCUCCCGGCUCCCAGCUGUCAGCACAGAGCCCAAUAUGGGGCUCGAACUCACAGACUGUGAGAUCGUGAUCUGAGCUGAAGUCAGAUGUUUAACCGACUGAGCCACCCAGGGGCCUCCCUCCUCCCCCGCCCCCACCCCUGUUCCACACAUGUAAAAUAAGAGGAUUAUAAGCGUCGGACCUAGAACUUAUUAAGACUUUCACUGUGUCAAACACUGUGCCUGGCGUCUUGAUGUAUUAUCUUUACUUCCUUAAGCAACUUUCCAAAAGAGAUAUUAUUAUCUCCACAUUACAGAGGAGUAAGUUGAGGCACAGAGACAAGAAUUAAUUACCAGAAGCACCAUAAGAGACAAGUGAUGGAUCUACAAUUGGAACCCUCUAUGGGGCUCCAAGAUAGUCCCCAAGGAGCUUGGACUAAUUUGCUAAGGCAGCUGUCAUGAAGUGUCAUAGGCCGAGUGGCUUAAGCAAUAGCCAUCAAUUGUCUCACUGUUCUGGAAGCCAGAAGUUUGAGAUCAGGUGUGGUGAGGAUGUGCGGCAGACGGUUCUAGGCCUCUGUCCUAGCUUCUGGUGGAUUGCCAGUAAUCUUUAGCAUUCCCUGACUUGUGGCAUGAUAGCUCCAGUCUCCACAUGGCGUUCUCCCUGUGUUCAUGUUUGUCUAAAUCCCCUCCUUUUUGUAAGAAUACUAGUUACAUUGGAUUACAAGACCAUCUUACUCCAGUAUGAUCACAUCUUAACUAAUUUCACCUGCAACCACUUUGCUUCCAAAUGAGGCCACGUUCAGAGGGACUGGGGAUAAGGGCUUUAGCAUAGGAAUUGUCGGGGGACACAACUGACCCCCCCCAUGACAGUGCUUAUAAUCUUGUUAAGGUUCUAAGACAGAAGUACACGAAGAGUUUAUUAAUAAUAGGACCUAUGCAAUACUUGCAGAUCACCCUUUAUGGCAGAGUGCAUUAGCGUUUUCUUUGGUGGAUAAUUAGUGCUAACCCUUCAGAAACUUAAGAAAAUCACAUUUGGCUGCAUGACCGGGGAAUGCCUUAUACUGGAAUGGGGUUUGAACUGAGUGGAAAUAAAUGGCCUAGUCCACGGGGUCAGUGGAGAGAAGAAAGAGGGUUGUCGCGCUGGGUGGAACAGUAGGCAUUCGUUAGAAGUUGCGAGAUAGGUAAAGAAGGGAUACAGUCGCUGCCAUCAGGGAGCUUACAACUGAGCCUCAGAGGCACGAAUCAAACUUGAGACAAGUAACCACCGAGGCAAAAGUUGAAUGCAUGAUCUUCACCGUCACAUACGUGGGCAGCUGUGCAACACGGUGAACUGCGGCGGCCGCACGAGUGACAGAGGGGGUCACGGUGAGUUCCGGCACUUUGAGAAUGUUCAUGGGUCACUGGUGAUGUGAGCUGGGAUUUUUUUUUUUAAGGGUGGAUUUUGUUAUAGGAGAGCAGCAGGGAGAGGGGUUCCCAUGGAGAGAGAGGGAGCUGUACAUCUAGGUAGUGAAAUCUGAGGCCUACCUGAAAGCCAUCAGACGUGCCAGUUGGGCAGGGACAUCGGGCUCUUGUAAGGGAAUGCUCUUGGGCUACCUUCAAUUUUCCAGAAUCCCGCCUCAAAGCUACCACCUGGGAAGGCGUUUGCCAAGUAUGUGGUCAAAACCUGUGUUCUAUAGGACAGGGAUAGGUGUUCUUCAAUUUUUUUAAGUAGUUGCAGGUUUAAUAAAUUUAGGAAAUAGUGCAUUAAUUAAUGGUAAUAUUUCAGUCAGGUACCGGCAGAAAACAAGUGGCUUAUGCCAAGUGAGUCGUGUCGGGAGACUUUAGUCAACGACUGGGCAAGGCCUGAGGCAACCACAAAGGAAGGGACAGUGGCCCAGGGCUGGUAGCAGCAGGAAGCCAUUAACCAUCCCUGGGCUGAAGGGUGAGGUAUAGAAAGGCUAUACUGCGUGUGCAGAGGGGAAGACGGACAGGACCCGUGUCUUUGAGCUGAGGAAGGCAGCCAGCCCAAGGUGACUCAGUCGGGCAGAGUCAGGGGACUGAAUACACUUCCCACCUUACUCCCCCGCACCCAAGACCUCCUGCUCAAACCUCGAUGAUGCCAAAGUCCCACUGAUGAUAGACAGCGUCCUUAGAAGUCUCGAGGACACAAGCGGGGGGAGAUGAUGCAAAGUGGAAGUGGAGGGACAGAUGGAAGGUUUCCAGCACAGGCAACAGUUACUUCACAGGAGGGCCUCUUAUCGUAUUUAAUAUGUUAAUGUGUUAAUGACCCUACAAAGCAGGCUAAGGAAGGCAGUAUUCCCAGGCUAGUUUUACCACAAAAUUCCUUUUCUGAAGAUCUCUAGGACCGGUGAUCAAAGGAAUCCAAAUUGGGAAUCUUUGAUCUGUGGCAUGAAAUCCAAGCCUCUUCUAUCCGUCAAGCUUCUUUCAAAUCAAAGCGUCGGAAACCAAUCUCAAGCUAGUUUAAACAAAAAGAAAAUCUGUUUGGUUUACACAUAAUUGGUGAGUUGGGAGGGGGCCACUGAUGCAGGCAUGGAUGGACCCAGGAGCUUUAAGUAGGGCGAGAGCCCCGUUGGUCCCGUUGGCAUUCCACUCUGCUGCUGGUCUCAGCCAAGCUUAAUUCUGCGCGCUGGCUCUCACCACCAGGUGAGCAGCACUACUAGUCAGUACCUCACGCCCAUCCCCCCAGCUCAGCAAUCCCAGUGAAGGAGGGCCUUCUCUCUCCCCAUGCACAUAUACAAAUCCCAUGACACUUCUGAGUGCUCCCACACUCAGACGGUAGAGUGUCCAUCUCUAAACAACACCUGUGCUCCCCUCCUGAGGUCCUCUGAUUGACUCCUCUCAGCCCUUUGGAGUUGGGGAAGGUGACUCACCCCGUUUUGACACUCACCAGGACCAUAUCAGCCCAGGGAGAGGGGAAGGACUAGUCCAAAGAAACAAGAAAGAGGGUCAUAAAAAAGCAUGCGAACUUAAUGCAAAUUAAAAUGAUAGCUUCCAUGAUCCACUGCAUUUCUUUACAGGGCGUUCAUGGCUUCCCCCAAAUUGGGCCUCGAACAAUGUAUUCCAAUAGUCUCUUCAUGACCUCCCUGCUCCAGCCAGACUAGUUUACUUGAACACAGCAUAAAUUCCCAAGUUUGUUCCUUAGACCCUCAUAGAUUUGAAUCCAGCCUUGUCUGAAUCAGGUCUCAGGACUGCAACAGAUCCUGUCUACUGUGUCUCCCACCCCUCACUACAAAACUGCGAUUCUUUGUUUUCUGUCCUCCUAACUCCUGGUGCAUUAAAGUUCUACCCCAUCCCUUUGAUCUUUAUGACACCCCGCUCUUUCUUGUCAGUGUGUGUGUGUGUGUGUGUGUGUCCUGUAUCCCUACAGACAUCCCUAGAUUGUAAGCUCCUUGAACUCUGUGAGAUCAUACCUUUGUAUUCUGUAUCUUCCUACCUUUGUAUUCUGUACCUACCUCGCCCGGCACAUUGUGGAUGUCAAUUAAAUGUGCUUUGGUUGUUUUUUCACAGGUUUGAGGUUAGCAUCCCAUCUUUUCUUGCUUGCCUGCAUUGCCAUCAGUCCUUUAUGUCCUCCAUGCCAACCUGUAGAGUGGCUUUGAGAAAUGUUCUUGCCCUCGUGGGGUCCCAGUCUCCCGUCAAGUGGAUUAGCAGUGUCGAUAUUGUGGAAAAGAAUUAUCCACUAAUUCAUUUAUUCAUUCAGUUAGUCGCUUAUUCAGCUCGCAUUGACCACCUUCUGUGAACAACACACCGUUGUGUGUCGAAACAUUUUACCGCGCUCCUGUACAAAGGAAUUGGCAACAUUUGACAAAAGUACAUAUACGUUUACCCUUUGACCCCGCAAUGCUGCUUCUAGGAAUUUACCUUGAACAUAGAUCUCCAUCUGUGGGAAACACUGUAUGUACAAAAAUUUUUCAUUAUGGAAAUUUUGUAAUAGAAAAAUUAGGAAGCAACCUAAAUGUCCAUUCUUAGAUGAUGGUUGAAUAAACUACAAAACACCCACAUAAUGGAAUACUAUAUAACCCUUAAAAUAUUUUUAAAAGAUUGUUAUGAGUUGAUGGAUUUCCAAUAUGUAUUGCUAAGAGAAAAUAGAAGCAAGGCACAAAAGCAUACAUAACGUGCUAGCUUCUAUGAAAGGAAAACAUAAAAUACUAUAUUUGCUGAUUUUUGCACAAUGAAACAUGCAAAGGAUAUGAACUUGAAAUUAAUGAAAAUGUCUACUUUCAGGAUAUGGGGGAAACAGAUGGAAGCGAUAGGGAUGGAGCAAAGCAUCUGAAAGUUUUAACUUUUGAACCAUGUCUUCUACAUACUCAAAAAUGAAACUAAAUUUAAAAGAAUGAAACCAAGCAUUCAAAUUGAAUGCAAAUACAAACAAAUGAACAUAACUGCAUAUCAAAUUGGUAACCUAAUCACAGAGAGAAAAGAAAUCAUCCAGGGGUGCCUGGGUGGCUCAGUUGAUUAAGCAUCUGACUUUGGCUCAGGUCAUGACCUCACGGUUUGUGGGUUUGAGCCCCGCAUCCAGUUCUGUGCUGACAGCUCAGAGUCUGGAGCCUGCUUCAGAUUCUGUGUCUCCCUCUCUCCCUCUGUGCCUCCCCUGCUUGCCCUCUGUCUCUGUCUCUCAAAAAUAAAUAAACAUUAAAAUUCUUUUUUUUUUUUUAAUUUUUUUUUUUCAACGUUUAUUUAUUUUUUGAGACAGAGAGAGACAGAGCAUGAACGGGGGAGGGGCAGAGAGAGAGAGGGAGACACAGAAUCGAAAACAUGCUCCAGGCUCUGAGCCAUCAGCCCAGAGCCCGACGCGGGGCUCGAACUCACGGACCGCGAGAUCGUGACCUGGCUGAAGUCGGACGCUUAACCGACUGCGCCACCNNNNNNNNNNNNNNNNNNNNNNNNNNNNNNNNNNNNNNNNNNNNNNNNNNNNNAAAGAAAGAAAGAAAGAAAGAAAGAAAGAAAGAAAGAAAGAAAUCACCCAGGUAGCUCUGAAGCCAGGACUCUGACUACCCAGUUAGUAAGAAAUGUUCCAAGGCCAAAGAGAAACAAGGAAAUUAAAAAAAAUUUUUUUUCUUUAAAUGUUUAUUUAUUUUUGAGAGAGACAGAGACAGAAUGUGAGUGGGUUGGGGCAGAGAGAGAGGGAAGCAUAGAAUCCGAAGCAGGCUCCAGGCUCCAAGCUGUCAGCACAGAGCCCGAUGUGGGGCUCGAACUCACAAGCCAGGAGAUCAUGACCUGAGCUGAAGUCGGAUGCUCAACUAACUGAGCCACCCAGGUGCCUCAGGAAACUUUAAAUUUUAGUAAAUUUAUUGUCAGAAUUUAUGUUGGUGUUGUAAUUAUGAAACUCUGUGUGUGUGUGUGUGUGUGUGUGUGUGUGUGUGUGUGUGUGUUGUAGAAGAGAGUAAAUGAGUAAUUACACUAAGAGUGGGAACCAGAGAGCUCUCACUGUGAAAUAAGCAAGACUGAUAACAUGAAAUUGGGGGAAAUGAAGGAAAACCUGUGGUUUGGGUUUGAAUUUAAAAUAUCAGUAUAUAUUCUUUUUUUUUUUUUUUAACCUCUAUUUAUUUUCAAGAAAGAGACAGAGUGUGAGCAGGGGAGGGGCACAGAAAGAGAGCGACACAGAUUCUCAAACAGGCUCCAGGCUCCCAGCUGUCAGGACAGAGCCCAAUACGGGGGUCAAACUCACAAACCGUGAGAUCAUAACCUGAGCCAAAGUCAGAUGCUUAACCAACUGAGCCACGCAGGCGCCCCAAUUCUUUUUUUUUUUUUUUUUAAAUUAAAGAGAUUUCCUGACCUGUCCACUGAAAGGGCCUAAAACCAAUGAUAUCCUAGAAGAAAUGAGCAUAUACAACACCCAAAUUUUGCCUUGUAAUUACCAUUCCCCCACUAAAAGGAACCAGGGCUACUUGAGUAAUGGCUCGUGUUAGAGCUGGUAGAAUAAAAGUUUAAGGUAAAUAUGGAGUAUCUUGUGUCAUAAAAUAAGGAGUAUGCAACGCUAAUGGAAUUAGUGUCAAAAUAUCACAGAAAUGAACUUCAGAGUUUCCAGCUAGUCAAAUUUGGCACAAAUUGAGUAUAAAAAAAGCAUAUGCAUACCAUGUUGAAUUUUAAAAAUCGAUGAGUCUAUGCAGACUUAAAAGAGAGAGAUAUAGGAGAACAAAGUGCUGAAACACACAACAUGGAUGAAUCUCAAAAUGAAGCAGAGUGAAAAAGUCCAGACAAAAUGGGUUACAUACCACAGGAUUCCAUUUAUAUAAAUUCUAGAAAGCGAAGACUAAUUUAGAGUACAGAAAGCAGAGCAGUAAUUGCCCAUGGAUGGGGUUAGAGGAAAGAGGGUGAAAAGAAACUUAUCCCUUAAACAACUGCACUAUGAGGAGCAAACUAAAAAGGAAAUCAGUACAUUAGGUCUGACCUUAGUUCUCUAAAAUGGUAAUUUGGAGGAGCUACCUGAGGCCAAGAAGACCUCCUUUGCAGUAGAUCUUGACAUAUGAAUGGAAUAAAAAUCUCAAUCAUACUGCUACUCACCGGAUCUGUGCUAUUGGUAGAGGACAACUGACGACAUCCUGGUUCUAAUACUGGGUACCAUUCAGUUGGAAUAUUUUGUUACUGGUGAGAUUGAAUUUUUUUUUUAAGUUUAUUUAUUUUUGAGAAAGAGAGCAUGAGUAGGGGAGGGACAGAGAGUGAGGGGGCAGAGGAUCCAAAGCGGGUUCUGCGCUGACAGCAAGGAGCCCGAUUGGGAGCUUGAACUCAUGAACAUAAGGUCAUGACCUGAGCCGGAGUUGGACGUUCAACCAACUGAGCCACCCAGUGGCCCGAUUGUUAUUUUAAAUUUUUUUUUUUCAACGUUUAUUUAUUUUUGUGACAGAGAGAGACAGAGCAUGAACGGGGGAGGGGCAGAGAGAGAGGGAGACACAGAAUCGGAAACAGGCUCCAGGCUCCGAGCCAUCAGCCCAGAGCCUGACGCGGGGCUCGAACUCACAGACCGCGAGAUCGUGACCUGGCUGAAGUCGGACGCUUAACCGACUGCGCCACCCAGGCGCCCCCCGAUUGUUAUUUUAAACAGUAUAUAGUUGUUUUCAAAUAGACUCUUUCAUGGUUCCAUUUUUUUACAGUAGGCAUUGAGAAAUAGCAGUUUCUAUUCUACCCAUGUACAAGUCAUUACUUCCAAUUUCGAUGUUUUAUCAUAUUGAAUAUUUACUGAGUUCUGUUGUAAAUCAUGAAGCAUGUAAAUACUGUCACAAGAGAACAAGAUUAUAAACUACUGUUAUCACGCAGAUUCUACUGUGUGGAGAACCCAUCUCAUCAGUCACUUAGGAAUCCUACGUGUAAGAUUUACAGUCCUUGCAAGUGGAGCUUUAGAGGUUUUCGUAUGUGAUUGAAGUGUCCAUCCAUUAGUGCCGUUACCCAGUAAGUGCCGUGCGCUGAGUAGAAAUGUGGGGCGGCGACCCCAGUGCACUCACCUGGUGCGUACAGAGAGAGGCCAGCAUGUGGGCUUGCCGCACGGUGAAAGAAGAUGCGGCCUAAUUCAAGGGCUGACACCCUCAAUGAGCGAGAGCCCCCGUGCUGGAGAGGAGUUUGGUGUUGCCGUGGUUCAGGGUUUUGGAUUGUCCAAUGCCCCUAGGAGAACACCAUGUGCGAUGCAACCGUGGCCACGUGGUCCUUGAUCACACCCUUGGGGUGAAGUGCUCCAUGUUCUGCUAUAACAGAGGUGAGUCAUCCACCCAGGGCACUUCUAGAUCUUUCCAACAGGGACUUGGGCUUUCACCUGUGUGCAUCUGUUUCUUCCCGUGCAAAUCCGGUCCAGGCUGCCACAGAGCACUUAGAGCCUUGCGGAGGAAACUGCAGCCUGUACUUCGGCUUCAUCCUUCAUAGCCCAUCGCUCUCUGCGACAAGGUGUACCUUGCUCUUUCUUUCCGAUGGCUACUGCGGGAUGUAAACCUAAUCUUUAAAGUCUGUCUUAGGUAAAGAGUUUGGGGGGUGCUUGCUGUUUAACGCAAGCAAGUGGCACCUCCCGGGAAAAUGUGAAUAAUUGCAAUUUACAAAAUUAUUACAAAUAAAGACAAUAAUUACAAAAUAAUUGAUUUACCGUGUAAAUUUGCAUCUCAUUUCAUUUAACUUUCAACAUGGGGAGCUGGCGUGCACAGCUGCCUUUUUCCUUUAUUUUUCAAAAGCAGAGGCUAGAUUGUUCUGUUUUCAAGGUGGCAAGUUGUUGAUCGGGAGAUCACAGUCGCUCUGACCAGGGGGCGGAGUCUUCUCCUUGCUGCCCUCUGUUGCCAGGGCAUCUUCUCCUUUGGGUUUGGGGCAACCAUCCCCAGCUUCCUUCUUUUUCCUCCUUACUACACUGUAUAGUGACUGAGCAACCUCCAAGAGCUAAUUUGGGAGGAGUUGAGAGAGUUCCAAUGGGGUUUUGUAUUUAUGAUUAAUUUCCACUAGCCUUACAAAGAUGAUGGAUGUCACUGAAUAACACAUCCAAUUUUUGAGGCUUGAUAUUUGCUAACUGUGUAGCCAGGUCCCUUUGGCUCUCAUUGAAGGGGAAACUUAAGCUAUUAACUGAGAAUAAGUGACUCAUUUUGAGGUCAAACAGUAAAUCAGGGAUAGAAUGAGAAUUAAAACCAUAGCUCUAAAGAGCUGCAAAAACAGACUUAAAGAGGAAAAAAAGAUACAGUUUAGGAAGAUUGCUCUUUCUCCUCUGGCUACAGUGACAGACAACCUUGGCUUUGGAUUAUUCUCAGAGAUUAAUAAUUCAUUUUGAACCUCAAUAAUGAAUUAGAGUGUUCAUGGGCACAGCAUCUUUGUGUGACAGUUCCGUGCUCUGCUGUAGAUGGAAACAGAUUUAAAUGGUUCACCAAUCUCUGCCCACUCUGCCGUCUGCAGGGUUGAAGCACUUCAACCUAAUGCCACAAGAAUUUAUUUAGCACACGUUGCAUCCUCUAAAACAAAUAUCAGAAAUUUAAGUAAGACCCAAUCCCUGUCCAUAAGGAACUUAGAGUCUAGUGAUCUGUUCCUUACCUCAAAUUAUUGUUUGAACCACUCUCUUUUUGACUUAUACAAUCACAAGAACGGAAAUUAGACUUUGACUCUAAAGUAUCAAGAAUACACAGUGUUCUUGAAGGCACAAUUGCUUGUUUUUCAUUCAGCCAGAUGAACUGGAGAAUGCCAACAUGCACACACUGACAUCAGCGGCUGCCCUUCAGUUGUAGACUUGGAAAGCAUAUUCUAAAUCCUCUAGUGAAAUGUUUUGGCAGGCAUUUUCAUCCAGAUAUUAUUAACAACAACACUAAAACAAUCCACACAUCAAUUCUGACUCUCAGGGAGGUCCUGGAUGGAAAUGUUAGCGACUGGAGUUUCAAGUGCUUUUGUCCAACCAAAUCUCAUGUCCCAAUCAGUCAUAAUCUUUUAAGUAGCUUUUCUGUUUGGGGGUAAAUAAAGUAGCAUAGGCAUUUCCUUGUCCAGCCAUGUUUUGCAUUUUUCAUUACUGUGACAUUUUUGGAGGCUAUGACUGAUUCAUGACUUAACGACAUAAGAAUACUCUCAAUAGCCAAAAGGCUGUUGGAAAAAAUAUCAUACAAGUGUGCAACCAACUAGAAACCUGAAGGAGCGUGGUCUGUGCAGUCCAUUCAUUCAACAAAUAUUUACUAAGCACUCUGCUAGACCUGGUGUGUCUUAGACCCAUGACUCAAUCUCUUUGGGCCUCGGCUUUCCUCAUCUGUGAAAUGGGAAUAAUGAUGCUUACUCCAUAGGAUGAUGGUGGAGAUUAAGGAUGGCAGUUAUGUGAAAGUUCCCAGCCCAGGAUCUGCAUAGGGGAGGUACUUGGUAGGUGUGGUUUCCUGUCAUUGCUAGGGGAGAACAUAUUAAUGAAAUGUUCCCACUUUCUUCAAGUUGCGUUCCCCACCUCUGUCUUCGCCUUUAACAGAUGCAACUUUGGGGACUUCCAUAGAAAGAAAAUAGAGGUCGUUGCUUGGGAACACCUUCACCUUCCCGUCUUCUGACCUCUCAGACUGCUCUCAGCCUUACUUACAUGGUCUCAGAGCAUCACCAUCUUUCCUGCUGGCCAGAUUAAGUCAUCAUUCUGUGCUCUGGAGCCCAUUCCUUCCCAGUUAGGGACCUCUUGUCUUCCAAAAUUUCUUUCUCUUCUUAUCCUUGGUGACUUGAUUUUCUGUGUAUGAAGAAGCUUGACCCUCUUCUUCAGCUCUUGAGCUCCACUCUGACCACAGUCCCCUCUUCUUUACUUUAAAGCUUCUGGAAGGACUGGAGAUGUCUCACUUUCUCACCCACUGUUUGCUUCGCAUGCCACAGUGCUCUGGCUUGUCUUCCUGACACCACUGGGAUAACUCUUGGUAAAGUUAGCAUUCAUUUCCAAGCCUACUGAAUUUCAUUUCACCUGUUCUUCAUGGCUCUGUAUGACUUUUGAAACUGCUUUCCUUCUGGAAACUGCUACUCCAUUAGCUUUGUGGUGUACUAUGUUGGUCCUUCUCUUCCUUCCUUGCCUAUUCCCGGCAGCUCCAGGGGCUCCUCAUCCAUGAUGCCUGAUGAUGGAAACCUCAGUGUGUGCGGGUAGGUUUUUUUUUUUUUUUUUUUUUUUUUUUUUUUCAACGUUUAUUUAUUUUUGGGACAGAGAGAGACAGAGCAUGAACGGGGGAGGGGCAGAGAGAGAGGGAGACACAGAACCGGAAACAGGCUCCAGGCUCUGAGCCAUCAGCCCAGAGCCUGACGCGGGGCUCGAACUCACGGACCGCGAGAUCGUGACCUGGCUGAAGUCGGACGCUUAACCGACUGCGCCACCCAGGCGCCCCUGUGCGGAUAGUUUUCUAUGCACUUUACAUAAACUAUCACAUUUUAGUCUUCACAACAAACCUUUAAUGAGUACUAGCAUUUCCUCCUUUUAUUAACAGUGAAUGUGAUGCUAACCCAUCUGCCCAGAGUGACUCACUAGUAAGAACUGAGGCCUUGCAGAAAAAGCAUUUGACAAAAUACGGCAUCCUUUCUUGACAAAAACCCUCAAGAAAGUAGGGAUAGAAGGAACAUACCUCAAGAUCAUAAAGGCCCUAUAUGAAAGACCCACAGCUAAUAUUAUCCUCAAUGGGGAAAAUCUGAGAACUUUCCCCCUAAGGUCAGGAACACAGCAGAGAUAUCCACUCUCACCACUGUUAUUCAACGUAGAGUUGAAGUCUUAGCCUCAGCAAUCAGACAACAAAAAGAAAUAAACAGCAUCCAAAUUGGCAAGGAGGAAGUUAAACUUUCAUUCUUUGCAGACGACAUGAUACCCUACAUGGAAAACCCAAAAGAUUCCACCAAAAAACUGCUGGAACUGAUACAUGAAUUCAGCAAAGUUACAGGAUACAAAAAUCAAUGUACAGAAAUCACCUGCAUUUCUAUAUACCAAUAAUGAUGCAGUGGAGAAAAAAAAUCAAGGAAUUGAUCCUAUUUACAAUUGCACCAAAAACCAUAAAAUACCUAGGAAUAAACCUAACCAAAGAGGUGAAAGAUCUAUACACUGAAAACUAUAGGAAGCUUACGAAAGAAAUUGAAGAACACAUAAAGAAAGGGAAAAACAUUCCAUGCUCACGAAUAGGAAGAACAAAUAUUGUUAAAAUGUCAAUUACUACCCAAAGCCAUCUACAUAUUCAAUGCAAUUCCUAUCAAAAUAACACCAGCAUUCUUCACAGAGCUAGAACAAACAAAUCUGAAAUUUGAAUGGAACCAGAAAAGACCCUGAAUAACCAAAGUAAUGUUGAAAAAGAAAAUCAAAGCUGGAGGCAUCACAAUUCCAGCCUUCAAGCUGUGUAUUACAAAGCUAUAAUCAGCAAGAUAGUAUGGUACUAGCACAAAAACAGACACAUAGACCAAUGCAAUAGAAUAGAGAACCCAGAAAUGGACCCACAAACGUAUGGCCAACUCAUCUUAGACAAAGCAGGAAAGAAUAUCCAAUGGAAAAGAUAAUCUCUUCAGCAAAUGGUGCUGGGAAAACUGGACAGCGACAUGCAGAAAAAUGAACCUGGACCACUUUCUUACAUGAUUCACAAAAAGAAACUCAAAAUGGAUGAAAGACCUAAACAUAAGACAGGAAGCCAUCAAAAUCCUUGAGGAGAAAGCAGACAAAAACCUCUUUGACCUCAGCCGCAGCAACUUCUUAUUUGACAUGUCUCCAGAGGCAAUGGAAACAAAAGCAAAAAUGAGCCAUUGGGACCUCAUCAAGAUAAAAAGCUUCUGCGCAGUGAAGGAAAUAAUCAGCAAAAUUAAAAGGUGACCAACGGAAUAUGAGAGGAUACUUGCAAAUGACACAUCAGAUAAAGGGUUAGUAUCCAAAAUCUAUAAAGAACUUACCAAACUCAAUACCCAAAAAGCAAAUAAUCCAGGGAAGAAAUGGGCAAAAGACAUGAAUAGACACUUUUCCAAAGAAGACAUUCAAAUGACUAACAGACACAUGAAAAGGUGCUCAACAUCACUCAUCAUCAGGGAAAUACAAAUCGAAACCACAAUGAGAUACCACCUUACACCUGUCAGAAUGGCUCACAUUAACAACUCAGGCAACAACAGAUGUUGGCGAGGAUGUGGAGAAAGAGGAACCCUUCUGCACUGCUGGUGGGAAUGCAAACUGGUGCAGCCACUCUGGAAAAUAGCAUGGAGGUUCCUCAAAAAAUUAGAAAUAGAACCACCCUACAACCCAGAAAUUGCAGCACUAUCAACAAUAGCCAAAGUAUGGAAAGAGCCCAAAUGUCCAUUGACAGAUGAGUGGAUACAGAAGAUGUGAUAUAUAUAUAUAUAUAUAUAUAUAUAUAUACACACACACACACAUAUAUAUACACAAUAGAAUAUUAGUGAUCAAAAAGAAUGAAAUCUUGCCAUUUCCAAUAACAUGGAUGGAACUAGAGUAUAUUAUGCUGAGUGAAACAAGUCAGUCAGAGAAAGAUAAAUAUCCUAUGAUUUGACUCAUAUAUGGAAUUUAGGAAACAAAACAGAUGAACGUAUGAGGAAGGAAAGCAAAAAUAAGAUAAAAACAGAGAGGGAGAGGGGAGCCUGGGUGGCUCAGUCGGUUGAGUGUCCGACUUCGGCUCAGGUCACGAUCUUGCGGUCUGUGAGUUCGAGCCCCGCGUCGGGCUCUGUGCUGACAGCUCAGAGCCUGGAGCCUGCUUCAGAUUCUGUGUCCCCCUCUCUCUCUGCCCCUCCCCUGCUCAUGCUCUGUCUUUCUCUGUCAAAAAUAAAAUAAACAUUAAAAAAGAACAAAACAGAGAGGGAGACAAACCAUAAGAGAGUCUUAAAUACAGAAAACAAACUGAGGGUUGCUGGGGGGGGUGUUGGGUGGGGGAUGGGUUAAAUGGAUGAUGGGGAUUAAGGAGGGAACUUGUUGGGAUGAGCACUGGGUGUUAUAUGUAAGUGAUGAAUCACUAAAUUCUAUUCCUGAAAUCAUUAUUAUACUAUAUGUUAACUAACUUGGAUUAAAAACAAAAAAAAAAAAAGAACUGAGGCCUGAUUCAAACCCAGUCAGCCAAGCCCCAGAAGCCUAUUUUUCUGGAAAUUUUUUAAUGUGUAUUUAUUUUUGAGAGAGAGAGAGAGAGAGAGUGAGCAGAGGAGGGGCAGAGAGAGAGGGAGACAGAGGAUCCAAAGCCAGCUCUGCUGACAGCAGAGGCUUGAACCCACAACCUUGAGAUCAUAACCUGAGAUGAAGUCAGACACUUAACUCACUGAGCCACCCAGGCGCCCCCAGAAGUCUUUCUUAUUAGCACCUAAAUGUUAGCUUUCCCCUCAACCCUUUCUAUUAAUUUUAACACUUCAAUGAUCUUUAUCUCACCUCUGUGUUCUCCUAGAUCUAUCUAAUUUACUACCAGAUUUUAAUGAUUGCCUACCUACAUAUUGAUGACUCCUGGGUCAGUUCAGACCAGGAAUCAGACACCAAACUGGAAUUGGGUGUGCAAGAGACUUUUUUUUUUUUUUNNNNNNNNNNNNUGGAGAAAUGCCUGUAAGGGAUAAAGGAGAGAGGGAGGGCCUUCGGACCCUCAUGCCGAUCGCGCCUUUGUGAACUUGAGCCAGGACAAAGGAUCAGGUGGGGAGAACCUCGGAUUGCAGUGUGGCCCUGAGAAAGUCUGUGUUGGGGAAAUCCCCCAGGGUGAUCCAUGCUCCGUCACCCCAGGGGAACGGCCCAGGGAGGUGGGGAUCCUGGAGCACCACGGUGGGCGGCAGUGAAGGAGCAGAAGGCUGUCCGCCAACNNNNNNNNNNNNNNNNNNNNNNNNNNNNNNNNNNNNNNNNNNNNNNNNNNNNNNNNNNNNNNNNNNNNNNNNNNNNNNNNNNNNNNNNNGGGGGGGGUGGGACGGGAGCGGUACACCUCUGUCCUCACCACAAAGCUCCCAUCCAUAGUCAGUCCUAACCUGUCUUUGAAUUUCAGUCUGAUACAACUGCUCGCUUCCCAUGUCUAUCCUAGUCCCGUGAAACCUCAGGCUCAGCAUGUCCAGCCUUCAACCCAUUUCAGAGCCUCACCCCUGAAAAUUCCAUAUUCUCUGUAUUCCCUACUUCAGUGUAUAGGAUGGCCACCCGCUUGUCAUCUGAAGCCCCCUUUCCCCUUAUGUCUGCAUAUACAAUCAGUAACUAAGUUCUGUGGAUUUUAUGUCCUACAUUUCUAUUAAAUUGGCUGGUCAUCUCUUCUCCAUACAUACUGCUGCUGCCUCUGUUCGUUUGGAGCCUCGUCGCCUCACUCUGUUGGAAGAGCUUUCCAUCUGGUCCCCUCAUUGGGCCCCCUCCCACUGCACUGCCAACAGAGUGAUCUUUCCCCUACACACCCCAUGCACCCAGGGUGAUGUAGUGGGGGCUUAGAGGUGAGCCCCAAGUGCUAGGGAAUUCAGUGCCUGCUGGAAGUUCAAGGAAGGUUUCCUAGAGGAAAGUACCUGGAAAAUCACAAAGUAGAUGACCAGCCCCUGUUUCAACGGAGGAUUGUUCACUCAGCCAUGAUUGAUUGUUCAGGGCCAAGAAAGGUUUAGUCAUAGGAAAGUUUCAUGCUGCUGUUACAACAGCAAAUUGCUAAAGGCAAAUAAGGAAGGCGCUUCAAUUUCCCUGAAAUCUGAGGACCUUUAGGCUUGGGAUUUCUGUCUUUUAAGUGCAGUCAUCAUUGACACAUAUCUGUUGGAUGGGAUUCAAGUUCAGCCACCGACUGCCAUAGUGCUCCCUGACCUCACCUCACACUUCCCAUCUCCUUUGAACUUGAGAGGCAAACUCAUUCUUACCUCACUUCAGGGAGGGAUUGUUUAUUGUUUCUUCGAAGAGAAACUCGAGAAGGCCAACAGUGUGGGCCUCUUUGCAGGUACAAUGAAUUCUUGAUGGGUCUGAGAAACAACUACCUAACAGAAUCUAUUUCAGUUUUCAAGGAUAUCAAAGAACUUGAGAAAAUCACCCAAGUUUUGAGUAUUUUGAGUUUAAUUUCAGGACAUGCCAAUAGAGAUAUUACUCUAACAUACUCUGGAGGAUACUAGAUAUUUUGCUCUGUGAACUGACUUGUGAAAAUUUAAUCAGCUAGCUUACAGUUCCAGUCUCAGCCCUUCCAGGAUACAGAAACGAACACUAUGAACACUUUGCUUCUUCCAGAAGAAAUUUAUUCCUCAUUUGCUUGAGACAAUGUAAUAGAAGCUAUAGAGCAGAUCAAUAGAUACAUGUGAAGAUGCUAUAAAGUAUAAAUAAUGCCAAAUAUCAGCCUUAUGAUUUUGAUACCUAAACAGAAUUUCCCUAGAGGAUUUCAUUUUAAUAACAAAGCGCUUAUGAGCUUGGUUCAUAUUCAUGUUUAUUUUCUAAAGGAAAUGAUCCCAUUAUCUUCCUUUUGACUGUGGGAGGACAGGAGAAACAGCAGGAGAAAGACAGCUGAAGGAAAGGUCGCGAAUAUCGAUUUGAUUGUUCAGGCAGAUGAUUAACUGCCUCUGCAGAGGCAGCCCCAAGGGCCAUGGAAGCCGUUGCUCAAUUUAAGACUUUCCCAAGUUUCCCUCCUUGUUUUUGAAACCUGACCUUUGUUUCACAGGCAUACAUGGGUAGCGUGAUAACUUCAUAUUGUGGGGUGUAAUUUUUCCUCCAUAUUCAAGACUAGCAAAGCAGGUGAUAGCUCUAUGCACAGUGCAUCUCCGUGCUGGUGUUUGUCUUUGCAUGCCAAGGUGGGAAGCAACAAGAGCUAGUAGAAGAUGCCCAGAAAGUUCAGACCUGAGAAACACAGGUAAUGAGAGGAGAGGGGCUGUGUCUGCCUUACUUUGUGGCUAUUCAUUCUUUUUUAGAGUACUGGAUUAAUCCCCGUACAAUUAGGCACUUUCCUGGUGGGCCAAACUACUGUUUUUUCUAGAAUCCAGUUAGUGAGACAUCUUGGGAUAUCAGGAUCUGUUGCAGAAUACGUGUCACCCCAAGUACUACAAGUAAAGUUCUAGUUUUAUUAGUAGCAUCCGUUAUUAUUGUGAAAUAAAUGUGAGCAUGAUAAUGGUUAUUCUUAAAAUAACGUCUUUCUUACUCCUGUCCAUUCCAAUGAGGUUCCCUGGAGGAGGGAUUACUAAUGGGCCCAGGAGAAUAGGAAAUCACUUUACAGCUCCUCUUCUCAGGGUUUUGUGUCUGAGCACCUCAUCUGCAUUGGGUGCCAUGGGGAGAAUACAGUUGAGAACUGCCUGACCUUGGGGGGAUCUCCCGGCCUCUAGGCUGGCUCACGCCCAUCCUUAUAUGUGACAAUUUCUUCUCUCUUCCUUCUCACCUUGUAGUCUGACCGCAGGUACUAACACAACACAACGUUCACUCAGCUCUUAUACUUCAGAUGAGCUCCUUCUGAAACCUUUCACUGAAUUGUCUGGGCCUAGCCGGCUGCCUCCACCAGGGAGCCGCAUCUCUGCCCUCCUGGCUCCAAACAUCCAAGGAAAAGAGGGAAACAGACCCUGUCACCUGGCUGUUCCAGGACACCACCAUUGGGUACUUAGCAUACCAGAAAAAUUGGCAGUGUUUUUCCUUUUUCAAGUAAUAAGCAUUUGAACCCCAUCUCUGCCAUUUAACUGCUAUGUGACCUUGGGAAAGUUUCUGAACCUCUCCAGGGCUCAGUUUUCUCACCUGGCAAGUGGAAAUACAAUAGGGUUGUUGUAAGGGUUAGGUGAGGUCAUGUGGCUGGGAGGAAAAACUUUUCUCCUAACUUGAGUUCAGAUUAUCAGGAGAAAAGACAACACUUACGUUCACAGGAGGCUGUAGAUGAGAUGGCUCCCAGAGGAGCAAGAGAUAGGGGUUUAUAUAUGAAAUAGGGGGAAAGGGAGAGAGAAAAGGGGCUUCUAGGGGAAACAGACAGAAGGUAUGACAGUUUCAGAUAAAGUUUGUAAUGCAAUUACUCAUCUAGGUGAUAAUAUUAGACUGAUUUCUGGCUGUAAAUCUCCUGGAGAGGGAACUUACGAGCUGUAUUCUUUGGGAGGCUCUGCUUAUGUCCCCAAAAGUUUAGAUAAGGUUUAUUUCUGAAGCAGCGGUUUGUUCAGGUGUUUUUAGCUUGAAAUAAUCUUUAUGCCACUGAGGUACAUAUUGGAUCCCUUCAUUGUAAGACACAUUGUGCUACCCACGUGUUGGUGGUGUUACAGGAUAGGUCACUCUUUCAGAGUUCAGGGACAUUACCAAGCAAGUGGCACCAUCACCGUUAAGGUCAAUGGCUCUCUCUGGACACUGAGGAGUACGAUGGACCACAGAAGUUAUGGUGGCAAAGGUGGCCAUGAGGAGAAUGCUCUGCCUAUCUCAAGAGAAGAAAUUUCUAGUCUCCACUCUUGUACCAUAAACACAGAUGAAGGGUUAACACCACAGGUGGGCCUCCGUUUUGACUCACAGCAUGGGAAAAAAAUGAAGCUGAAUAAAAAUAAUUUUAUUUACCAAGCUUUUACUUCAUAUUACAUAGAUUUUCUAUUUUAAUUCCAAUUUUUAAGAAACUCAUAUUCCCCAUUCUGUUUGUGAUACAAUAUGUGUAGCUGGGAGUAAAGACACAUUAGAAAACAUUCAUGUGGGGCACCUGGGUGGCUCAGUCAGUUAAGCGUCCGACUUCAGCUCAGGUCAUAAUCUCACGGUUUGUGGGUUCAAUCCCCGCUUUAGGCUCUGUGCUGACAGCUCAAAGCCUGGAGCCUGUUUGGUUUCUGUGUCUCCCUCUCUGUCUCUGCCCCUCCCCACUCGUGCUCUCUCUGGCUCUCUCUCUCUUUCUCAAAAAUGAAUAAACAUUUAAAAAAAUGAAAAAAAAGAAAACAUUCAUGUAAUACACAGUUAUAUCAAAUAUAGUUAUUGUACCAACACAGACUGACUUCCAAUGAGAAAUUUGCUUUAAUUUGGUUAUUUAUAAUUUUUAAAGGAUUUAUUAAUUGCACACAGUACAAAGGGCAUUGCACCAAACCCGUGAAUGUUAUUCUUCACUUAUGCAAAUAAUUUUUAAAUGGAUAAAUCUGAGAUUUUAACAGGGAAAAUAUGACAGAUCUUUUCUUCAGUAAGGUAGAUUCCCCCUCCCCCACUAACUGGUAAUUAAAUAAAAACUAAGGAAAGUAAGGUACAAUGGUGAUAGGGAAAUGAAUUUUGUUUAUUUUAAUAUAAACACGUACCCAACAUUUUCUGGAGUGACUUAGUCACUGAUGCCAAAGAUGAUCAAUCAGACUAAGAACACGAAGUACAUAUUAACAAGUAGGCAUUUCUGGAAUUAUUUGAGGAGAGGUGACAUUUUUCUUACUCCAAGAGGCACCCUACAGGUCCCCAUUCCUUCUUCCCCAGAGGCACCUGCUUAUGGCCAGUACAUAACAGAACUGUUCAAUGGUUUUAUUCACUUAAAAAAAAAAAAUCUUGCUCUCAGCAUGUUGCCAGAAUAUUUAUCUGCAUUAUUAAUUCUUUUGGUUUGUAAAUCCCAAAGCAGUAGCUUUCAGCUCUGGUAUCAUGAGCCACUGAUGCGUCAUCAUCUGUGCAAGAGAAAGGGAAGGAUGGCAACUCAUGGAGGGGGAUAUGGGUGGGACUGAGUAAAACUCACAGCCUGCCCUGCAGGUGUGCCUAGACCCCUAACACAUCUUGAGUGCCAUGGGAGCGGGUCCCUCAUGCAAAUGUCUUUUGUUAAAUGUGCACCUUUAGAACAAAGGUUGAGGCCCAGAGCCCAGACGGCUUGAGGUCGUGUUGACCCAGAUGUUUCUGUCCAGCUUGGAAUAGUGACACCACAAGUGGGAAUCUCUUAAAGGCCCCUGAUGAUGAUAGCAACAAUGAAGAUGACAAUAAAGGAGGUGAUGAUGAUGAUGAUAAUGUGCCUUUGUUCUCCAGUAAUUCCCAAUUUCCUCUAUUUCAUCUUUUCUUAGCCUAGACCCAGAAGAGCUAGAAAGUGGACCAAAAGCCUCCUUCCUCCCAGGAAGCACAAUGAAAGCUAAGAGGUAAGAUGUACAAACUCUUCUCCUCUGCCUCUUACACCUAUAGGCCUGGAUAAAGGUAAGAGCUGCUACCCCAUGUCUGAAGUCCCUCUGGAGCCCCAUCAGUAUAAAGUCAAGGUUCAGCAUGGCUAGCAAAGAAUAAUGGGUGUUGCUUUUGUGGCCAGACACUGUGCAUUGUCUACCCAAUAGCCAGUCUCACCCCCAACCCCUUCUGGUGUUUACAUCCUUCUCAGCUCUGGGGCAUGAAACAUAUCAAUCAAAGGCAAUCACAAUAGUCUUCUCUUUGCCAAUAACUGACUUAGGCAUGGGCACCUUGACCCAGUCCGUACCUGAGAGUCAGUCUGCUUUGGAAAUCCUGGGAAAGCUUUUCCUCUUAGUUAAAAAGUUGCACGGGAGGACAUACUUGUUCCCUUUGCUGGACAUCUUGACACCCACAUCUGAUGCCUGGAGCUGCUAUAAUCCCUUGGGGCCAGGAGAGGAGACACUGGCCACACACUGAGAACGGUAAACUGCUGAACAGAAAGAAGGAAAGCACCUGGGUCCUUGAGGCCAUCACCGUGCCACUGUGCUAAGCUUACCUGGAGCUGCCCCUCUGUAGAGUUCUAGUUAUGGAGGUCAUAAGCCUGUUAUUGCUUAAACCACUUUAAGGAAAGUAGGUCUUCUGCUGCUUAUGCGCAAGCCACCAGACACACCCUUUAGAAGAUCAUCCAGACUUGAGAGCAGCCGAUCAGUGAUAGAGGCCAUGAAAUGGGUAAAGAGACCACAAGACCAUGCACAUGAGUUGUCCCGGCCACCUCAGAUAGUUGCUGGUUUAAAAAAAAAAAUCAUUGAAAACUAUAAUUUUUCGGACUUCUACAUCCAUUCAUUCACUCAUGCAAUGAAUAUUCACUUAGCUCUUACUGUGGUUUUGCUGUGAAGGACCCGAAGAAAUAGAGUAUUUAGCAGUGACUUAGUACUUUAGCAUUCACCAAGAACUUCACGCGCACUAUUUGAUGCCCGCAAGAACUCAGUGAAAUCAGUAUUUAUUAAUUCCUUUUUCACAAAUGAAAACAUCUGAGGCUCAAAAAAGAUUGUCUAAAUUUCCAUAAUCUGACUCUAAGUCCAUGUUUUUUUUCCACCAAAAUCUGAAAUGUAUCUUGCCCUCAGGAAGCUUAAGGUCUAAAUUUAGGGAGAGGAGGUGUUCCUAUAUUUAAAAUGAAAAAAAAAAAAAAAAAAGACAUAAACAAUAUUUAUAUGUCAAUGCAAACAGCUAUUCAAUAAAUUUGACAGUAAUAAAUAGUCAAGUACCAAAUGUACAGGGUGAGAGCAAGAAUCAUUCAGGAGGAGUUUACCAAUGUUGAUGGAGAAUCGGUGUGUAUGUUUGUUGCAAGUUGGAAUCUGAAGUAAUCAUAUAAAAACUACUAUAAUCUCACAUAAAUAAAAAAUGCGUAAACUAGAUUCGUGUCUCUUAUCAGAUCUUAGUUACUUUUGUCGUCUGUAAGUAAUUAAUUCUAAGCUUAAAAGAUUUGCCACGUGUGCCAUUCUCCCCAAAUCUCCGUGUGUUCGCCGACCCGGAAGCUCUCUGGAAUUUCGUUCUUUAGGUUUUUAUGGAGGCCUCAUUCCAUAGGUACGAUUGAUCAAAUCAUUGGCCGUUGAUUGAUUGAAUCUCUAGCAAUGGCUGGAGGUGGGACCGACCUUCUAAUCACAUGAUUGGCUCAACAGGUUACCUAAAGGCUUCCCCAAAGUCACUCAUUAACAUAACAAAAGAGACCUUGAACCCUCUUAUCACAGGAAAUUCCAGGGGGUUUAGGAGCUGUGAGCCAGGAACCAUGAACAAAGACCAAAUAUAUACGAGAACUAAUUUUCGGUUAUCUCAAUGACCAACAACAUUUCUUGUAAAUCACAAUAUCUCAGGUACACGAUGUUGUGUGCCGAUAACUAUAUGAUCCUUCUUCAUGAGACAACCUCUUAUCUGAUAAAAUUCUACAUUUGAGGUGGUCAUUAUAAUGUACUGCUGAGAAACAGAGCCGCAGGUAUCUAAAUUUUUUUUUUUUUUUCAACGUUUAUUUAUUUUUGGGACAGAGAGAGACAGAGCAUGAAUGGGCGAGGGGCAGAGAGAGAGGGAGACACAGAAUCGGAAACAGGCUUCAGGCUCUGAGCCAUCAGCCCAGAGCCUGACGCGGGGCUCGAACUCACGGACCGCGAGAUCGUGACCUGGCUGAAGUCGGACGCUUAACCGACUGCGCCACCCAGGCGCCCCUGGAGCCGCAGGUAUCUAGAACAAACUGGUGUCUGCCAGAAGGGAGGGGGCAGGGGACGAGUGAAACAGGUGAAGGGGACUAAGAGGCACAAAAUUUUAGUUAUAAAAUAGACAAGUCAUGGGGACGAAAAGUGCAUCAUGGGGAUACCAUCAAUAAUUUUGUAGUAAUAUUGUAUGGUGACAGACAGAACUACACUUAUAAUGAGCACCGUGUAAUGUACAGAACUGUCGAAUCACUGUUGUGCCCCUGAAACUAAUACAAUACCGUAUGUCAACUAACUAUACUUUAAUAAUAAAAACUACCAAAAAAAAAAAGGGGCACACUGUGAUUUUCAAGACGUUCAUAAGAGUCUUAGAGCUUCUGCUUACGCUGGUGGGCAUACCCUCUCUUUGGAACUCUCUCUCUGGAGGAAACCAGCUACCAUGUAAGAACUGCAGUCCCAUGAACCACUUAUGCAGAAAGAAUGAGGCUGGCUAGCUGUCAACUGUUCUAGCCAUCCCAGCUUAGGCACUGGACCUGAGUCAAGGAGCCACCUUGGACUCUCUGUUCCCAUCAGACGCCUCAAUGAGAAGAAAGGAAGUUCCAGAUGUAUGGCCCCAGUAGAGAUAUCCUAGCCAUCUCCAACCAUUCAUGCCAAUCCAGUUGAGACCCCAGAUUUCAUGGAACAGAAACAAGCCAUUUCCACUAUGUCCUACUCAAAUUCCUGAUUCACUGAGUCAUGAGCAUAAUAAAAUGCCUGUUGUUUUAAGCCUCUAACUUUCAGGAUGCAAGAAAAGAUAAGUGGAACAUCCUUGGGAUUUUUCACAUCCACAAGACUAAACAAUUUUAUUAUGUUUUUUUUAAGUAGGUUCCACGCCCAACUUGGGGCUUGAACUCAACGACCCUGAGAUCAAGAGUCACAUGCUCUACUGACUGCCAGCCAGGUACCCCAGGACUAAGCCAUUUUAAAUAUUGGCCUCUCAGAAUUUCAUUUUAACUCUAUGAACAUUGUCAUCAUAUUGAGCUAUUUCUCCAUAUCUCUAUUAUCCUUUUGCCAGACAUCUUGUUUUCCUCGCUGGAUCCAGGACUAUCUGGUACAACUGUGGAGGUCAUGCACUGCACAAAGGUGUCAGACCAAGGGGUCAAGUAGUGGUUGAAGCAGGUUUUUUUUUUUUUUUUUUUAAUUAACAUAAACAAGUAGUAUAGCUUAGUGGCUGCUCUGAAUGGGACACUCAGUCUCCCAAAGUUUUCAGUCCAUCAGUUCUCUUUGUUUAUAUUUGAUUGCUUAUAAAGUGUAAUCCAAUCCUACCUUUACCCCCUUUUUAAUUUUGUUUUUGUAUCCUUGAUGGCUUCAAGUACUACUCAUUGUGCCUAGAGCAAGUCCUGUAUUACUUUUCUUCUUCUUUCUCUAUUAAGACACUCUUUUUUUCUUUUGUCUCUCAAUUGAAGUAGCUUAUUUUCCUAAUUAUAUAUAAUAUUUGCCUAUUAAAAAAAUUUAAAGAAUAAGUAAAAGUAUGAAGAAGAAAGUAGGGGCACCUGGGUGGCUCAGUUGGUUAAGUGUCUGACUCUUGAUUUUGGCUCAGGUCAUGAUCUCAUGGUUUGUGGGAUCGAGCCCUGCAGCGGACUCUGCACUGACCUUGCAGAGCCUGCUUGGGAUUCUCUCUCUCCUUCUUUCUCUGCCCCUCCCUGACUUGCACACACACACACACACACACACACACACACACACACACAUUUGUUCUUCCUCUCCCUUUCUCUCAAACUUAAAAAAACCAAAUAAAAUAUAUUUGGGAUAUAUAUUCAAGAACUUCUAAGUUAACACAGGAAAUGAAUGGGCUCAGAGAUUCAUGUGGUAAUGUCUUCUCUUCGUCCAUAUGAAGGUCAUAAUUUACAGAAAAGGGGUUUACAGAAGAGGAAUCAGAGAGUUUCUGAUUUAGGAGUUACCAGGCAUGGUUUAAGUUUGGGGUACCAUGAUGAAAUCCGAGGAUUGAGAAAAAUCCUACAGCUUUUCAUCCCACUGACAGUCAGGCUGUCUUUUUUAGGCAAGAGACCAUAAGAGCCUUUUUAAAGAAAUCUGAUUAGCCCAAAAGGAAAAGCCUGACUAUAUAGACAACAGAGGCUUCCUGUGCCAGUCAGCGAUCUCCAUAGAAACAGAAUCAAUAGGAUAUAUGUAUAUUUAUAUUAAAAGAUUUAUUUUAAGGAAUUGGCUCAUGGAGCUGUAGGGGGCCAGAAAACCCUAAAUCCACAGGCCAGACCAGUAGGCUGGCCACUCAGGCAAGAGUUGAUAUUGUAGUCUUGACCCUGAAAUCUAUAGGACAGGCUAACAGGUUGGAAACUGAGGCUGUAUUUCUUUGUUACAGUCUUGAGGGAGAAUUACUUUUCUCUGGGAAGCCUCUGGGAAGUUUUUUGCCCUUAAGGCCUUCUACUGAUUAAAUGAGGACUACCCACAGUGUUGAGGAUAAUCUCGUGUAAAGUCACCUGAUUGUAGAUGAUAAUCACAUCUAUAAAAUGACUUCACAACAAUGUCUAGAGUAGUAUUGACUGAACAACUGGACCAUGCCAAACCUAGCCAAGGUGACACAUAAAAUUUAACCCUGCCCUUGCACUUCCCAAUGAAACAGCUCUAACAGGUUGCCCCAACACCGAAGUCUAUGAUCAGCAAGGCCCACUCAUGGCACAGACCUCCUAGUAGGCUUUUUAAAUGCUCCAUGCUAAGAAGUGACUGGCUGACUCAGUUGGUAGAGCGUGUGACUCUUGAUUUGGGGCUCAUGAGUUUGAGCCCCACGUUGGGUGGGGAGAUUCCUUAAGAAAAAUAAUAAUAAAAUAAAAAUAAAGAGUUUUUCUAAAUGCUUCAUUCUAACGAAAAAAUGGUUAAUCAAGAAUCAGUAAAUAUCUGAAGAAAGUCUUUUAGAGGAAACAAAAACGGUUCAGGGUGAAGAAAACAACAAAAAAACUAUCAUUAAGAUCCUCAGGGAGAUAAGAGAAGAUAAUUCGACCAUGAAACAAGAAAAACUAGGGGAAAAAAUGGCUUCAGAGAAGAAAAAGGAGUUCCUUGAAAUUAUAAAAAUUAUAACAUAAAUUGAAAACUCAGUAAGAGGGUUAUAAGAUAAAGUUGACGAAAUCUCUAAGAAAGUAAAACAAAAUGACAUGACAAGGAGAUGGAAAAUAGGCGGGGGGAAAAGAGGUCCUUUUAGGAGGAUCGAAUCUAAAUAAGGUUUCCAGAAAGAAAACAGAGAAAAUUGAGGAUGGGGAAAUUAUCAAAGAAAUAAUUCAAAACAUUUCUGAGCAUUAAAGAUUAUGAGUUUCCAGAUUGAAAAGGUUUACCGAGUUUCCAGCCCAGUAGAUAAAUAUCUAUCCACACCAAGCCAUUUCAUCAUGGAAAUUUAAGAAAACAGAGAUAAGAGAGUACAGCUUUGGAUGAGUGGGAGGGAUAGAUUACAUACAAAUGAUCAAGCAUCAGACUGACUUUAGGCUUCUCAACAGCAUCAGAAGAGGGCAAUAAAACAAUACCUUCAAAACUCUGAGGAAAAAUGAUAUUUUUACUCAGAAUUCUAUUUCCAACCAAAGCUAGCAAAUUUAAGGGUAGAAGAGUGAUGUUUUUGUAAAUAAAAGUUCUCUACAACUCACUUCCCAGCCACAUUUUCUCAGCAAGUAGUGAAAGAUGUAUUCCUCCAAGAAAAGGAGUAAACAAAGAGAGGAUGUGAGAUUCAGGAAUCCAGGACUCUAACCAAAAAGACAGGCCAGGAGAAUACCUAGCAGGAUGGUGGAGGGAGGUCCCGGGACACAGCUGCCCUACAUGGAGAGAGUAGUUCAUCCAAACUGAAUGAGGUCAGAGGAUCGUGGGACAGACGUCUCCAAGAACGUGAAAUUGAUACUGCACCUGGCAAAUGUGAACAUUUUAAGAAGAGAGUUACACCUCAUGAGGACUGUUUGGAGACAAAAAAUUAAAGUUAUAUAAUAUAUAUAAUAGUAUAUAUAUUAUAUUAUUAUAUAUAAUAUAUUAUAUAUGUAAUACACAAUAAUGAUAUAAUUAUAAUAAUAUAAUAAUUCUAUAUUAUUAUAUAAUAAUGUAUAAUAUAUAAUGAUAUAUAUUAGUGAAUAAUGUAAAUAGUGAAUAUAUAUAAUAUAUUAUAAUUAUAUAUAAUAUAUAUUAAUAUAUAAUUAAUAUAUAUUAAUAAUAUAUAUAAUAUAUAAUAAUUGUAUUAUAUAUUAUAUAAAAUAUAUUAUAACUUAUAUAAUAUAUAAUAUAUGGGGGAAGAGAAUAUAUUAUAUAUAUAUUAUAUAUAAUAUAUAUAAUAUAUUAUAUAGGGGGGGAAGGGAAGUGUUGAACAAGCAGAGAGCAGAGAAUUUUUAAGUCAGUGAAAAUACUCUGUAUGAUAUUAUAAAUAUCAUUAUACAUUUGCCCAAACCCAUAGAAUAUAGAACAUCAAGAGUGAACCCCGAGGUAAGCUGUGGACUUUGGGUGAUUAUGAUGUGUCACUGGAGGCUCAUCCUUGGUAAGAAAUAGACCAUUCUAGUGAGUGAUGUUGAUAGUGGGGGAGAUUAUGCACGUGUGGCAGCAGGGGGUAUAUACCAAAUCUCUGUACCUUCCUCUCAAUUAUACCAUAUACCUAAAUGUGCUCUAAAAAAUAAAGUCUUUAGGGGCGCCUGGGUGGCUCAGUCGGUUAAGCGGCCGACUUCGGCUCAGGUCACGAUCUCGCGGUUCGUGAGUUUGAGGCCCGCGUCGGGCUCUGUGCUGACAGCUCAGAGCCUGGAGCCUGUUUCAGAUUCUGUGUCUCCCUCUCUCUGACCCUCCCCCAUUCAUGCUCUGUCUCUCUCUGUCUCAAAAAUAAAUAAACGUUAAAAAAAAAAAAUUAAAAAAAAAAAAUAAAGUCUUUAAAAACAUUUUUUUUCUCGGCCCCUCCCCUGCUCUCUCUCUCUUUCAAAAAUAAAUAAACAUUAAAAAUUUUUUUCAGGAAAAAUAAUUUAUAUACAAAUAUAUAUAUAAUAAAUAAAUAAUAAAUACAUAUAUAGUGAUAAAUAUAUAUAUUAACCCCAGGAAAACAAAAGGUUACUGAAGAAAGGAAAAGGUAUAAUGUUAGUAAGUACCACUUGGUUCAAUUGUUAAGUAGUAUUUACCUAGUCAAAAUAAUGUAAAUAGUGAAUACAGUUUAACAAAAUCACUUGUUUAUGUGGCGGUUGUAUGUUAUGUUUGUGGUAAAGGCAGGGAAGUGAAGAAAAAGAGCUAAAUCCUUAUUGUGCAUAAUAAAAGUAGAUCAUAUAUAACAUUAAAAAGUCAAGAAACAGUAGUUAUUUCAGUAGCGGUCCAGCAGUGUUAUUUAAAGAUUUAGAGGUGAAUUUAAAAAGAGAAACAAUCAAGGAGUUGAAAGGGCUUGUCUCCUGGAGGAAAAAAAAAUAAUGGCAGGGACAUGGAGAGAAGAUAGCUAUUUUUCAUAAUACGUUUGUAGAACUGUUUGGUCCUUUCUUGCAUAUUAUAAUUUUGGCUUUUUUUUUUUUUUUUGAACUUGCAAACAUGUAGAAUAAAACCAAACUCUAGGCUGUCCAAGAGCUCACCGUAUGGAUUCAGAAUGACCUGGAUUCUAAUACCAGCUUCGCCACUUCCCAGCUAUGUAACCUUGGGCAAGUUCUCAAAGUUCUCCGAACUCCCUGGAAAGGGGAUAAUAAUAGUUCUCAUGGUAACGGUGCAUACCGACUGAUUCACAGCCCUGGUUGUGAAGAAUGAAUAAAAUAACCCAUGUCAGGUCUAAGCAUUAUGCCUGAUGCAUACUGUGUUGUAUAAACUUUCGCUGACAUUUUUUGCUAUCAUCAGGCUGACAUUCACGGCUCUUUGUAAUCUCUCUAAUCUGCAUUUCCGACCUCACGUCUUAUUCCUCUUCUAGACAAACUCUAAGCUGGGCCAGGCAGUUCUCAUCCUUUCUGAAAGACCACGCUCUUUCCUGCCUCUCUGAAAUUAUUUUCUUAUUCACCAACCUAUUUGGGUUGCGAUAACAAUGGAAAUGAAAUGUGUUACACCCUGUAAAUAACUGGACGGUAUUUGCAUUCAUAGGAUUGAAAUCCAAGAUGUAAAUAUUUCCUCUAGGGGCUAAAAGCCGAAAGGAGGAGUUUCAUUUUUUGUUCAAGACGUGUUAAUCUUGUCAUUGCUCAAGGUUGCCAUGGUUCCUGUUUGGCACUUCCAGGACUUAAGCUUAUGCCACUACAUCUGAACAAGUAGAAAGAACCGCAUUUGAUUGAGACAGGGAGACCGGCAGGGUAACAAUCUUGGGAGAUAUGUCAGUGCUGGAAGUAGAAACAUAAGCCAGAUUUUUUGUGUCUCAGUUACACAAUGAUUCUGUCUGCUCCUAACACUGCACAUUUCCAGCUUUGUUUUUUCCUGGGGAAUAGGGAGUAAUUUAUUUUGUAAACCAGGGAGACACUCUUUUCUCUUUUCUGUGGCACAAUUUAAGUGGGAAAAAUCCAGUAACCAUUUGCCGGUAGUUUUUUUAAAAAUAAGUCUUUGAUUUCAUAAGGUAUUUGUUAGAGCCGGUUAUUUUAUUGGAGAGACUUCAUUACAAUAUAAAGAUAAACGAGUCCUAGCUUAAAAAAAAUAGGGAUUAAACCAGAGAAAAUGAAGCUAAUUAACUUGGACAAUUCAUACUCUUCUGUCAACCUCACAGUUAUUUUCAAAUUCACAGUCAUAGUUAGUAGGGUUCCUUGGAUGGAAAUCAAAAUGGUGUUUUUAUGAGACUCACUAACCUAUCUCUGGUGACAUUUAUGCCCUAUGGUACUUUCUUGGUUCUUUUGGUCUCUGGCGUAUAUGGAAAAUAAAUAGUAACAUGGGAAUAAAUAGUGUUAAUCGCUCUUGAUUGCUUAAAAUGCUCACAAGAUUUCAAAACUUUAUAAAUCAUUUUAUAAGAUUUCUUCUGCAGAUUUGAAGAGGAGGGUUAAUAUUAUCUUCCUUCUAGCCAUCGUUUGAAGGUGAAUUCAGAUAGACCAUCCAGAAUCUUAUACAAAUUCAACAGCAUUUUGUCAUUUAUUACACUUGCCAUCAGUAUUUUGUUGACAUUUGCUGACACUUUAUGAAUGCCCCUAAGGCAUAUGAUAACUAAAUCAGUGGCUAUAAGAUGUACAUCUGUGUAGACUAGGAAUAUUAUCUUUCCUCAUAGGGUAAAUAAUUCAUGAAGGGCUGUUUCAUAUGAGCUGUAUUAGUUUUUUAGAUGUAUCAACAGUAAAGUGAGAAACGAGAACAUUUUAAUGCAAAACAGAAAAUUUAAAAUGCUCAGGUUGAGUCUUGAAAACCCUUAUUCCCUUGGCUUUAAAGUGAGAUAAAAUGGAAGACAUUUAGUAGAGCAAAGAGCUUCUAAAACUUUUGCUUUAGUUUCCACCUCAACUUUAGGAUACUUCAGGAACAAUUAGAGCACAGGUCAAUCUUUGUUUUAGAUAAUUUCUUCCAAAUUGAUUAUUAACCCAUGACUGCCCUUUAAUUCUAAUGAUUUUCUUGCUUAUCAACAUCUUUAUUAAUUUGAAUACACGUGCCUGUUUAAAUCUUACGGUAACAAAGUCCUGGUUAGCAAACAAGGAUAUGUGAAAAGUUGCCAACUAUAGGUUGGAACUGUUCUUAAAAUAAGGUGAAAUCCAGAAAAGGACCCCAAAACCAAGUGUCCAGGACCCGUUAGUGUGAACUGGCUAUCAGUGACUAAACAUAAAAGUAACACUGAAUUUCAACCUCUGUGGUUCAAAAAUUUCAUCUUCCUUGAGUUCAAUACUACAAUGACUUAAAAAUAUAAUGGUUGCCAACUCUUCAAUUAACAGAUUGAUAAAUAUACUGAAAAAUUGGGCAGUUCUCAAGUGGUAAUCCCGCUAAUGGAUAUUAUGCUUGAUAAAUUAAUUCUGAAAUUCAACUUCUGUGCAGAGUGGAAAACAAUUAGAAAGUCAAAGAGAAAACAAAAAUAGAAGCACAAGACACAAAUUUCAAAGAAAUGGCUUAUAGCAUCUCAUAUACAAGAGGACAAGAAGAAAUAGACCUUUCCAGAAACAUGGCCCGUGACACGAGAUGACUCCUUCAUUAGUUUGCCUCAAGUGGCUGAGGGGCAUGGAGUGCUGCCUUGCACAUGCACGUGAUGUGAGUGCAAAAGGUUUUUGUUCGUGACGAUUUUACUGCUGUCUAUGCAGGACUCACUCAAUUACAUGUGAUGACCACGUACUUUUUCCAUCACAGCAUCUAUAAGAAUGUUUCAUUUGGAUUUUCCAGAUCAACAGCUAAUGGCCAAUGAGGCUUCACAUCCCUUCCUACCAGGUGGUGCCCAGGGAACCUGAUUGCAGUAGAUAACUGACCAUUAGGUUUAAUAUUUCCCUGAUUUCUUUCUUUUUCUUAUUCUACAUUUUUCUUUUGUCUUUCAACUACUGGUAAUACGCAGAUUGGGGUAAAACACUUCACAAAUUAUUUCUGGUUUAAUAGUCCUCGCUUUCAAAUGUGCUUUUCAGACUUUAAUUAAACCUAGUCUCCCUGAGGGCCCACAGGGAAGCAGGGUUUUUUCUGCUUUUCCAGAAGGGGACAAUGAAAAAGGAGUAAUGACUACAGACAGUAGAAGUGGAAAAGGGCAAUGAAAAAGAAACUCUCCUGACUUAUUCUGAAUUUAGAAGCUUUUCUGCCUUUCUUUAGACCUAAAUUCAUACUGUUAAGCCUUUUGGGGGGGGAAAUCUGUUUCCUUGAGGAGGUUGAGAGACAUUAGAUUCUAUUUCAAUUACAUAAGAAAAAAUUCUUAUUAACUAAUUUCUAAUAGGUGUAGCAUCAUAUAUAAAGUAAAAUACAAAAUAUUAAAAAACUGUCCAGUUUCAGCUUAUUUGCUUACACAAAUUAAUAAAAUCAUUUUUAUUAAGUAAUAAAAUGAUUAUUUUUUAUUUCUAGGCAAAAUGUAUUCAUAAUUAAACUAAAAAAUAAUUAUAAUUUGACCUAUCGGCCUUUGAGACAUAUAAUUUGAUAAUCUUAUAUAAUUAUAAUUUAGUGAGACAAUUGGAAAUAUAACCAUUUUGUCUUUAAAAUCCACACAUAAAUGGAUGUAAAACAGUUAACAAAACUCCAGUGAGGCAGCCACUGGUUAGAUGUAGCUGCAUUUACUUAGGCCAAAGAAUAUAUUUGCAAGUAGUAUACCAAAAGAAACACAGGGAACAUAUUUUGUGGGGAUAAUGAAGUAUCCUUGAGAAAGCACCUGUCGUUUCCUCGAUAGUAAGGCGACAUGAAUUUUUGUGUUAUUGAGAGAGCAUGAGUGGAGGAGGGGCAGAGAGAGAGCAGGACUGAAGAUCUCAAGUGAGCUCUGCUGACAGCAGUGAGCCCAACGUGGGGCUUAAACUCAUGAACUGUGAGAUCAUGACCUGAGCCAAAGUCGAACACUCAGUCGACUGAGCCACCCAGGUGCCCCCCAAAUUUUAUUGUUAAAAGCAGGUGGUAAAGGCUUGUUUUUAAAGAGAAGACAAAAGAGCUCUCCCUCCUUGCGGUAGGUAUAGUUCUGCGCAAAUCUUAACAGCUUAUAGGAACAGAAAUAAUGAGGUACAGACCUCAAAUUGAUGAAGAUCCUCUCAUCUAAAAUUUGUAUAUUUUUUAUUGAAGUAUAACUAGCAUACGGUGUUAUCUUAAUUUCAGGUGUACUAUAUAAUGAUUCAACAAUUCUGUAAAUUACCCAGUGCUCAUCACAAUAAGUGGUCUCUUAAUCCCCUUGCUCUGUUUCACCCACCUUCCGUUUGGCAAGUCCGGGUUGGUUGUAAAAUGUGCAUAUUUAAUAAUUGCAGGCAAAGAAAUGAAAAGAAUGAGAAUGCUCUACAGACAUCACAUCAGAAAGAAAACGCUCGCAUGGGCCAGUAUGGAGUGGACAGAGGAACAGGAGUGACAGAGUUCAGGGGCAGAGGAAGAAGACACGGACCAGAUGAGGUGAGAAACAGCCUCCUCUGUCAGCAGGGCCCUGGCAGAGUGCUCAUUACCGUUGACUUCUCACCACCCUUCCCGCACACUAGACGAUCAGUCGAGGCUGGCUGUGGUAAUUCCAUUCGCCUUACCAGUUAGGAAAGGGGCUUGUGACCCAGUGAGGAAAGGUCUGCUGAGAGGCUUCUGGAAUAGGUUUUCUCACUCUGAUGAAAGAGAGGAAGAGAUGGCCUGUCUUCUUUUAUUGGGAAUAUACUCAACCAAAUCUAUUCUCUGAAAUUGGGAGAGUGGGUGAAUGGAAAGAACUUCAGUAUUUAAUGACCUUGUUGAAUUAUUAAUCAACCGAUCUUGAGUCCUGUGCUCCUGGACUUCUAUUCAUGUGAAGUAAUGUUUCCUUAUGCUUAAGCCAGUUUACCUAUUUAUUUAUUGAAGAUCUGAUUGGCUUUAUUAACUGGUUCAUGAAUUGGGCAACACCUCAUCUAGCAAGUAGAGGGGAGCUCCCAAGCAAGUUUAACUCAGGGUUUUCUGUUAACUAUUAACCAAGAAUUCUCUAAUUGAAAUAAUUAAUGAGAUAUAUUGGGUAUUUCACCAAAACACUUGCAGGCUAUAUUUUAUCUUAUUUUAUUUUAUUUUUUAAUUUCAUUUCAUUUUAUUUUAUUUUAUUUCAUUUUAUUUAUUUCAUUUUAUUUCAUUUCAUUUUUUUAUUUUAUUUUAUUGUAUUUUAUUUUAUUUUAUUUUAUUUUAUUUUAUUUGAAAGAGAGAGAAAGAGAGAAAGGAGUGCAAGCUGGGGAGAGACAGAGGGAGAGGGAGAGAGAAAAUCUUAAGCAGGCUCCGUGUCCAGCACAGAGAUGGACACAGGAGUGGGUCUCACAACACUGAGAUCAUGACGUGAGCUGAAAUCAAGAGUUGGACGUUCAACUGAGCCACCCAGGCACCCGAAGACUAUAUUUUAAUUACAGUUUCCGUAACGUAUAUUUAUACAUAAGUUGGCUGAGCCUAGUUCAUUCCAGUUUGGGUUCUCUUCUCAACUCAUAGUGAUCUUUCUCAAGUUCUAACUCAAGAAUUCCUUCAUAUGUUUUUUAGUGGAAAGGCAUCUAAACUAACUGACUCUAAGUAACUUUGCAACCAAGAUACUGGUAUUCAGAAUGGGAGGAUAAGCAAACAGCAUCAGUUACAAAAUAAGGCUUAAAACAUCUAUGCAUGUGUUACAUAUCAAUCCCUUGCAGAUUAUGUGAUAAAUGAGUUAAUAAGGAUGUCAUCACCUAACCAAUCUGUCAUUCCUAACAAUGUGACCAGAAAAUAAAUAGAAUUUAUAAAGAAUUUCUUUAUUCUUCUCCUCACUCUUUCACCAAUUGGUGACUAUCUUAUUAAUGACAAUAUAUUCUCCAUUCUGUGCUAGCAGCUGAGAGUUAAACAUUCACAAUGGGUAUCAGUAUGCAUGUUGCUGGGAUUAGGAACGAAGGAAAUUAAAGAAUAGUCCUGUUAUUUCAAGGAUCUGUAAGCCAGUAUUGCUGAAGCUGAAAAAUUAUAGGUCUUUCCGAAAGAAUAUCUUUGAGUUAAAGUUUGACUUUUUAGAGUAGCAUGGCAAGAGCAGCCCUACAAUGAGUGCAGUCUAUGGCAGGUCUGAAUCGUCCAGCAAAGUGGGAUGGCCUUUAACCUCGGGUUUCUUACGUCCUUUGGGACCACUUGUAUGAGUCUUGGAAGUGCUCUGUCCUUUUGCCAGGACUCUUUUGUCCUUAGUUUGGCCCUAAUAAUAGCACGUAGUUAAUAAGGGGAGAGAUAUGGUAGGGGAGAUAUUAAUUCUUGCACCUAGCAUUCUUAGGAAUACCUUCUUUCUUUUUAUAUUUGCAGUCUUUCUAUAGUGCUUUAUUACACUUAAGUGCACCUCACAGAGCAUCUAAGCUAUUGCAAUCUCUUGACCUCUGUUUUUCCCACUUGAAAUAAAUCUCAUGCUUCUGUCCAAGUUGCCUUUUUUGCCCAUAGUUCUUAUUUAUUGCCCUCAUGACAGCUAGAAUGAUUCUUCUAAAAUAUUUGCAUAGUAGGGACACCUGGGUGGCUCAGUCGGUUAAGCGUCUGACUUCGGCUCAGGUCAUGAUCUCGCGGUUUGUGAGUUCGAGCCCCACAUCCGGCUCUGUGCUGACAGCUCGGAGCCUGGAGCCUGUUUCUGAUUUUGUGUCUCCUCUCUCUGCCCCUCCCCCACGUGUGUUCUGUCUCUCUCUGUCUAUCAAAAAUAAAUAAAUGUAAAAAAUAUAUAUAUUUGCAUAGUAUACCAUUUUCCCUCAUCUUACUCUCACCUUUUCUGUGUGCUUGUAUUUAGGAUGCGCUUCUUGUUUUUUUUUUUUUAAGAAUUCUUUUUAGCUUUUUUUGUAAUGUUUAUUUAUUUUUGACACAGAGAGAGACAGAGCAUGAGUGAGGGAGGGGCAGAGAGAGAGGGAGACACAGAAUCCAAAGCAGGCUCGAGGCUUCAGGCUCUGAGCUGUCAGCACAGAGCCGGACGCAGGGCUGGAACUCACAGACCAGGAGAUCAUGACCUGAGCCGAAGUUGGAUGCUCAACCGACUGAGCCACCCAGAUGCCCCUAGGACAUGCUUCUUGUAAGCAACAUGUAAUCAAAUUUUGUUUUCUUAUCUGGUUUGACAAUUUUUGUAUUUCAAUUGGAACAGGUAACUCACUUACAUUUAAUAUAAUUAUUGAUAUGUUUUGGUUGAUACCAACCAUCACAAUAUUUGCUUUCUAUUUGUUCCUCCUGCUCUAUGGUCUGUUUUCUUUCAUUUCCUUUCAUCUUUUGGGUUGAUUUUAUUAUGUAAAUAUUCCAACUUCCUCCCUUUAUUAGUUAUAUAUUCUUGUAUUAUUCUUUUACCGCAGAGAUUAUAAUAGUAACUUAUCAAAGUCUAAUAUUAGUUGGUAUUUUUACCCUCUUACCAGACAACGUUAAGAGCCUUAGAGCCUUAGAAUCUUUAAACUCUAUUUGUCCUUCUCCUGACUUAUAUGGUAUUGUUGUGUUUUAGUUUAAUUUCAUACUUAUUGAAAACUCCACCAUAAAUUAUUAUUAUUUUAUACAAUCAAUUUUUAUUUAUGUUUAUUCACAUACUUAACCUUCUCAUUGCUCUUUAUUUUGUCUUGCAUCUCUGGGCUUCUAUCUGUGAUAAUUUUCUUUCUGCCUAAAAAGUAUCCUUUGUAUUUUUUUACUAUGAAUCUGUUAAUACGAAUUUUAUUGAUUUUUGCUUGUAUGGAUAUUUAUUUCAGCUUCAUUCUUGAAGGAUAUUUUCAUUAGGUAUAGAAUCCUAGGUUGACAGUUAUUUUCUUCCAGCGUUUUUAAUUAUCUAUUUUCUUCAGGCUUCCAAAAGUCUAUGAAGAAGUUAGCCCUAAGUUUGCUGUUGCUUUGAAAUUUGUGGCUCCUUUUUCUCCCACAUGAUUUUAAGAUUUUUCUCUUUGUCUUUGGUUUUACUCUGAUGAAUCUAGGUGUGGAAUUCUUUUAUUUAUCCUAUCUGGGUUCAUAGAGAUCCUUGAAUAUGGGCUCAAUGUCUUUCACUAAUUUUGAAAAAUUCUUAGCCAUUGUCUCUCAAAUAUGCCAUCUGCCCCAUUCUCUCUCUCUCUUUCCUCUUAGGGCUCUAAUUACAUGUAUCUUGGACUUUCUCACUGUAGGUUCCAUAUCUCUUAUCCUCUGUUCUGUAUUUUCCAACUUUUCUCUCUGUAUAUUCUGAAUAUUUUCUUCUGCUCCAUCUUCCAGUUCACUAAGUCUCUUUUUAGCUUUGUCUAAUCUGUUAUUAAUCUCUUCCAUUGACUUUUUAAUUUUAGUUAUUGUAAUUUUCAGAUAUAAACUCUGGGGGGCUCAUUUUUAGAGUUUCAGUUCACUUCCAAAAUCUCAGUCUUUUUUGAUCUUGGCAUAUUAAAUAUAGCUAUUUUUAUUUUUUCUCUUUCCUUUUUUUAAAAAUUUAAAUUUUAGUUAGUUAACAUACAGUGCAGUAUUGAUUUCAGGAGUAGAAGUCAAUGAUUCAGCACUUACAUACAACACCCAGUGCUCAUCACAAGUGCCCCCCUUAGUACUCAUCACCCAUAUAGCCCACCUCCCACCCCACCUCCCACAAACCCAUAGUUUGUUCUCUAUCAUUAAGAGCCUCAGCUUGUUUCCCCCUCUUCUCUUCCCCCCCUUCCCAUAUGUUCAUUUGUUUUGUUUCUGAAAUUAUAAUAUAGCUAUUUUUAACUCUGUGCUGGAUGGAGCCUUAGUGGGUCUAUUUCUGUUUUCUCUUGUUUAUCUAGGUUUCCAUUCAUGUAUCCUCUUGUGUACUUGGCUAUUUUGGCUGUGAAAUGUUUUCACAGAAAUUUGCUUCUAUGGCAGCAAGGGGCUGUAGCAAUCCAAUUGCACGAUUAAGCUGAUUUGAACCAGUGAUUCACUCCCUGUGAAAGUCAGUUGACUCCCAGUUCACCCUUACUUCUGUAAGGUAGCCUAUUUAAGUAUCACUUCAAAGCCCAAAUGGUUUACCAGGCUUAUUCCCCAACGCUUUGUGAUUUCAAUUCCACCCCCCCCCCCCACCGGCUUCACAAGCCUGUCAAAAAUAUGAAUUUCUCAACUUCUCAGUCACUUCUUCCAGAAUUGGUAAAGGUUCUAUAGGAAAAGUUCCCUAACUGCCAAGCUUAUGUCUGUGAUUUGUCUUCUUCUGGAACUUGGCCUUGUAAUUCUUAAUUAACUUGUUGGUUCUCCAAUGCCUUCAAGGAAUUUUUUUUUCUAACAUUUUGUCCAGGGUUUUUGUUUUUGUUGUUGUUUUCAGUGGGAGCGUUUGUUCAAAUUACCCAGUCUACCAUGCCAGAAGUGAAGAACCUGAUCCUUUAAAAAUGUAAGUCAAAUGAUGACACUGAAAUUCUCUAUAAAUAGAAUAAAAGUCCAGUGACUUCACGGUGGUCCAGAAGAUCCUAUGCAUUCUGGCUCCAGGCUACUGCUCCAACUUUAUCGCCUACAACUCUCAAAUAACUUUGCAUAAAUCUAAGGAUCAACUCAAUAUAAACUUCUAAGGUAAAAAGGCCAUGUGACACGUUUAUUUUAGACCCCCCCCAUAACGUUUAGCAUAUUAUCCCAGCAAUGUAUCAAUUUUGAUUAAAUUUGAACAUCUGCUUAAAAAUAAAGAUUGCCCAAAAUAGUGGCUUAAACUAGACAGCUUAUUUCCCACUUACAUGGAAGAAGUCUGGAGAUAGGCAGUGCAAGGGUGGGAUGAAGGCAGCAAGUACCAGGGACCCAGGCUUUUUCUAUCUUGUCACGUGAAUCUACAUGGCUUUAAGUCCCAAGGUUCAUUCGUGGCCUAAGGUGGUGCUAAAGUUCCUGACAGGAGGGUUCAGGAGGAAAAGGGAAGUAUAAGAAUGCCCCUCAAUUUUAGCAGACUUGUCAGACGACAUAACACUUCUGCUGUCUUCUGAUCACCUAGUGGUCAUGUAGCUUCACCUAGCUACAAGGGCAACUCAGAAAUGUAGACUUUUAUCUGGGAAACAGUGGGCCAACCUAAAAAAAUUGGAGUGCUUUUAGUAAAGAAGGGUAAAUAAGACACUGGUAUGUAACUAGCAAUGUCUGCCACAAACACUAAGAACAUUUUUUCCUAAAAUUUCUUGGGUUGUCUCUUUUUCUUGACUUGAUCGCCUCCACGACUGCUCACAGCCUAAUUCAUUCAAUGCUUACAUCAUUAAAGUACAUGAUUUCAACCUCCCAAAGAUUGCAUGCAAAAUCCUAUCAUUGAAACUUCUCUAUCAAGCAAAACAAUUUGUCCUCUUUUUCUUAUGCAAACAUAGAAAUAUCAUCUCUUUAAUAAAAAUCCUUUUUGCUAAAAUGAGAGACGGUAAAGUUUCUCCAGAAUACCCAGAAUUGUCAGUCACAUGUCUCCAGUGAGUUUACUCUGGUUUACUGAAUGCGAGUGUUUCCCUUAAUUAACCCACAUCUAUAGUUAAUUUAUACAGUGUGAGUGCCACUGCCUUAGUCCAUUUCGGCUGCCAUAACAAAAUAACUGACUCGGUGGCUUAUAAACAACAAAUUUUUAUUUCGUAUAGUUCUGGAGGCCAGGAAGCCUAUGAUAAAAAUACCAGAAGAUUCAGUGCCUGGUGAGGAUCUGCUUUCUGGUUUGUAAAUGGCCAUCUCUUUGCUGUGUCCUUCUGUGGAAGAAGGGGUAACAUAUGUCUCUGGGGUCUCUUUUAUCAGGGUACUAAUCUCAUGCAUGGGGGGGGGGUCCACCUUCAUGACCUAAUCACCUCCUAAAGGCCCUACCUUCAAAUCCCUUUUGGGAUUAGGUUUCAAUAUGAGUUUUGUGGGAGACACAACCAUUGAGCCUAUAGCAGACAUUGUCUGUGACCCUCUAAUUAAUAUGUUUUUUGGUACCAAUACUUUCUAUAUUGGAUUUUGAUUAAUGCGUCUUUCCCACUUGAAAGUAACCUCUAAGCAGGAGGAAGCACGUCUGUUUUGUUCCCAUUCUUGGCAUCUAGCAUGGUGUGUGGGGCAUAGUAGAUGUUCAUUAAAUAUUUGUUGGAAGAAUGAGGAAUUUAACCUUUACUGCAUACCCAUCAUAUGCCAGGUAGUAUGGUAAAUAUUUUUCAAUUAUAAUUUUAUUGACUUGUUGUAACAACCAAAUGUGAUGAGAACUAUAUCCCACUUCACAGAUGAGAUCAAGGAAGCUUGAGGAAGAUAAAUAAUUAAACCAAGUUCACAAAGUCAGAAAGAUGCAGAUCUGAGGUCUGACCUGUAACCUCUGUCUCCAUCGUAAAUGAUCAUUUUACUCUGGCACAUUUAUGUCAGCCAGGUGAGCUGUUCCCUGGCUUCCUCUGAUAACAGGUUGACUGAUUUCAUGAUAAGAUGGAAAUAGUAAAUAUUAGAUUAAUGUCCUUCCAAUCACAAAUUCCUGAGGCCUCCUUGCGUUAAUUAAAGGAAUUCAUUUAUAACAAUUAAAUGAGAAGCAUAAUGGUAGGCAGCUGAGUGAGUUACUGGCUUAAAAGGGAUAAAUUCAGGAAUAUGUUUUCAGAAAUCAAUGUGGACAUUGAUUUGAUCGAUCCCUACUCAGCUAACACCACUGCCCACAAGAAUCAGUUGUUUAGGUGAUAUAAUUUUGAUAGUAGGAUCUCUAGGAAAAAAGCAAGAAUGAUGACAAAAAUUUCAGCUACAAUAACAGAUGAACUUUAAAGGAUAAGGAAAAGGCAAGAAAGACAGAAAGAGAUAAAGGAAAAAAAGAAGAGAGGGAAACAUACAAAAGAGCAGAAAACAUACAAAACAGUGAAAUGGAAAGGGAUGGGGAUUGGCACACAUUUGUUUUGUUGUUGCUGUUCUGGGUUUACUUCCCUUAGCUGCUCAGCUUUCAGUCCCCAUUCUUUCAAUAAUAGCAUCUCCAUUUACUUUUUGGUAAUUCCAUCCUCACUUUUGGAUAUGCCAUCUGGUGGGACUGUGGUUCAGAUACUCUGUUUUCCUCCAGCCCCCGAAUGGAGCGAAGAGUUGAACCUAGUUAAGCCAGUCAGAUUCUCUCUUCCUGGACUCAGAAUCCUUUGUUUCAGAUGCAGCAGUUGAGAAGUUCAUGGUGUGAAGACACAUGUAAACUGUCUGGGUCUGUCCUUUCCACUACUGGGUCUUUCGCCUCCUCUCCUCAAUCCUUGGAGCUUCCCCAAUUUUCCCCCAAAAUUCCUUUCUUGCUUAAGUUUACCAGAGCAGCUACCAUUGCUUGCAAUCAAAGAACGCUAGCUGAAACAGUCGAGGCAGAAGAUAAGUGGAAAUAAAUGCUGAAAUUAAGAUUUGGGAUGCGACCCACUGAGAAUCUAUUUUUGGUUCCUGAAACAGUAGGUAUUGGGGACAAACCUAGCUUAAACCUGAAACAGAGUGCAUAUUAGUGUUCACUCAUUUCAGAUCUCUAGGAGCAAAUAUAACUCACACUGUAAAGUAGCACAGGGUUUCCGAAAGGUGAGAGUAAUAUUCUUUUUCAAGGAUAACCUAUUGUAGAAUUGACAUCACAGUUGGGGUACGGAAAGAGUUUGUGUUUUUUUCUAUAUAGUUUUUUUCUAUAUAAGAUCUUUGUGUCUUUGAUAAUUUCACAUCUUUGGCAUGACUAAAGGAUUUUUCCAUUCAAAUCAACCUCCUUCAACUUGGCCAGUCUCUUCUUCCUCCCCCCCGCCCCCCAACUUGCCCCGUGGGAUUCUUUCUUUUCACUGCCAAGGAUUAAAUUCUCUUGUGAAAGCCUUCAAGGCAAUAGACAUCUGUACUGGAAAGGAGAUACAAAACUGUCCAAAAAGAGAGGAGCACUUCCAAAGCUUAGGGGAGAAAAUAACUGAACUCUUAUUCAUAUUGGGGAAAAAAUCUGGUUUCAAACUGCGUUUUUUAUUGACUUUUUUGCUGUUGUUGUAAAAAAGGAUCAUCGUUUAUGUUGAAUAAGAAAAGGUUAUUGUUCUCCUUUACCAAAGAUGCUAAGUUUGCAUGUUUUGAACAUCAAACAAACAUCUCCAUAGAGAAUGGCUUGCUGCCAAUAUCUGGUGAGCAGGCCAGACUUUCAGCGCGGCCCAGUUAUACCAGUUCUGUGUUGGUGGGCGAGCAAUUCCAGAGAGAAGGCUGAAUUAGAAUUCAGCCCUAAUCCUGCUUGGGAUGCUGGCCUUAUUGGGUCUUAGCUUGAUGGUCAGAAGACAAUCCCACAGCAUUCCAGUAGCACAGAUCCAUGGCUCCCUCCUCAAGCCAUGUGCACGAAAGGCACCAUGCUGCUGGCAAUGGGCAAACAUCAGAUGCAAUGAGCACAAAUAAUAAUUGUACACCCACGGUAUACAAUACAGACCUUAACAAUUACCUUGUUAUUUUAUCAGUUCUAAUCUCUCUGCCCUUAUAAAUAUCUGACAUUACUAUUAUAUUCUGGCAAUCGAUGUGUGGAGUCAUAUGUUGUGCCAAACGGAAUUGAUUGUCAGUUUAGAUAUGAUAAGGAGGAUCAUGCAGGAAUGAUAUAUUAUCCAAACUCUGCCCUUUCAACUUUACUCAGCGGUUUAGUCUAUUAAUCCAACAACGCAUGGGAAGCCUGAGGCUGGAUAUGAGCGAAUAUGAUUCAAUGCACAAGAACUGAGCUCUAGGGGCUCCUGGGUGGCUCAGUUGGUUGAGUGCCUGACUCUUGAUUUUGGCUCAGAUAGUGAUCCCAGGGUUGUGGGAUCCAAGCCCCAGGUGGGGUUCCAUGCUCAUCGUGGAGCCUGCUCGGGAUUCUCUCUCUCUCUCCUGCUUCCCCUCCCCUGGUUCGCACACUCUUUCUCCCUCUAGAUACCUAAAAAAAAAAAAAAAAAAAUUUAAAAAGAACUGAGCUCUAGAUAUUAAGUCUUAGAAAAUAGCCCCUUGAAAAGGUCUCCUCUUUAUGUUUAUUUGCCAUGGGAAAUGGUGUAUUUUUUUGCUCCGUGUGCAAAUUUAGCUUGGGGGGAAACUCACAUAGGUGAUGAUGUCAGGUCUCCCAAACGCUAGAUGACUGACCCCUUCAGUAAAAGAACCUAAGGGUUCUUUGCUUUUCUUAUAAUUGCUCAGGCUUCACUUCUAUUGAAAAGUGGCCACAAAAGCCAUUCUAUGAAAUGACUCUUUAAUAUUUGAUAAAUGAGUCCGUCUUAGGGGCCUAUAUGGUUGCAGCAAUCAUGUUUCUCAGCUAAGACUGCGUGUGUUCACACGGGACGGUCAUUAAGCAAACCUUUUAAGAUGACAGGAGUUCACUUCUUCUGUCUCAUUUCCCAGAAAGAAGAAUAAUGGCAUAAAGUCUGGAUAGUUAAAAGGGAAAGAAAAGGGUAUGCACUCUUCCCCCACUACGGCUUUCUAACCUAGAAAGGCAACAUAAUUUGGGGCAAAGAGCUACAUUCUAAGUGGCAAAGUAAAUAGGAGAUAUUUAUUCCUAUAUCUUCAUGACACUUUAGUGAUAUAGUAGAAGAUUCUUACUAGGCCCUUAAUGACUUGAGAAAACUGACACAAAGGGAUGCUGGAAAACAUAUUAAAUAUUACACAAUUAAUCUGAAUUAAAAGACCAGAACUUGCUCAAAUAUCCUCAAAUAUCAUUCAGGGGAAUGAACCUCAAGGUGGAGAGUGAAUUGGACAAUAUAGAUACGAGGUAUUCAGCUUUCAUCUGGAUCCUGAUAUUUAUUUCCAUUCUAUUCCAAGUGAAAUCUGCUUCUAAGCACAGACUAAGAGAGCUCCAGUCCCUCCCCAGAGAUAUCAGACUGUCAGACCUCUCUCUUGGGUUUCUCCUCCCUGCCCCACACUCCCACACCUCAGGCACGCCACGCAUACCUACCAGCUGCCCACCAGAAACAGCUGCCUCAGGACGGGGCUGGCAGGGGAAGUCUUCCAUGGAUGGACAGCCCUUAGCAGCAGCAAGAGUCCUCAGCAAAAUUGUCCCUUUGGCCUCAGUUCUGACUUUGGGCUCUGACCCAGGUCUGGCAAAAGAUAAUAUGUACCCAUUGUAGAAAACAUGAAAAGUACAUAGAAAUUUUAAAAAUUGCUUAUAAUCUCGGGGCGCCUGGGUGACUCAGUCAGGUAAGUGUUUGACUUCGGCUCAGGUCGUGAUCUCGUGGUUUGUGGGUUCAAGCCCCAUGUUGGGCUCUUUGCUGACAGCUCAGAGCCUGGAGCCUGCUUCGGAUUCUGUGUCUCCCUCUCUCUCUGCCCCUCCCCUGCUUAUGCUCUGUCUCUGUCUCUUUCUCUCUCAAAGAUAAGUAAACACUUAAAAAAAAAUUUUUUUUAAUUGCUCAUAAUCUCACCACUAAGUGAUGACUGUCAAUAUUUUGGUCUAGUUUUUUAAAAAUUUAAUCUAAGUAAAGCAUAUAAAUGUUCAUUUAGUUGGGGUCACAUCGUAUAUGCAAUGUUGAAUCCUGCUUUCUUUUUUUUUUUUUUAACUUUGUAAAUGAACAUUUCUCCAUGUCAUAAGAACAUUUCUUUAUAACCACCACACACACCUAUUAUAAAAAAAUAAUGAUUAAAGAGAUCAAGGAGAAGUCACAAAACUGAAGGGGAAAAAAGUAAACAAUCUAAAAGUUGGAGAUGGAGGAAUGAUCGUUCUAAUUACCAACUCGCAGAUCCUAAACGUUAUGGAGAAGGAUGUUCAAGGAAGAAAUCAGAAACUGGUACAAAAGGAAUGAAACAGCUUUGAUAAAUGUAUAAAAUAAUGAAAAGAUAGUUGUUAGCAAAGAUGUAAUAUGUAAUAUUUAAAUAACCAAGAAGACAAUCGCUAUUGUGCAGUAUCAGAUUACAUUGGUAAGAUUAAUUAACAUAGUUUUAUUAAAUAAUAAAAGGGAAAUGCAGAGAUUUUAAAAAGAUGCCUAGAGAAAAUAUGCACAAAGGAGCUCUUUAAUUGUAAGAUAUUACAAUAUUCUUAACAUGGCACUGCAGGUUCUGACAUUAGAUUCCAUUUGUGAGCUUUAGUGAGGUGUUAGGAAAAGAGGUCAACAGUAUGUUAAAGGCAGAACUGUCUAAUUCCUCUCCACCCCUGCCAAAGAUUAUUCUCAAGGACACAAAAAAAAUGUGGUAUGGGGCGCCUGGGUGGCUCAGUCGGUUAAGUGUCCGACUUCAGGUCAUGAUCUCAUGGUCCGUGGGUUUGAGCCCUGAGUUUGGCUCUGUGCUGACAGCUCAGAGCCUGGAGCCUGCUUCAGAUUCUGUCUAUCUGUCUGUCUCUCUCUCUCUGCUCCUCCCCCACUCAUGCUCUGUCUAUCCCCUUCUCUCAAAACCGAAUAAGUAUUAAAAAAAAUAUUUUUAAGAAAAAAUGUGGUAGUAUUUGACCUCUACCAAACUAUUUUGUAUUCACUGGAGAUCGAUCCCGAUACCACCAGCCCCUCCCUUUGCUUCAGAGAUCUCUCCUACUUCCCAAUUACAACCAGGGGGUGGGCUAGAGCUGGGAAGACAGGGCCUUGGAGAAAAUUGUGGCUUAUUGCAAAGAUGAUGGGCUGUGGAGUCAGACAUAAGUUGAAUUCCGAUCCAAGAGUUGUCACUUGCAACUCUGUCACCUAGACAAGGGACUCAGGGGUUCCCUUCCCCCUUUAUACAGUGGAGAUAAUAAAAUCUAUUUCUUAUAGGAUGCUAAAUAAAAGUUGGUUAUUGUUAGUUCUACUUCAUUUUUAUUUAUCCAUAUAUUUCAGUUCUCCCCCCACACACAUUUUUUUGACCAUGGAAUCGUAGCUCAUUUCGACAGCAAUUCUGGUUUCUUGUUCAUUUCAUUUUUUAUCAUUAGUCCCCUGAACUUGUGCUAUGAUAAGCCAGAAAAAUUCCUUUCAUCCCAGUACUUGUCAUUUGAUGUUUAAUAAAGCUUAUAGGUGGCACUCAUAAUAUUCUUUAAACAUUCAUUAAACAAAAAUUCCCUCAAUAAAUUUUUUAUUGAGAGCCUAAUAUGUGCUAAGCACUAAGCCACAUGAUAUAGCUAGAAAUUAAUAAAUCCAGCUGGAUAAGAAAGUCAGAGAGACAAUGUCUAAAUAUAUUUAGAAAAAAUGUAUAAUAGAGGGGGCUAGUAAAAACUGGAUUCUCGGUGUAAUGUAAGUUAAUGGCAAUGUUGAUUUAAUUUCAGGAAACUUUCUGAUAGGAUAAGAAUAUGAAUUAAGAAAUUGGAAAGGUAGGGGCACCUGGGUGGGGAAGGGGCAGAGAGAGGGGGACUGAGAAUCCAAAGAUCUGAAGUGGGUUCUGCAGUGACAGAAGAGAGUCUGACGUGAGGCUGGAACUCAAUAACCGUGAGAUCACAACCAGAGCCAAAGCCAGAUGCUCAACCAACUGAGCCACCCAGGCGCCCCAUUAAAAAACUAAAAAUAGAAUUACCAUAUAAUCCAGCUAUCUCACUUGUAUGUGUAUGUCCAAAAGAAUUCAGAGGAUCUUAAAGAGAUAUUUACAUACCCAUGGUUCAUCGCAGCACUAUUCACGAUAGUCAAGAGGAGGGAGCAACACAAAUCCCCAUCAACAGAUGAGAGAAUUAAGAAAAUGUGGAAUAUACCUACAGGGGAAUAUUACUCAGCCUUAAAAAAGAAAAAGGGAAAUCUUGUCACACACUACAACACGGAUGAACCAGGAGGAUGUUAUGCUAAGUGAGUCAGAAAAGAAUACUGUAUGAUUCCACACAUAGGAAAUGUCUAAAGUAGUCAAAAUCAUAAAAACAGAAUAGAAAGGUGGUUACUAAGAGCUGGGAGAAAUUGGGUAGCAGAAUUAGUGUUUGGCGGGUAUAGAGUUUCAGUUUUGUAAGAUGAAAAUGUUCUAGAGAUCUAUUGCACAACAGUAUGAAAAUACUUAACACUACUGAAACAUACCCUUAAAAAUGGUUAAGACGGCAAAUUUAAGGUUAUGUGUUAUAUGUAAGUGAUGAAUCACUAAAUUCUACUCUUGAAAACAUUAUUUUUAAAAAAUGUUUAAUGUUUAUUCAUUUUUGAGAGAGAGAGAGAGAGAGCAUGACCUGGGGGAGGGGAAGAGAGUGAGGGAGACACAGAAUCUGAAACAGGCUCCAGGCUCCAGAUUCUCAGCACAGUGCCCAAUGCAGAGCCUGAACCCACAAACUGCAAAAUCAUGACCUGAGCCAAAGUUGGACGCCCAACUGACUGAGCCACCCAGGUGCCCCUCUACUCUUGAAAUAAUUAUUACAUUAUAUGCUAACUAACUUGAAAUAUUUUUAAGUUUAUUUAUUUAUUUAUUUAUUUUUAAUUUUUUUUUUCAACGUUUAUUCAUUUUUGGGACAGAGAGAGACAGAGCAUGAAUGGGGGAGGGGCAGAGAGAGAGGGAGACACAGAAUCGGAAACAGGCUCCAGGCUCUGAGCCAUCAGCCCAGAGCCCGACGCGGGGCUCGAACUCACGCACCGCGAGAUCGUGACCUGGCUGAAGUCGGACGCUUAACCGACUGCGCCACCCAGGCGCCCCUAAGUUUAUUUUUUAAGAGAGAGAGCAAGCAAGCACGGGAGGGGCAGGGUAGAGGGAGAGGGAGAAUUGCAAGCAGGCUCUGUACUGCCAGCACAGAGCCCUAUGUGGGGCUUGAACCCACAAACUAUGAGAUCAUGACCCAAGAUGAAAUCAAGAGUCAGACGACCAACCAACUGAGCCACCCAGGCGCCCCAUAUGUGUUAACUAACUUGAAUUUAAAUAAAAUUGAAGAAUUAAAAAUAAUUUGGGAAAAUUUCUACCAGCAAUAUAACUGGAAAAGAGAAAUGAAUUCAUACAUAAUAAGAAAACUUUUAUAGAAAGUUUGGGCAAAACUUGUACAGAAACAGUAAACAGAUUAAUCCAUUCACAGAACAUGAAUUAGUGACUCAAAUUUUUUGAAAAAAAAAAAAAAACCAAAAAACUUCAACCGUACAGAUAGUCUAAGAAAUGCAAAUUUAAAUAAAGAAAUGCCUAUUUAUUUAUUAAAAGUUUAUUUAUUUAUUUUGAGAGAGAGAGAGGCAGAGAGAAAAGGAGAGAGAGAAUCCCAAGUAAGCUCCAUGCUGCCAGAGAAGAGCCCAGCAAGGGGCUCGAUCCCACAAACCAUGAGAUCAUGACCUGAGCCAAAACCAAGAGUCUGAUGCUUAACUAACUGGGCUACCCAGGAGCCCCAAGAGAUGCCUUUUAAAAAGAAAUCUUUGAAAUUAACAAUGAUUUUUAAAAGACUACAAUUCCGUUUGGCAAGACAGGCCCUCGUGCCCUGCUGGUGAGAAUAUAAGACGAUUUACACAUUUUUAUAUUAAUUGUGUCUCGCUUGUAGUAACAAGUUACUGUAAUACUUAGCAGCUCAAAGCAAUAAACAUCUAUCAUUUCACAUUUUCUGUGGAUCAGGGACCUAGGGACUGCUUAACCUGCUGCUUAGGAAGGGCAGUCCGUAGCUGGACGUGGUCACCGCCAGCUCAACUCGGGCAGGAGAAACUACUUUUACUCUCACUCUUGAGAUUGUUGGCCAGGAUCAGUGGGUCAUGUCUAUUGGCCAGUAACCUCAGUUCCUGGCCGUGUGGACUUCUCCAUAGGCUGCCAGUCUGUCCCCACAAUAUGGCAGCUGGGUUCUCUCAGGGCUAGUGACCCUAGAGGAAGAGUGACCAAGACAAGCUAUAGUUUCUUUUAUUAUUUUUUUAUUAAAAAAUUUUUGUUUAAUGUUUAGUUUUGAGAGAGAAAGAGAGAGCGAGCAAGCAGGGGGGGGGGCAGAGAGAGGGGGACACAGAAUCUGAAGCAGGCUCCAAACUCUGAGCUGUCAGCACAGAGUCUGAUGGGGGGGCUCCAUGAGAUCAUGACCAGAACCCAACUCAGAUGCUUAACCGACUAAGCCACCCAGGCACCCUUCUAUAGUUUCUUUUAUAACCUAACCUUGCAGGUGACCUAUCAUUGCUCUGCUGUAUUCUUUUGGUCACACAGACCGAUCUUGGUAAAUGUGGAUAAGGACUACAUAAAGGUAUGAAGACCAGGAGGCAGGGAUCAUUGGGGGCCUUCUUGAAGGCUAGGUGUCACAUUUCUUUAAUUUGUCAAUAUUUAAGAGUUUAUACCUUUAAUCCAAUGAUAUUAGGUAAUUACAUUUCUAGCAAUGUAUUCUAAGAAAGGAAUCAUGUAUGUGGCCAAAUAAUAUGCCUAAGCGUGUAUAUCAUUUUUAUAAUAGUAUGAUAUGGAAAUGACUUAAAUGUGUAAUAAUCAAGAAUGUAUUUAUCAAAUAAAUGAUAAUAUAUGAUGGAUUAUGUAUCCAUCAAAAGUGGUGAUUUUGAAGAAUUUUUCAUAUCAUGGGGAAAUUAUAAUAUGCUUAUUUUUCAAAGGCAGGGCGUAAACAUUUAUAUAUAAUAUGACAAUUAUGUGAAAAUUAUAAUAAUUAUGUUUAAAAGAUGAUUAGGCAUAUUCUAAUACAGUGAGAAGAUAGAACAAAAUAUAUAUGCUAUUCCUGGCCUCCCCUCUCCCCCAGAAAAGCUAAACCUGGAUCUAAUUAUGAAGGAACAAUCAAACAAGUCUAACUUUUGGGAUGUAGUGAAAAAUGACUGGUCUGCCUGCAAUCUUCAAAAAUGUCAGUGUCAAAAAGAAAAGAAAAGAAAAAGGCCAGGGAAUUGUUUCAGAUUAAAGGAGGGUGCAAUGAAUUUUUCUCAAUUGACUUGGAUUAUUAUUAUUAUUAUUUUUAGUUUUAUAACAUUAAUGGGACAAUAACUGGGAAAAUUUGAAUGUGGGCUUUAUAUUAGAUAAUAGCAGUGUCAACAUUAAAUUUCCUGAGCAUGAUCAUAGUGUUAUGAUUACAGGGAAAAAUGUUGUUGUACUUAAGAGAUGCAUGUUGAAGUCUUUAGGGUUGACAUGUCAUGUAACUUUCCUGUGUGUGUGUGUGUGUGUGUGUGUGUGUGUGUGUGAGAGAGAGAGAGAGAGAGAGAGAGAGAGAGAGAAAGAGAUAAUGAGUUAUUCUAAGAAAAAGUAAAUGUGGCAAGAUGUUUAUGAUUGGUAAAUCUACAUGGAGUAUAAGGUGUUUAUCUUACUAUUCUUGCAACUUUUCAAAUAGUUUGAAAGUUGAAGAAAAUAAUAUUUAAAAGUUAAAUGCAACAUUAGAAAGGAUUGAGGUAGUAAGAGAGGCUUUAUUUUAUUCUAAAAUUAACAUAAAAUUUUAUACUUGUCUGUAGUUCUCUAUAUUCAGUAUUUUAAUAUGCUGAGCCUAUUAUUUUUACAAUUGGCAGAUAAUAAAAGUUGUAUAAAAAGGAUUUUUUACUUAAGUUUUUGUAUGUGAUUCGUUAAUUCUUUAAAUGGCUUUAUUUAAUAUUGUAUAUAACAAAUUAAAAAAAAUUUUUUUAAUAUUUAUUUAUUUCUGAGACAAAGAGAGACAGAGCAUGAGAGGGGGAGGGGCAGAGAGAGAGGGAGACACAGAAUCAGAAGCAGACUCCAGGCUCUGAGCUGUCAGCACAGAGCCCUACACGGGGCUCCAACUCACAAACCGUGAGAUCAUGACCUGAGCCGAAGUCCGUUGCUCAACCGACUGAGCCACCCAGGCACCCCCAGAAAUAUUACCUUGAAACUGAAAUAAGAUGAUUUCAGUUUGCAGACAACAUACACAACAACCACAUUUGCUGGUUGUAAAAGAUGUAGGUUAACAGCAGGGAUGACCCUUAAUGCAUCAUGCUUGAUAUAAAAUGUCCAAGAAAAGGCAAAAAUAUAGGCACAGAAAGUAGAGUAGUGGUGCUUAGGGUUGAAAGUGAGAAUGAUGAGUGACUGUAAAUGGGAAUGAAAUUUCUUCUUGGGGUGAUGGAAAUGUCCUAGUGGUAAUUAAUGGUUGUACAACCUUGUAAAUAUACUAAAAUUCAUUGAAUUCCACACUUAAAACAGGUGAGGGGCACCUGGGUGGUGCAGUGGGUUGACCAUCCAACUCUUGAUUAUGGUUCAGGUCAUGAUCCUGGGGUCAUGGGAUCAAGCCCCACAUUGGGCUCCUCGCUGAGCUUGGAGCCUGCUUGCGAUUUUCUCUCUCUUGCCCUCUGUCCUGCCUCCACUUGCAUGCAUGUGUGUGUGUGCAUACUCUCUCUCAAAUAAUAAAAAAAAUGUUAAAAAAUGUUAAAAACAGGUGAAUUUAUGGUAUAUGAAUGAUAGCUCAGUUGUUUAAAAGAUAUAGUUUAUUUAUUUUUAAUGUUUAUUUAUUUUUGAGAGACAGAGAGAGACAGAGUGUGAGCAGGGGAGGAGCAGAGAGAGAGAAAGAGAAAGACACAGAAUCUGAGGAGGCUCCAGGCUCCGAGCUGUCAGCACAGAGCCCAACGCAGGGCUCGAACUCACAAGUAGUGAGAUCAUGACCUGAGCCGCAGUCAGACGCUUAACCAACUAAGCCACCCAAGCGCCCUAAAAAGAUAUAGUUUAAAAGACUUUAGCCAGAUGAAACACAAUCUCAAUUUGAAGAGACAUCAAAGGUAUGAGAAGUUUACUAGAAUUACCUGAGAAAUAGCCAGUAGAAUUUUAACUGUUUCUAUCCUUAGAUUUUCCUUAUUUUUAUCAAGAGACACAUCAUUAGUUCAAACUUCCUGGAGGCAUUUAGAUGGAGAGAAACAUCUGAUUUACUGACUAAUUCUUUAAAGCAUACUUUUGUAAAUUUAAAGUUCACACAACAGCUAGAGUCAAGCUAGUAGUGGAUCAUAGAUGACCUAUUGCUUAAUUAAUGGAUUGAGAUGCUUUGUAAUUACAAUUUAAAUUUUUCAUUCUUCCAGCAAUUGAUUACUUAGUGUUUACUAUGACCGGUUUUAGAGGCAACUGCCAACAUAUAAUUGUAUGUAUAGAAGUGAUGGUGAAGGUAAAUAUUUUAUUUUUUUAAUGUUUAUUUUUGAGAGAGAGAGAGGGGGAAGAGAAAGAGAGAUAUCACGAAUGGGGGAUGGGCAAAGGUAAAUAUUUUAAAAUGCUCUGUGGAGUCAGGUUUAUAUGCUUAAUUUCUAAGCAUAUCCUUCUUCUUUUUUUUUUUAAAUAGGUAAUACCAAUGUAAAUUUGCUCUCAGUCCAUGAAUCAUGAUGAAUGCAGUAUGAAUGACCGAGAUUUCACUGUGUUCACAAAAGUGUUGCUGAGGUUAUUCUUGGUAAAUCUAAAUGACUCUAUAAAAUAUUAGUUAAAAGAUAUUUGCACAAUGAGAUAUCAGCUCCCAUUAGUCAGAAUGGCUAGAAUCAAAAACGCUAGAAAUAACAAGUGUUGGUGAGGAUGUGGAGAAAAGGUAAGCCCUGUGCACUGUUGGUGGAAAUGUAAAUUAGUGCAGCCGCUAUGGAGAACAGUAUACAGGUUCCUCAACAAAAUAAAAAUAGAAAUACCAUACAACCCAGUAAUUCCAUUUUUGGGGUAUUUAUCCAAAGAAAACAAAAACACUGAUUUGAAAGCAUAGAUGCACUCCUAUGUUUAUUGCAGUAUUAUUACAAUAAACAAGAUACAGAAGUAACCUAAGUGUCCAUUGGUAGAUGAAUGGAUAAAGAAGUUAUGGUGUAUAUACACCCCAUGGAAUAGUACUCAGCCUUAAAAAAAACGAGAUCUUGCCAUUCAGUGGGAAUUAUGCUAAGUGAAAUAAGUCAGAGAAAGACGAUACCACAUGAUUUCACUUAUAUGUGGAAUCUAAAGAAGAAAAUAAAUGAACAACAAAAAAAAAGAAACAGACUCAUAAAUAGAGAGAACGGAUAGGUGAUUGCCAGAGGAGAGGGAGGUAGAGGGAGGGGAUAGGUGAAAUAGGGAGGGGAUUAAGAACUAUAAACAUCCAGUUAUAACAUAAAUAAGUCAUGGGGAUGAAAGGUACAGCAUAGGGAUGUAAUAACUUUAUAUGGUGACUGAGAGUAACUACACUUAUCACAGUGAGCAUUUUGUAACAUAUAUAAUUGUUGAAUCACUAUAUGGUACACCUGAAGCUAAUAUAAUAUUAUGUGUUAACUAGACUUCAAAUAAAAAAUAUUUGACCAGAAUUAGAAAAUUAUAUGCUAAUUCCAAUUGUGCCAAUUGGUUCUGAAGCACGGUAAUAACUGGAAGCUUCUGCUAAGUCCUCUGGGAGCUGCCUCUUACUCAACCACUUACUAAUUCCAUACAGGCCUUGAGUGGCUUUGCAUAAAUGUGAUAGGACAAUGCCCUCCCUGACCCACUGGUAUGGAGCACCAUUAGAACAGGCUCUGUACGCAUGCCUGUAUAAAAAUUCGGUGGUGGGCAGUGGAUGUGAUGUUCCAUAGAAUCACACUUGACCAAUGGAGAAUGGAAAUUGGUAGAUAAAUGUGAACCUUUUUGUCUCCUUGAAAGCAUGCUUAAGCCUCCUCCAUGAGAACCAACUCAAUGAUACAUCCUCGUAUUGGUUUUUCCUCUUUGCCUGUUUUACUCCCUUUCCCCCCAGCUGAUAUACCUGCCUCCUGGCCCUAUUUUUUCAAAUAAACUAACUGCAUGCAAGCCUUGUCUCCCAUUUGGGAGAUACUCAGCCUAAGACAUACAGGAUAUUUGAUAUAUGCAAUCUAUAGUUCUUGUUAGUAAAUUCUUGCUGAAUAAUUGACAAUGUUGUACCAAUAGAUUUGUAUUUUUCACUUGAAUUGCGUCAUUUGAGUAGUAGGGAUUUUAUAGAAAAUGAACCCCUAAUUCAUUUUAGGAAUUAAUAGUAAUACGAAAUGAUUCCCUAAUAUACAUUUGAUGGCAGAGUCUUCAAUGUAAGUUCUGGUUGUAUCUGUCAUUUAACUUGUAUAUCAGGGUCACUGUCAUUAGGAAACUAGCUUACGCCUCAGAAGAAGACAGUAAUCAUAUAAAAUGAUGUUCAGGAGUCCAGGUUCUAUAUGUUUAGGGUUCCUUUUUGUUUGAAGAAGGCGUGCCAGCUUCCACCCCCCUGCCAAUUAAAUAAAAAUAAAGAGGCCAAGUCAGAGACAGAAGUGGUUUGUUUGUUUCUUUGUUUAUUAAAAUCUGUGUACCCAAAGUGGGGCUCAGACUCACAACCUAUAUUUCAAGAGUCCAUGCUUUGCUGACUGAGCCAGCCAGAUGCCCCCAGAAGUUAAAGGCAAAGGGGUUUAGAUAAGAGUGGGUCCGCCUAAUCUUCCAGAGACUUCUAGUUGCUCUUCAAUCUACCACAGGCACCUGAGAGUUCUAUAUUAGUUUUAAAUUCUAUCCCCAUGCAGACUUUCUGAGCAUUACUUCAGUACCCCUGAGUACUUGCUCCACUACUGACCCUAUUAUUCUUUGAUGACCUGAUUAUUGCACAUUUCUGUUGGUUGUAUAAUAUUGUCUACUGAGCUAUAAUCAUUCUAGAAUGUUCUGUUACUAGGUCUGUAGGCAAAAGUGGAGUUUUCAGUUCCACAUUAAAAAUGGGCUACAAUUGGGGCCCCUGGGUGGGUCAGUCUGUUAAGCGCCUGACUUCGGCUCAGAUCAUGAUCUCACAGCUUGUGAGUUUGAGCCCCGGGUCAGGCUCUCUCCUGAAAGCUCAGAGCCUGGAACCUGCUUCAGAUUCUGUGUCUCCCUCUCUCUCUACCCCACCCUUGCUCACACUCUGUCUCUCUCUCUCCUUCAAAAAUAAAUAAACAUUAAAAAAAAAAAAGGGCUACAAUUUAGGGGCACCGAGGUGGGUCAGCCAGUUAAGCGUCCAACUCUUGAUUUUGCAUCAGGUCUUGAUCUCACAGUUUGUGAGUUUGAGCCCUGCACUGCUAGUGCAGAGCCUCCUUGGGAUUCUCUCUCUCUCUCUCUCUCUCUCUCUCUCUCUCCCUUGCUCUCUCUCAAAAUAAAUAAAUAAACUUAAAAAAAAACUUUAAAAAUAAGUAAAAAAUUAAAAUGAGCUACAAUUUAGACAAGUCCUUAACAAAUGUUUGUGGGCAGAGAGACCUCAUUGAAACAACAGCAGUCAAUUCCUCGUUAUCUUUGCUAUUAGAAGAAAGUAAUGGAAUUCUUCCAAAAUAGUGGAUAAAGUAUAAUACUAUAAUGGAUUUCCUCCCCAACCCCCCAAAGGAUUUGCCUGCCUAAACUUAUUUUUUUUUUUUUCUUGUGGUCUAGACCAAAUUCUCAAUGAUUUUGCAUCCCUUGUGCACACAUUGUAGCUUGGGGAUGGGGACCUGACUGGUGUUGACUGAGAGGUUCAAGAUGGUCUCAGGAUGCAAACUGCCCUUGGGAAAUUCACAUGCAGAUAAUGAAGUGGUGGCUGUACCUAAAAUAUUGAUCAAAAUGCAAUUUAAUCUGUGCAAUAGGCUUCAGGCUCUGCCUUCUGACCCGGGAACAGCCACAGCAAAGUCAAUCAAAUGAGGGCCUUUCCUGAAGAGGAUAAGCAAGUUUAAGCUUUUAUAGUGUUCCCUGGUUUCCUUGUUGAAAACGGAGCUCAAGGCUCCUCAGUUGGAAGAGCAUGUGACUUUUGAUGUCGGGGUUUUGAGUUCAAGCCCCACGUUGGGUGCAGAGACGACUUAAAUAAGUAAAAUAAAAUCUUUUUAAAAAAUGUUUUAAAACUUUUUAAAAAUGUUUUAAAAACUUUUUAAAAAGUUCAUGUUUUUAAAAACUUUGUUUUAGUGCUUUAAAGGUAGAGCUAAUAACUAAUUAUUGUUAUUUUUAUUUUUAUUUCUCUAGGAUUUCAUUUAAAUUGAAGUUAGUUAACAUAUAGUGUAAUAUUGGUUUAAGGAGUAGAAUUUAGCGAUUCAUCGCUUACACAUAACACUCAGUGUUCAUCCCAACAAGUGCCCUCCUUAAUGUCCAUCACCCAUUUAGCUCAUCCCCCAUCCACCUCCACUCCAGCAACCUUUCGUUUGUUCUCUAUAGUUAAGGAUCUCUUCUGUUUGCUCCCCUCUAUGUUUUUAUCUUAUUUUUUCCUUCUCUUCCCCUAUGUUCGUCUGUUUUGUUUCCUAAAUUCCACAUAUGAGUGAAAUCAUAUGCUAUGGAAUAUUACCCAGCCGUCAAAAAGAAUGAAAUCUUGUCAUUUGCAACAGUGUGGAUGGAACUGGGGUGUAUUAUGCUAAGCAAAAUAAGUUGGUCAGAGAAAGACAAUUACUGUUAUUGAUUUUUAAAAAUAAAACCUAGUUUUUAGUCUUUCUCCUUAGGAAUCUGCCCCUGUAAGGAUAAUAGGCUGCCAUGGAAUAAAAUUGGUGAAUGUUAAAUACACAGGGACACAAUUUUAUUCUAUGCAGGGUUGUUUGCUGUCAUAAAGAUUUAUCAGGGAACAAACAGCCUCAAAGAAUCUUUUAGUGUGUUGUUACUAUCCUCUUCCGGCUGCGUUUGGUGUAUUUUCCUGGUCAUCUUAUUAAUAUUGUUAGAUUUAGAAUACAGAGACUUUUCUACCUCCAAGUGUCUGCCCUUAAAAAAACAAACAAAAGCAAAAACCCAGCAACAAAAAAUUAAGACAACUAAUAAUACUCAUACACUUACUUAGAAUCAAUUAUCAUACUAAGGAGCCAUAACUGCAGUUUCUUACAUCUGUUCUGGUCACUAUCGGUUGCUCAUUUCCCAGCAGAUGUAUGCAACAGUGAGGCGUCAUAGUUUCUAACCUAUAAUGCUGCUAUUAUUUCAUGUUGAAAUUACUCUCUUUUUUAAAAAGAUUUAUUUAAUCACUUAAGUAAUCUCUAGACCCAACAUGGGGCACAAACUCACAACCCUGAGGUCAAGAGGCACAUGCUCUACCAACUGAGCCAGCCAGGUGCCCCACACCUGAAUUAUUCUCAUCUAAUUUCCAAAGAUCUAUAUUGGGCCUGUAGGUAGUUAGGGGAUGAAGAGGUGUUUGCGAUGAUUUGGAAGUCUCUGGUUACAACCUGGAAGAAGAAUGUCUUUGGUGAAACAUGAACCAAAUUGUUCUCCUGCUCCUUUCCAUUUGCCCUUUGUUUACAGUAAGAUUAUGCAAAUAUACCUUUGAGUUGGGGGUGAGGGUAGGGAGAGAAAGUGGUCUCCUUUUUUGUGUUCACUGCUAUAUAAAAGACCACUGUAUAGGCAAUUUCGUCUCCUAAAGACGAGACAGUAGAUAUUCAAUUAAUGACACUGAAGUUGGAUCAAAUUAUCCUUCCUGCUCUUAGUUCUUCUAAGGAGAACAAAACUCUGCCUUUCCUAUCUUCUAGUUCUUACCCACGUAGCAGGCCACAGAUUAUUAUGUACUUUAAUUCUACAUUAGGUGCUUUUCAGGGGGGAAAACCCCAUAGUUUAACCUAAUGAAGUGAAACAUGUCUGCAAUACAACUCAGAUGAGAUCAGCCAUGGUUCUUAAUAUGUAUUUGUGAGAUGUUGAAAGUUCUUUCUUUUGAUCAGUCAAUAUGCUUUUGUUUGUUUUUACUGUCUAUGUUUUUGCAGCACUAUUAUUCAUGAGAUACAACUCAUCAUGUACUUCGGAUGAACAGAACAGCGAGGGGUGUUUUUAG
rnacentral:lncRNA from 1 species